AUUGUUCACGAAUUUCAACUAUUGUUCCCAAAAAUUCAAAACAAAGAAUCAUCAUUUCAAAAUAAUAUUAGCUGAUUAAAAAUAGUUCACGAAUUCAAAAAAUAUUAAUGCAUUUAAAAAAUAUUCAUGAAUUUCAAAAAAAAAUGUUUUCGACCACUAGCAUCAUCAUUCAAAAAACUACAUUGUAUCGUUCCUUAUCCCGCCUUUCUCCAAUGGUUCACCUUCACCUACUUCUUCCUCAUUUUCUCAAGCAUUACUCGCCUCGAUCCUCAGCACAAGAUUUCUUGGCUCCGAGCACCCACCAACUUGAUGUGCCAAUGCUUCUCGCUUCAAAGCAACAACACCUUGUUCCAGAAUCGCACACUCUUCAUUAUUUUGUAGACCUGCCCAAUAAAGCAUAAACGAGCAUGCAUAACAUACGAAUUCAACAAGAGAUCUAGCAAAUUUUUUCUCAAAACAAAAUCUAUUACAUAACUUGGAUGGGCAUGUAGUGCCUUAUCGUGAAGGUGAUGCACUCCUGGACUUGUAGUAGAGCUGGUAGCUGCCACAAGUGCCUCCCUAUAUGUGGGUGGCCUUGAGGCAGGCAUCGCGGAGGGGCAUCUCUCCUCCGUCUCUUAUUAUAGGUCACAUCUGUGGAGUCCCUCGGCGUCUACCAUGAUCUUGCUAUCAGGUCCCAUGGCUAUGGCUACUUCAAGUUCCACUCACAGAAGGACGAUGAGAUCUGAUCUAUUAGACCCCAAAAUAGCCAAAGCAUUAUAUCUCUGUGAGCAUGCAUGCUAAAGGUAGCAAAUCAAACCCAAAAGGACAAGUAAAAAAGACCAAGACAUUCACCGUCCUCUUUGGAUGAAAAUUGAUGUAGUCGUAGCCAUACAACCUGUAAGCAACUUUGUGGCAGAUGCGCAAGGAAGCCACAGGCGCGACCUGGUCGUAGAUCUAGAAGAGUUGCCCCUCCAUGACACCUGCCUCGGGGUCAUCAUUGAUGCCAGGAAUUAUAUGGCUGGCUUGCCAUUUCUGCCGAUGGUCGCCAAUCCAUCGGUAUAGGAGGCAAUGUCAUCAUCGAAGCCAAGGGCGGAACGCUUGACAUUGUUAGUGGAUGUUCACAAACCAGAGGAGUGAAGAUUACUAUACUAUGGGUAACCGGUUGGUCUAGAUGUAUCAACUAUAUAUUGAGUCCUCUUUUAUAGGUGUCGAGUCCACCUGUCCGGUGAAUGCUCUCUCCAGUAUGCUUUUGUAUAGGUACUAAUUAAUGAUAUUUAUUUGCUACCUUUUAGAUAAGCUUCAGGUGUAAUUAGGCGACGAGUCUCUUUUUUGUAUAUCUGCAUGCUGGUGAGUUGCGGUAAUUGGGUCCACAUGCCAGCCUAUAUGCGCGUGAUGAGUUGCUACAUGUAUGUAGGUAUGGACUACAAAUUUCUUCUAUUUUUUAGUGCAAUAUCACUACCGAUUAAUAUUUGAGAUAGAGUAGAUAUCACUACAAAUUAAUGUUUGAGAUAGAUUAGAUCAACUUUACCAUGUCGUGGUCAAUGAUCGUUGACUCGUGAGGAUCCCUCGCUGCCUUCCUUGGUCAGGGCACCUCCAACACCGACCCUUAAACCUUCUUUCUCCCGCAAACCGGAGACAAACAUGGAGGAGGGGGGCUUUGAGGGAGUCCGGACCGCUCCCACACUCGCUUUUGACCGCCUUGGCCCUUCCAAAACCCCUCCUCCAUCUAGCGCGCUCUUCCGGCCUGGCGCUAGCUGCCCGCAUUCAUGCCACUAUAGAGUGUGCUGCUCCACAUUGAAAACGGCACAGGGCAGACGCGAUCUCUCACUGCCUUCGCCGUUGAAGUGUCCGCCGGCCAAGGGCGUCACCCGCUGCAUGCCCGGCUGAACACGCCUCCUCGCCGCAUUCAAACGCCUCCAUUAACACAGUGAAAGCCGAGAAACCUACUUCGGCCACACGUUCAUUCACUAUUAGGGAAACACCUAGUAGUAGCGUGGGGCCCCACGCUAUUAGUAAGGCGCUACAGCUAUUCCUUAGCAGUAGCGUGUGUGACGCGUGUGACACAUGCUACUGCUAAGACAUAUAGCCGUAGCGUGUAUUGUUUCCAGCGCUAUUGCUAAUCUAACUAGUAGUACCGUGCUUCCUGUCCAGCGCUAUUAGUAUUCUAUUUUUUUUAUUUUUAGUGUAUUUAUACACCGUUAUACAAAUUUUGGUACAAUACCAAUUAAGAGGUUGUUAUAUCAUUAUGUCCAUGAUGAAUUAAUAUAUCAUCGUGAGGAAGAAACAUGGAUUAGAUUCAUUUGGAUGAAUCAAAAGUUGAAUUAGGACGUUGAUCCUACUAAUUCAACUUUUGGUCAUUUUUGAUCCAUCCACAUGAAUCUAAUCCGCGUUCCUUCCACCAAUGAUAUAAUAACUAAUCAUGAUCAUAAUAACAAAUCAUCAUGAUAAUCAUGAUCAACAUCAUAAUUAUAUUAAUAUAAAAACUCUUGCAUCAUAUCAUCACCAACAACACUAGCUAAUAAUCAUCAUAGUCAUUACCACCAACACUAUUUAAUCAUCAUAGUCAUAGUGCAGUUAUUUAAUCACUGCCAACACUAGCUAAUAAUAACCAUUAUAGUCAUUACCACCAACACUAGUUAUUUAAUAAUCAUAGUCAUAGUAUAGCACAUCAUUAUCUUCAAACUCAUUCUAGCUAGCUAAUCACUCCUGCUGCUCUCUCUCAGGUAAAAUAGCAUAAAACAUGUGUAGCACUCCUGCUUCAUCAUAUUGGAGAUUGCAGAUGAACCUGUCUCCUAAUUGUGGGCCGCGCUUUUGAUUGCUGCCCCCUAUUACUUCUCUGUUGUGAUCCUUCAUAAUUUUGCUCCAGUCUUUCACUAUUAAGACUUGCUCGCUUUAGGGAAUCAUGAAUGCACUCACGUGCAAUGUAGGAUGUCUUGACCGUAAGCUAAACAUUGUCAUGCGACCUUUAGGCUCGAUCCAACGGGGCACAACAUUCAUCGGGAGUCCCUAUUGAAGAACAUCGUAGUAACAUACUUAGCAAUGAAAUUUAGCUUAAAAAAUAAUGUAUGCAAAAAAUGCACUGAGGACAAAUAGUAAAAAUCUUACCAUCUUUACUAAAUAGAUGUGACCAUAGUUCAAUACGCACACUAGUGAUCAUGCGUAUUGAGUACUAAUAUUUCGAAGUCCAUGAAAAUAACCUGUCUUGACAGUAUCAAGAUCCUCAACCUAUGAAAUAUAAUGACUUAUCUCCCCACAGUUUAGUUCAGCCCUGGGACAGUAGUAGGUGCUGUCUACCAAGCGCCGGACAAGUUUGCUUGAAUCGAAAUAAGCUGUCAAUAUAAAUUAGCUGUCAACUAUUUUUAAAUAAACAAUAUAAAUUACUUAAUAAAUAUGGUUGAGAAACUCACAUAAUGAUAGAACUGGAGGGGUCUCCUCACGAAUUUCAACUAUUGUUCCCAAAAAUUCAAAACAAAAAAUCAUCGUUUGAAAGUAAUAUUAGCUGAUUAACACGAAUUCAAAAAAUAUUUAUGAAUUUCAAUUUUUUUUCUAAUUUUCAAAAAUCUUCUGCCGCUUCAAAAAUGUGGACAUGUUUAAAAAAUGUUCAUGUUUUUUCUAGAAAAUCAUGAAUUCAAAAAAGGUUCAUGAUUUAAUGUUCGCAAAUUUGCAAAAAAUGUUCAAGAUUUCAACAAAUGCUCACAAACUUAAAAAAAUGGUGUUUGGCACGUGCGGCAGGAAGAGUUCAUGGUGUCGUAUCUGUAGUUAAAUUGUUGGUGAUGUUGUAGAUGCAAUUGAAAUGCUGCUGACAACUCGAAUAAUCUGUUGCUAAAAUACAACGUAAUAACUGUUUAUAUAGUGUACACAAUGUCAAACAAUGUUCAUAAAUUUAAAGGAUGUUCAAAAAAGGAAAAGUAAAAAAAAUUUAAGGAUAAGGUAAGAAAAGGAAAACGAAAAAACGAAAAAAAUAAAAGAAAAGGAAAUAAAACCAAAAAAACAAAAAACGAAAAACCGGUUGGUAAUAAGCAGUAAAAUGGGCCGGCCCAUACUCUCGAUCGGGCGCUGGAGUGUGCGCGCGGUCGCUCGCGCGCGACCUACGCACCAAAUGUUUUUUUAGUCUACCUACGCGCCAAACAGGAUCGCCACUAGAAGAGUAGAUAAUCUUUGUUUUUGAGCAAAAGAAGAGUAGCUUUUUGUUUUCUUUAGCGGUGCAAAAGAAGAGUAGAUAAUUCUACGGCCCAAGCAGCCCAACCAGUUGCCCUGUCCGUCCUGCUUUUAGAAUGCCUAACCUUUCCUUGUUGAUAUCUUCUUCUGGCCGUGGUCCAUUGCAAUUCCCUGAUCGGAUCGUGAUGAGCGAGCAUUGAGAGGAGCCAACGGGCCGCCAGCGUGCUGUGUGUCGAUCGAUCGUGAUGAGCGAUCAUGGCGAUGAGUCCACACGCCGCCAGCGUCGCCGUACCAUGCCGCCGGCGGGGCCUGCUUUCCCACUCUACAGCGACGACGUCCUCGGGGAGAUAUUCCUCCGCCUCGGCCCUCUGAAACCCUCGCUCCUGCGCGCGUCUCGCGUGUGCAAGCAAUGGCGAAGCCUCGCCUCCGACCCUGGUUUCCGCCGCCGGUUCGGCGCGCGCCACCGGCAACCCUCGCUCCUCGGCGUCUUCACGCAGCAGCACGGAGAAGCCCUCUUCCGCUCGGUUCCCCUCGACCCUCCUGUUAUUCCUUCGGAGCGCUUCUCCCUGCGAGGCUACGGCUCCUGGGAUCUGCUUGGGUGCCGCCAUGGGCGCGUCCUCAUCAUCAACCACACUGAGGGGAAGGCCAUUGUGCAUCACCCCAUUACUGGCGACCAGCACCGCAUAGAAGUUCCUUGGGAGUUCCGUCAGAAUGGAGUGGUUGCUAAUAUCAAUGGCGCGGUGCUUUGCACGGGCAUGGCGGAGAACAAGGGCCACAUACAUGGUGCGUGCCGCUCAAGCCCCUUUAAAAUCGUUUUGGUGCGCGCCUAUACGGCCUACUCGGCCAAGAGGGAUCUUACUUAUCAUAUGGCCCACGCAUGUGUGUACUCGUCAAAGACUCGAACCUGGGGCAAAGAUGUCUCGGCACUGCUACCAUGUGACAGUUACAUUCCUGGUCACCAUAGCGUCUUUGCUGGUAAUGCCCUUUACUGGUAUCUUCCUGGCUAUAUACUAAAGUUUGAUAUGGGCAUGGAGAGCCUACGUGUGAUUCGGAAACUUCCUGUUGCGAAAGAUUGCUACGAUACAAGCCAUAUUAUCCGCUCAAAAGGUGGCGGUGUUGGCAUUGCUUUUUUGUCAUACCCUACCUUUCAAGUGUGGGACAUGAAGAAUUUCAAGAAAAAAAACAAUUGUCAUGGUGGAACUAGAUGGGCGCUGCGGAAGCCUAUUAGUCUUGAGCUAGGAUGUGGGAGUGGUAUAAGGAUGAAGCAAGCUAUAGUGGGGUAUGACGAGGACGGGCAUCAAAUCUUCUUUCGAGUGGGGAGCAAUAUCUUCAUUGUCGAACUUGUAUCAAUGAAGUCCAGUAAACUAUGGAGAAGCUAUUCUACACACAAAUAUCAUCCUUACACGUGUUACUAUACUGCAGGUAACUGCUCAUCUUUAAAUUGUUGAGUUAUAUAUUACUCCCUCCGUUCCUAAAUAUAUGAGGUUUUGGUAGUUCAAAUUUGAACUACCAAUCAUAUAUUUAGGAACAGGGGGAGAAAUAUCCAAUUAUUUUUGCUAGUUUGUUGCCGCCGGAUACCUCUUUUGUUUUUUGAAGUGUUCACCACAAACUUAAAUUUAGUUAUACAUUUUUAUUCCUACUUGGAUGUAGGAAUAUCGCAGCCUCAUCAUUCUUAAAGUCUUAGAUUAGCUGUUAGAAUAUGAAACUAUAUUUACUAUUGAUUGUGCCAUUAAGAUGCAUUUUCAAUACAUCUUAUAUGAAACCUUUAUGAAAAUCCUUUUACGUAUUUAAGGUAGACAAGUCGCAUGUAAUUUUGAUGGGAAAUCUUAUAUCAUAAGAUCUUAGAAUACCGAGAUCUAAAGGGAACAUUAUUACUUCAUUUUACAUGCAACAUUUAUCAUAGCAAGAGUUUUCAUUUAGACAUAGUUAUAGCAUAAAAUAAUCAUUAGAUGUGAAAAACUUACUCGAACUUGCCUCUUCAUGAUGUUUUAGGAUAAGGUAAUGAUAUUCUUCAUGUAGACACCACAUAGCUGAAAUUUGUGGAGAGUAAGAGGAAGAGUAAGAGCAAGAUGGCAGGCCUUUGGACGUUUUGUUGCAUUAUAGAUAGAAAUUAGCACUCAAAGAGUUGGUUUUCCGCUUCCUACUUAUGCUAUUUAUCAAUUGAUCACUGCUUGCAGCCCUCGAAACUUCUGCUGAUAAUGCAAGUAUGACAUACGGUGGAGACCAAGAAAAUACUGCUCAAGGAGGAAGCGUGCAAAUUUAAGCGGGUGCCAGUGUCUAUGUGUGUAUAGAUUGAACUUGAGUAUUUCAUUAAGACAAACAGAUGAGCCAUCUAUUUAUAAAGAAGUUUGAUUAGUCUAAAGUUUGGAAAGUUUGGAAUGUUACAAGUUCAGCAAGGACCCAACUAAACCUGGGCAUCCUCCGGUCCGGGCCUGGCUUUGUAAAGCCUCGCCUCAAAAUCUCAAGCCCAAGCCCGGCCCGGCCCGGCUCGAAACAUACGAACAAUGCUCCUUUUUAUUAAAAAUAUUGGUUUUCAGGGUAUUUAACUAAUAUAUUAUACCUAUAUUUGUAAUUAAAUAAUGAUAUAUGCCUUCUUUGUGCAUAUGGAAGAGAUAAAAUCCUAUGUCCUACUUUGCUUGUAUUGAUUAUGGAUGGGAUACAAAGUAUAGGUGAUCUACCGCGAGAUCGUGUGUGAAUGAAGCUAUCCUCUAUGGUCCUGGCACCGUAGUUUAUAUAGAUACCAGGGUGCCUAGGGUUCCACAUAAGUCGGUUGUUCCUAGGGGCAAAUACGUUGGAGACUAUCUCAAAGCUUUGGGGUGCAUGAAAGUCUUCGGAUCAUUCCUUCUUGGCUUGCUUGGUCACGAUGAACGAGGCCCACCAGUUGAUAGGCUUAGGGGGUCCUUGGCCCAGCCCAUAGGACGGGCAACCAACACACCGAGCACCACUAAUCCAUGACUUCGUUAGUAGCCUCUGAACUGGUGUUCAAGCCGAUGAUGUUCCUCAGUCCUCUGAACUUCUAUUCGUAUUUGGUUUUCUAAGCUGGUUCAUCCUUACGCAGUUUCCAAAGUUGUUUUUCAUUGGUCGAGUAGUCGUAUAAUCAUCUAAUUAUCUUGUGCAUGGAUCAAAGUUGGCUAAGUUAGACGUGGCAGUGUCAGUGUGUAGCAUAAAGAUUGUUUUUGGAAAAAAUAGUUGCCCAUGCAAAUAUUACUGGAAAUGAUUAGCAUUUAAAGUCUGCUUACAUCAAGCAAAGCAAUUCAGGCUAUUGACGUUGUCAAGUGUGUGAAUGCAGGAGCAGAAAGUGUAGAUUUUCUGAUGUGCAUCAACUUUCAUGGCCUUUUAAAAUAGACCGUCACUUGAAAGGAAUACACCUUGGAUUGUAUGACAGCGUCACUUGCAAGGAGAACACUUCGCAUCAUAAUAUUCGUAUGACACUGUUCAUACAUUCAAAUCAAUCAACCCAAACUAGCUAGAAAAAGGACACUUAGAUGGAUUUGCUUGUUCCACUGCUUAGUGUUUCACUCUUGUUCUUCAUAACAAAACAAUUAGAUUGGUACAAAUGCUAAAAAAAUAAUGAUACGAAAUAUUUUCACUGAAGGGUUUGUUUUAAUUAACAGUAAUAAAUUGAAAAUAUUCAAAGAUAAUCAUCAUUAUCUUUUACUGAAAAUACACAGUAGCCAAAAAAUCAGAACUCUCAUUGGUUGGACAUCACUUGCUGCCCAGGGUCAUUCUCUUUGUUGCAGAUUUCUUCAGUACGGAGUCUGUUAGGCUUUUCCAUGGAAGAGUUGCUUUCCGGUAUAGUGAGAAUUUGCUUAACAUCUUGUUCUUGCCUCUCACAUUAGAAAUGCAGAUCACUGCGAUUCACUAGAUUGACUUCACUGCAAUUGUCUUGAGUGAUGGAGCUGAGCUUGCCAUCAACAUUAGUACUUGCUUCUUUUCCAACUUUGGAGCCAGUACGAAAAUCAGCCCUCUAGUGUUUUCCUGAAGAAUGAUCUUUUCUUAAUAUGACAUCUGCAUUCUCCAAAACCUCUUUAGCCUUCAUAAUCCUGACGUCCAAUUUGAACAUUAGCACACACUUCUUUGAAGCGAGACUAACAACAUGUUCGUAGACAGACAAGGCAUCAAUCCUAGAAAAGCUUCUUCUAUAUCCAGAUGCAUGAGCCUCUAUCUUUCGAACCUCAUCAAAUGAGAAAAGCUGAAAGAAUAACACUUCAUUCCAUCACUAAAAUCACUACUUCCAGCAUAUGCAUACCCAAAAGACGUAUAGAAACAUUGUGAUUCACCUUAGCAGGGAGGUAGACUUCAUACGAUGCUCCAGGGUAACAGAUCAUCUUCAGAGCUGUUGCAAAAUGGAUUAAAACCCAAUUCUUAGUGUCGAUUUCAGAUGUAACCAUGAAGUCCAUUAGAAGAAGGUGGAAGAACUUCAAAUACUCCUUCUCACAUAAUUCGAUAUCAUGCAGGAGAUAAGCUGCCUCCUUAAUAGACGUGUCAUCAACCUGAAGUUAAGGAGCAUUUCUUCAUCACUGAAAGAAAGCUGAAGGCCGGAAAUUCUAGAAGACGCUUCAUCGAUGAAUAAGACAAAUUGAGGUUCUUAGAUGUUAAUUUCCAAUACAGCGUGUCUAUGAAAAACUUCAAUCAUUGGCAAUUAAAGCAUUAUAAGCAUACAAUCAGUCUGAAAGGACUAACACUGCAUAACUAAAGGCGAUUUAUUGAAGCUAGAGUUAUUGGCUGAAAAGAAAAGAAAAAGAAGGUACUAGUAGUCUAGUAUUGACCAGGGAGAAAUAAAGCAGACAAGGAAGGCCAAGCGGUAAGCUCACCAUCUUAAGCUUGACAUGAAAGCCAUGUUGAUGUAAGAAUAAUUCUAAAUCUUUGGUCGGAUCUGUUGGUUGUUGAGGCAAUAAAGCGGGCUUGUUCAUACUGCGAAUUAUCACCUCACAAUCCGGAACAUCAACGUGCAGACAGGUUAUUCCCUAAAAAGCAAAUGGUGAUCAAUACUAUUCACCCAGACAAAAGCAACAACAAGCUUACAAAGUUAACACUUACCAAUUUCAUCUCAAUUAUCCGUUUAUAUUCAGAACUUCCCACAACUAGUUUCCUCCCAGAACCACACAGCUUCCUGAGCCUCUUGACCAGGCGACCAUCGACAACCUCAGUAGAAGGGUUGAUGGGGAUGGGCAUCUGCUCCUUCUUUAUGAACACUAUCAGACUCUGGAAAAAGAAACACAGACGGGAUCUAAAAAGCUUGUCAAAUAUAAUGCAAGUGCCUAAAUCAUGAAAUGAGGCAGGUUAAUUUAGUAGCCCUGCAUCAAUCAUAAAGUAUAGUGUUGCUUAAGUCUUUGUUUGUACAACUCUCUCAGUGGUGCUCCCAAAACAUUCAUACGUAAGGCUAGAUGUUAGUAUUUUGGAAACAAUCCAUAGUGUCAUUCUUGGUAGGAGUACCAUGCCAGGACUCAUUCAUCCCUAGCUAAGAAGAUGUAACCACUUCGUAGAAAUUUGUGCCUAGCAGUACCCACUUAGGUUCCAACCAGCACUAAUUGAUAUUUUAAGGAUCCAUUAGCAGAUGUCUGACCAUAAAGACACUGCACCAUGGCACCAAAAUAGAACAUGGUAAUCAGGAAAGACUCCAACCCAGAAAAAUAUAUGAUUGACCAGCUUGAUUUGAUUUUGAAUUGAACGAAUCAGUUCAAUAACAAAUAACAACUACUGAGUACUCCCUCCGUCCAAAAAGGCUUGUCCCAAGCUUGUCCUUCACAUGGAUGUAUCUAGCCCUAUCUUGGUGCUAGAUACAUCCAUUUAAGGGACAAGCUUUUUCGGACGGAGGGAGUAGUAAUGAGUUAAUGUUAAUAUUCACCCACUCAUUACAACAAGAAUUGACAAUAAAGACUGGUGAAGCAUUAUUCUGUUCUAGUUGGCAACAAGAAGCGUAAGGAAAUAUAACAAAACUAGUAAGAAAUAAAAUAGGAGGGCUACUAUAACAAGCCGUGGCAAGCAUGCCCAGAAGUCCUGUGGAAAAAAAUAGACAGAUAUCAAUCAGAUGAUCUUGAUCUCUUCUUUGAUGACAUUAUGACGAUGAAAACCUAAGUAGCGUCAGCAAAAAAAACAAGUACCUCCACUGAAUCAUUGAGGUAACUCCCAUCAAAACAAAAAAUUGCGAUCCCAGAGGGUGCUUGGUAUCAGUUGUGGCGCCACGGUAGGGGCGAGUAUCAAGAUGGCAACGGGGCCCCGAAACCCGCGUCCCCGUGGGUUUUUACCCUAUUAGGGGACGGGGAUGGUCAUCUUUUUAUCCCCGCGGGGCUGUUGUUGGGCACAUUAUACAACCCGACACGUUUCAUGGGUUUGCACCCGUUUUGGUAGUCCCCGAACCCGAAACCUGGCAAACCCGGCAAAAUACAUUUUUUUUGCUGAUAUAUGCUCCUGUUUGUUGCUGAAAUAUGCUUAUGUUCGUUGUUGAAAUGGGCUAUAGUUGUGCUGAAAUAGGCUUCUUUUAGCUGAUGUUAUUCCUGAGUAUUGUGCUGAAAUUUGCAGUUGUUUUGCUGUUGAAAUAUACUAUGUUGCCGCUGAAAUGAUAUCAUUGUUGCUACUAAUUAUCUUAUGUUUGCUGCCUCUGAAAUAUACUAUGUAUGUUGUUUAAAUCUGCUAAAAUACACUCUAUAUAGCUGUUGAACCAUCUACUAUUGUUUUUUGUUGAAAUUUGCUCUAAUUAUGCUGCUGAAAUGUGCUUGUUUUGCUAUUCAAAUGUUAUUCUUUGUCGCCACUAUGUUUGUUUAAAUAUUUUUAUUUUCUCGUGGGUUCCCCGUGGGUUCCCCGAAACCCGAUGGGUUUAGGGGAUGGGUGGAAAACUAACCCCGCACACGGUGAUGGGGACGGGGACAGGUUUGCGAUUUUCUCGUGGGGAUGGGUUUAGGGAGGCAAAACCCGAUGGGUUUUGUCCCCGUUGCCAUCUGGAGGCGAGUAUGGUCGGCCGCCCCAGGUAGCCGGAAUCAUGUACGCAAAAAAUACGAUUCGUUUUGUACACAUAUACGGUCACAGCCCAGCCCAGUUAUAGCCCAUAGCCCAUAGGAUGCCCCGAUCAGGUACAGGAACUCCCACUAGUAGAAAAUGGGUCAAAUGUGAAGCACAUUAGUGCUGGUUUGAUUUUGAGCCGGCACUAAUGUGUGCAUUAGUGUCGGUUCCAACGGCUAGCCGGCUGCUCUCAUUAGUACCGGUUCGUGGUGAACCUUUAGCACCGGUUCGUGGCGAACCUUUAGCACCGGUUCGUGCCACAAACCGAUACUAAAGUGAGUGGUGGCAGGAUGUUGUCAGUCUGGGGCCCCUCCAGCACCUUUAGUACCGGCUUGUGGCACGAACCGAUGCUAAAGGUUCUCCUACAUAAACCCUUCGUCCACCAGCUUGCUCUGUUCUUCCCCUUUCCCCUCUCCUCUCUGUUCUUCCCCUCUUCCUCUCAAGCUCAUCACACAUUUUGCCCAAAUUUUGUCAAGAUUUGAAGGCCCCCAUCCAUUCAAAUGAUCACAAAGGUUAUCAACUUUGUCCUUUCAUUUCUCAUUGCUAGAUUAGCUCUUGCAAUGCUUCAUAUAGUAAUUGAUUUGUGUGUUUAUAGUUUGGGAGGAAUUAUAUAUAUGUGCUAUUAUUUGAUUUAUAUGCAAUUUGAGGUCAAAAAUAACACUUAGUUUGCAUAUGUAGGUGUAGUUUACUUAGUGCCUUCUAAAUCUCCGUCAUAACCAUCGUCGAUCGCCCGCAACGUCCCGUCGCCAGCACCACCUUGUGGCGAGCCUCUUGUUCAUGAAUGUUUUAUAUAAAAAAUUGAUGUUUGUGUGAUUUGGAUGUAUAGUUACUCGUAUAAUUAUCUUACCCAUACGUUGUUUGUUAUACAUAGUGCCAUGGUUUUGAUAUCCGUCCCCGUCGGCCCUCGUCCGGGUUAUGAUUCGGAUGUGGUAUAUUCUCUUUUAAAACUAGUUGUUGCAUUUUGUGUUUAUGACAAAUCAUGCCCAUCAAGUUGACAUAGAUAUUUGUAUGUAGAAGGUAGUUGAACCGGAAAUUCCAACCGACCGUAUUGUCGAGAGGUUAAAUUUAGUUGAAAGAGAAAACGAGGAUUUGAAGGAAAAAUUGAAAAGAAUUGAGGGGGAGAAGAUGAAAUUGGAGUUGCAUGUUGCCGAUGUUGUCGAUGAUCACAAGAUUAAGAUGGAGAAAAUGCGCUUGAAGAUUAGAAAGAUUAGAAAAUAUGCCAUUCAUAGUGAGGCUUGGUAUCAUUAUGCUGUCGGAUCAAUUGUUACCUUAGUUGCGAUCUUGAUCGCAUUUGUUGUUGCAUUUAAAUUCUUUAGCUAGAGAGUUAUUUGUUUGUUGCAUUUAAGUGUUGUAUGAACUUGUAUUAAUUUGGUAUUUUUUGGUGUUGUGUAAUGAAGAUGAGCCGACAAUGGAUGUACGAUGACCGAUACUCUCCCGAGUUCAUUAAUGGCGUGCAAACUUUUCUGCUUGCGGCUGAGGCAAACAAGCAGGCAGAUGGUUUUAUGCCUUGUCCAUGUGUUGGCUGUAAGAAUGAUAACAAUUACUCUAAGUCAAGAACCAUUGACGUCCACCUGUUUAAGUCCGGUUUCAUGCCCCGCUAUAAUGUUUGGACCAAUCACGAAGAAAGAGGGGUUAUGAUGGAAGACAAUGAAGAAGAGGACGACGACAGCUAUCCUGGCCAUGAUGGGUUCCGUGAAUAUGAUGAUACAACAAUGUGGGAAGAAGCUGAGCCGACAAUGCGGGAAGAAGCAGAAGAAGAGGCAUCAGAUGAGCCCGCUGAUGAUCUAGGUCGGGCCAUUGCCCAUGCAAAGAGGAACUGCGCAAGUGAUUUGGAGAAGAAGAAGUUGCAGCGCAUGUUAGAGGAUCACAAGAAAUUGUUGUACCCGAAUUGCGAAGCUGACAAGAAAAAGUUGGGCACCACACUGGAAUUGCUGCAAUGGAAGGCAGAGAAUGGUGUAUCUGACAAGGGAUUUGUAAAGUUGCUGGUAAUGAUAAAGAAUAUGCUUCCAAAGGACAACGAAUUACCCGAGAGUACGUACGAAGCAAAGAAGGAUGUCUGCCCUCUAGGGUUAGAGGUGCAGAAGAUACAUGCAUGCCCUAAUGACUGCAUCCUCUACCGCGGUGAGUACGAGGAUUUGAACGCUUGCCCGGUAUGCGGUGCAUUGCGCUAUAAGAUCAGGCGCGAUGACCCCGGUGAUGUCGAGGGCGAGCGCCCCAGGAAGAAGAUUCCUGCCAAGGUGAUGUGGUAUGCUCCUAUAAUACCACGGUUGAAACGUUUGUUCCAAAACAAAGAGCAUGCCAAGGCGAUGCGAUGGCACAGAGAAGACCGUAAGAAAGACGGAAAGUUGAGAGUACCCGCUGACGGGUCGCAGUGGAGAAAAAUCGAGAGAAAGUACGGGAAGAAGUUUGCAGAUGACGCAAGAAACGUAUGGUUUGGUCUAAGCGCAGAUGUCAUUAAUCCUUUUAGGGAGCAGAGCAACAACCAUAGCACCUGGCCUAUGACUCUAUGUUUGUAUAACCUUCCGCCUUGGUUGUGCAUGAAGCGGAAGUUCAUUAUGAUGCCAGUGCUCAUCCAAGGCCCUAAGCAACCCGGCAACGACAUUGAUGUGUACCUAAGGCCAUUAGUUGAAGAACUCUUACAACUGUGGAAUGGAACAUGUGUACGUGCAUGGGAUGAGCACAUGGGGGAAGAAUUUGACCUAAAGGCGUUGCUGUUCGUGACCAUCAAUGAUUGGCCUGCUCUUAGUAACCUUUCAGGACAGACAAACAAGGGAUACCGCGCAUGCAUGCACUGUUUGGAUGAUACCAACAGUAUAUAUUUGGACAAUUGUAGGAAGAAUGUGUACCUGGGACAUCGUCGAUUUCUUCCGAGCAGACAUCCCGUAAGAAAUAAAGGCAAGCAUUUCAAAGGUGAGGCGGAUCACCGGACGAAGCCUCGCCACCGUACUGGUGAUGAUGUACAUGAUAUGGUCAAGGAUUUGAAGGUAGUCUUUGGAAAGGGUCCUGGCGGACAACCUGUUCCGAAUGACGCUGACGGUCGCGCACCCAUGUGGAAGAAGAAAUCUAUAUUUUGGGACCUGCCCUAUUAGAAAUACCUAGAGGUCCGCUCUGCAAUCAACGUGAUGCACGUGACGAAUAAUCUUUGCGUGACCCUGCUUGGCUUCUUGGGUGUGUAUGGGAAGAAAAAAGAUACACCUAAGGCACGGGAGGACCAGCAACGUAUGCAUGGAAAAUACGGCAUACAUAAGGGUCAUGCCAGCUACGCUCUUACCAAAGAAGAGAAGGAAAUCUUCUUUGAAUGCUUGCUCAGUAUUAAGGUACCAUCUGGCUUCUUGUCGAAUAUAAAGGGAAUAAUAAACAUGGCAGAGAAAAAGUUCCAGAACCUCAAGUCUCAUGACUGCCACGUGAUUAUGACGCAACUGCUUCCGGUUGCAUUGAGGGGACUUCUACCGGAUAACGUUCGAUUAGCCAUUGUGAAGCUAUGUGCAUUCCUCAAUGCAAUCUCUCAGAAGGUAAUCGAUCCAGAAAUCAUACCAAGGUUAGAGAAUGAUUUGGUGCAAUGUCUUGUCAGUUUCGAGUUGGUGUUCCCACCAUCCUUCUUCAACAUCAUGACGCAUGUUCUAGUUCACCUAUGCGAAGAGAUUAACAUUUUGGGUCCUGUAUUUUUACACAAUAUGUUCUCCUUUGAGAGGUUCAUGAGAGUCUUAAAGAAAUAUGUUCAUAGUCGUGCUAGGCCAGAAGGAAGCAUCUCCAAGGGCCAUGAAAAUGAGGAGGUCAUUGAGUUUUGUAUUGACUUUAUUCCUGACCUUAAGCCGAUUGGUGUUCCUGAAUCGCGGCAUAAGGGCAGACUGGAUGGAAAAGGCACGCUAGGAGGGAAUCAAAAAAUAUGUAUGGACGGACAUUCUCUCACUGAAGCACACUACACAGUUCUACAGAAUUCUGCCUUGGUGGCUCUAUAUAUGGACGAACACAAGAAUUUUCUACGCUCCAAACACCCGGAGCGGUCUGAUGACUGGAUUACACGUGAACAAACUAGGAGUUUCGCCGGCUGGUUGCAGACACGUGCCAUGCAUGAUGCCUCUAUUGAAGAUGAUAUGUACUCGUUGUCCCAGUUACCAUCUUCGAAUAUAAUGACUUUCAAAGGGUACGAGAUAAAUGGUAAUACAUUUUACACGAUCGCCCAAGAUAAGAAGAGCACCAACCAAAACAGUGGUGUCCGCUUUGAUGCAACAACCAAGAUGGGAAAGGAAACGUAUUAUGGUUACAUAGAGGAGAUAUGGGAACUUGACUAUGGACGUGGUUUGAAGGUCCCUUUGUUUCGGUACAAAUGGGUCAAUAUGACAUGAGGCGGGGUAACGGAAGACCCGCAGUAUGGAAUGACAACACUGGAUCUCAACAAUCUUGCGUAUGCAGACGAACCAUUCGUCCUACCUAAUGAUGUGGCACAUGUUUUUAUGUGAAUGAUAUGUCUACCAAGCCGAUAAAAAGAAAAGAUAAGGAAGCGAAUGCAUCACACGAUGAGCCAAAGCGCCACAUAGUUCUUUCUGGAAAGAGAAACAUCAUGGCAGUGGAUGACAAGACAGACAUGUCAGAAGAUUAUGAAAAGUUUGAUGAAAUUGCUCCAUUCACAGUGAAUAUUGACCCGAGCAUCCUGUUAAAUGAUGAAGAUUUUCCAUGGCUACGGCGCAAAGGGACACACACAAAGAAAAAGUUUCACACCUAAAGAUCUGGGAUGUGAUCGGCUUCACUAUCAUCACUUUCUUCCGUGUUUCACACCCAGGAAGGAAUCUCUCUAAUAGUUAGGGUAGUUAUGUGUACAAAAUGGACAAUCUCUUUCGAAGUAUCAGAUUUUCGAACGAAAACUCAUCCGUUACAAAGGAAUUUCAUUUUUAAAUAACCUAAGCAUUAUCAAAUUGAAUAUAAUGAUAAAACACACUAAUAUUAAACAUAAUAAAAAAGAAUCACUGAAAAAUCUAUUUUCAAAGUUAAGUUAUUCACAAAUAGUGAUUCACAGAAAUUUUAAAUAAUUCAAAAUGUAAACUAUUCAAAUUUAUAAACUACCGGCACUAAUAGAAGGUUUGUAAUUUUUUGUACCUAAAGCAAAAAAUAUUCACAAAGAAACUCUAAAGACAGCAAAAAACAACUCAAAAAUAAAUAAAACAAAAAUAAAUAAAGCAAAAAAAAUAAGAAAAUAAAAAGCCCGCUUACUGCGCCACACGGCCUGCAUACGACUAGAAACCCAACCUGUUGUUGGGCCAAGAUGCAGGCCCGCAAAGGCCCAGUAGGCCCAUAUGGCAGCAUAGAACAUUUAGGCCCAGUAGGCCUGCUUUGGAGAGGAGCUCGAGAGAGCUACCGCACUGGGGCUUAUAAACUAGUGCGGACGCCCCUCGGCUAGCGAGGUGGGACUAAACUUGCCGCACCGCACCUGCGCCAGCGCACCCUCUUUAGUACCGGGUCGUGGCUCCAACCAGUACUAAAGGGGGGCCUUUAGUACCGGUUGGUGCCACCACCCGGUACUAAAGGGGUGCGGUUCCCGCCGCUUCGCCUGGCCAAAACAGACCUUUAGUACCGGUUGGUGGCUCCAACCUGUACUAAAGGUGCCUUCUAUAUAAGAAGCACUUGAAAAAAUUUCAUUCUUCCUCUGUUUCGCCAUCGAAGCACCGCCUGCCCCGAUCGAUCGACGCCGUCGCCGCCCCCGUUCCGCGCCGUCCCCGUCGCCGCCCCCGGCGCGCGACGUUGCCGUCGCCGCCCCCGGCNNNNNNNNNNNNNNNNNNNNNNNNNNNNNNNNNNNNNNNNNNNNNNNNNNNNNNNNNNNNNNNNNNNNNNNNNNNNNNNNNNNNNNNNNNNNNNNNNNNNNNNNNNNNNNNNNNNNNNNNNNNNNNNNNNNNNNNNNNNNNNNNNNNNNNNNNNNNNNNNNNNNNNNNNNNNNNNNNNNNNNNNNNNNNNNNNNNNNNNNNNNNNNNNNNNNNNNNNNNNNNNNNNNNNNNNNNNNNNNNNNNNNNNNNNNNNNNNNNNNNNNNNNNNNNNNNNNNNNNNNNNNNNNNNNNNNNNNNNNNNNNNNNNNNNNNNNNNNNNNNNNNNNNNNNNNNNNNNNNNNNNNNNNNNNNNNNNNNNNNNNNNNNNNNNNNNNNNNNNNNNNNNNNNNNNNNNNNNNNNNNNNNNNNNNNNNNNNNNNNNNNNNNNNNNNNNNNNNNNNNNNNNNNNNNNNNNNNNNNNNNNNNNNNNNNNNNNNNNNNNNNNNNNNNNNNNNNNNNNNNNNNNNNNNNNNNNNNNNNNNNNNNNNNNNNNNNNNNNNNNNNNNNNNNNNNNNNNNNNNNNNNNNNNNNNNNNNNNNNNNNNNNNNNNNNNNNNNNNNNNNNNNNNNNNNNNNNNNCGCCGCCCCUCCCCGAGCCCAUACACACACAAGCAUGAUGAACACACACACACAUUUCCUAAAGUUAAUUAGUAUAUACGUAUUUUUGUAUGUUUAAUUAGUUUACAUGUUUUAGAUUAUUAUUUUUUCACUAGUAUAUAUGUAUGAAUGCAUGUUAGAUGGAUAUAAUUAGUGUUUAAUUAGUAUGGAUUUUUUUUAUAUAAUGUUGUUUUUUUGUUUUUAAUGGGUGUAUAGAAGUUGUUUUUUUUCUGUUUUUAGUGUUAGAUGCUUAAUUAGUAUGAAAUUGCAUAUAGAAUUUCUUAAUUAGUAUGAUAGCAUUUUUUAAAUUUGUACAUAAGAAAUCACAAUCCAAUAAUUUUAAAAAUGUUACUUUUGCGGCAUAUAGUAUUUUUUCUCGACAAUGCCCGGCCCGCAUCCUCGCCGUCGACCCGUUCGUGACGACGUCCUGCUUCAGAGGACCCAUGUCCAGGACUGGGCUCCGCCGGGCUGGCACUGGGAGGUGCUACCUUCAGGGGCUCGCCGCUUGGUGAGGAACCUGGGUCCCGUCGUCGACCCUGAUCUCCUUUGGUGGCAUUCACGUGGGCCACAUUCGGUGCAGAGGGAGCCGGCCCCACCGGAGGUGGUGCGUCGCUGUGUCAGGGAGGAGGACGAGCACGUCCAUCGCUACAUGGCUGCUAUGGACGUCAGGUUCUCCAAUACCUGGCAGGUUCUUUGGGCAGAUGACCGGAGAUAUGAUCCUGUGAUGGUUCCUUCUCAUUGGGUGUCGACGUGAUUCUUCUAUAGUAUUCGAUAUUUAUUAUCUACCUAGCCAGUGAUUAUUCGAGACAAUGUAUUCGAGAUUAUAUAUUAUUUGAGACGAUGCAUUCGAGAUUAUAUAUUAUCCAAGACGAUGUAUUCGAGAUUAUAUAUUAUUCGAGAUGAUGCAUAUUAUGUACUAUAUGAUUCAGUUUUUCCUUAUUGAUUGCAUCCAUGCAUUGUAAUUUGAGUACUAAAUUGUUUUAUAUUUCUUAUGAAUUAGUGUUAAAUAAAAGAUAUGGCGGACAAUACCGGCAGAGAGGGAGAAGAGGCCAUGUUCGAGAUCAUACGUGAUAUGUCUCCAACGUAUCUACUUUUCCAAACACUUUUGCCCUUAUUUUGGACUCUAACUUGCAUGAUUUGAAUGGAACUAACCCGGACUGACACUGUUUUCAGCAGAAUUACCAUGUUGUUAUUUAUGUGCAGCUUCAAACAUUCUCGGAAUGACCUGAAACUUCACGGAGACACUUUUCAAAAAAUAAGAAAAAUACCUGCCAAAGAUGAAGGUCAGGGGGCCCACCGUCUUGCCACGAGGGUGGGGGCGCGCCUGCCCCCCUAGGGCGCGCCCCCUACCUCAUGGGCCCCCUGUUGCGUCUCCGACUCCAACUCCACCUCCAUAUAUUAAGUUUUGAUGAGAAAAAAUCAGAGAGAAGAAAUCAUCGCAUUUUACGAUACAGAGCCGCCGCCAAGCCCUAAAACCUCUCGGGAGGGCUGAUCUGGAGUCCGUUUGGGGCUCCGGAGAGGGGAAUCCAUCGCCAUCGUCAUCAUCAACCAUCCUCCAUCACCAAUUUCAUGAUGCUCACCGCCGUGCAUGAGUAAUUACAUCGUAGGCUUGCUAGACGGUGAUGGGUUGGAUGGGAUCUAUCAUGUAAUCGAGUUAGUUUUGUUAGGGUUUGAUCCCUAGUGUCCACUAUGUUUUGAGAUUGAUGUUGCUAUGACUUUGCUAUGCUUAAUGCUUGUCACUAGGGCCCGAGUGCCAUGAUUUCAGAUCCGAACCUAUUAUGUUUUCAUCAAUAUAUGAGUGUUCUUGAUCCUAUCUUGCAAGUCUAUAGUCACCUAUUAUGUGUUAUGAUCCGUUAACCCUGAAGUGACAAUAAUCGGGAUACUUACCGGUGAUGACCGUAGUUUGAGGAGUUCAUGUAUUCACUAUGUGUUAAUGCUUUGUUCCAGUUCUCUAUUAAAAGGAGGCCUUAAUAUCCCUUAGUUUCCGUAAGGACCCCGCUGGCACGGGAGGGUAGGACAAAAGAUGUCAUGCAAGUUCUUUUCCAUAAGCACGUAUGACUAUGUUCGGAAUACAUGCCUACAUUAUAUCAAUGAACUGGAGCUAGUUCUGUGUCACCCUAGGUUAUGACUGUUACAUGAUGAACCGCAUCCGGCAUAAUUCUCUAUCACCGAUCCGUUGCCUACGAGCUUUCCAUAUAUUGUUCUUCGCUUAUUUACUUUUUUGUUGCUAUUGCUAUCAUCACUACAAAAUACCAAAAACAUUACUUUUACUACCGUUACCUUUUGCUACCGUUAUCACUACUAUCAUAUUACUUUGCUACUAAACACUUUGUUGUAGAUAUUAAGUUUCCAGGUGUGGUUGAAUUGACAACUCAGCUGCUAAUACUUGAGAAUAUUCUUUGGCUCCCCUUGUGUCGAAUCAAUAAAUUUGGGUUGAAUACUCUACCCUCGAAAACUAUUGCGAUCCCCUAUACUUGUGGGUUAUCAAGACUAUUUUCUGGCGCUGUUGCCGGGCAGCAUAGCUCUAUUCUUUGAGUCACUUGGGAUAUAUAUCUGCUUAUCAUUAUGAAGAACUUGAGAGAUCCAAAAACCAAGAUCUAUCCCUCAACUACGAGGGGAGGUAAGGAACUGCCAUCUAGCUCUGCACUUGAUUCACCUUCUGUUUUGAGUAAGCUUGCGACACCUACACCUGCUUCUGCUAUUCGUUCUGAUGUGUCGCAUGUUAUUGAUGAUGCCACUUCUGCUAUGCAUGAUACUUAUGAUGAAACUACCUCUAUGCCUGAUACUACUAUGCCACUUAGUGAAUUUCUCGAUGAACAACUUGCUAGGGCUAGAGAGAUUGAAAAUAUUGAAUCUGAUGAUACUGAUGAAAGUGAUGAUGAAGAACCACUUGCUAUUCCCAAGGGUUAUGUAUUUGAUCAAGAUGCUUCUUUAGCUAUUUUAGCUUGCCGAAAUAGAACCGAACUAAAAAAAUUAUUAGCUAAAUGGAGUAAGCAAUCCCUAAAUGAUAGAAUGAAACCUGAACCUACUUUGGCUACUUCACCUAUCUUUGUUACUGAUAAGGAUUAUGAAUUCUCUGUUGAUCCUGAUAUAAUUACUUUGGUUGAAUCUGAUCCUUUUCAUGGUUAUGAAUCUGAAACUGUUGUGGCACAUCUUACUAAAUUAAAUGAAAUAGCUACCCUGUUCACUAAAGAUGAGAUAACUCGCUACUUUUAUAUCCUUAAAAUGUUUCCAUUCUCAUUAAAGGGUGAUGCUAAGAUAUGGUUUAAUUCUCUUGAUCCUGGUUGUGUGCGUAGUCACCAGGAUAUGAUUUAUUACUUCUCUGCUAAAUAUUUUCCUGCUCAUAAGAAACAAGCUGCUUUAAGGGAUAUAUAUAAUUUUGUGCAAAUUAAAGAAGAGAGUCUCCCACAAGCUUGGGGGAGGCUUCUCCAAUUACUUAAUGCUUUGCCUGAUCAUCCUCUUAAGAAAAAUAAAAUACUUGAUAUCUUUUAUAAUGGACUAACCGAUGCCUCCAGAGAUUACCUGGACAGUUGUGCUGGUUCUGUUUUCAGGGAAAGAACACCGGAUGAAGCUGAAAUUCUAUUGAAUAAUAUGUUGACAAAUGAAAAUAAUUGGACGCCUCCGGAGCCAAUUCCUGAGCCUAUUCCUAAACCAACUCCGAAGAAGAGGGGUAUUCUAUUUCUCAGUCCUGAAGAUAUGCAAGAGGCAAAGAAAUCUAUGAAAGAAAAGGGUAUUAAAGCUGAAGAUGUUAAUAAUUUACCUCCUAUUGAAGAAAUACAUGGUCUUAAUUUACCGCCUGUUGAAGAAACAUAUAAUAUUAAUCCAUUACCUAUUGAAGAAACUCAUGGUUUUGAUAACCCGACAUAGGUAGUAAAGGUAAAUUCUCUCUAUAGAUAUGAUAAAGUUGUAAUCCCAUUUACUAAAUUUGCUAGCCCAUGCUUAGAUGAGUUUGAUAAAUUUAUGGCUAAGCAAGAAGAUUUUAAUGCUUAUUUUGGUAGACAAUUGAAAUACAAUUCAAAUAUGCUUGGACACUUGGGUGAUUAUAUGGCUAAUGUUAAAAGCGAACUUAAACUUAUUAGUAAACAUGCUUCUAUGGUUACCACUCAAGUAGAACAAGUACUUAAAGCUCAAAAUGAUUUGCUCAAUGAAUUGAACAGUAAGAAUAAUGAUAAAGCUGUUAGAGUGGCUACUAGAAUUGGUAGAAUGACUUAGGAACCUUUUUAUCCUGAAGGCCACCCUAAGAGAAUUGAGCAAGAUUAUCAUAGAAAUAAUAUAGAUGCACCUAGCUCUUCUAAAAAGAAGAAAAAGAAAAAUGAUAGGACUUUGCAUGCUUCUAGUGAUCCUAUUGUUGAAACACCUGAGAAUCCAAAUGAUAUUUCUAUUUCUGAUGUCGAAACACAAUCUGGUAAUGAACCUGAAACUAGUAAUAAUGUUAAUGAUAAUGUUCAUGAUGAUGCUCAACCUAGUAAUGACAAUGAUAUAGAAACUGAACCCGCUGUUGAUCUUGAUAACCCACAAUCAAAGAAUCAACGUUAUGAUAAGAAAGACUUUCUUGCUAGGAAACAUGGUAAAGAAAGAGAGCCUUGGGUUUAGAAACCCAUGCCUUUUCCUCCUAAACCAUCCAAGAAAAAGGAUGAUGAGGAUUUUGAGCGCUUUGCUGAAAUGAUUAGACCUAUCUUUUUGCGUAUGCGAUUAACUGAUAUGCUCAAAACCAAUCCUUAUGCUAAGUACAUGAAAGAUAUUAUUACAAAUAAGAGAAAGAUACCGGAAGCUGAAAUUUCCACCAUGCUUGCUAAUUAUACUUUUAAGGGUGGAAUACCAAAGAAACUUGGAGAUCCAGGAGUACUUACUAUACCAUGCUCCAUUAAAAGAAAUUAUGUUAAAACUGCUUUAUGUGAUCUUGGAGCCGGUGUUAGUGUUAUUCCUCUCUCUUUAUAUCGUAGACUUGAAUUGAAUAAGUUGACACCUACUGAAAUAUCUUUGCAAAUGGCUGAUAAAUCAACUGCUAUACCUGUCGGUAUUUGUGAGGAUGUGCCUGUUGUAGUUGCAAACGUUACUAUUUUAACGGACUUUGUUAUUCUUGAUAUUCCCGAGGACGAUAGUAUGUCUAUUAUUCUUGGAAGACCCUUUUUGAAUACUGCAGGGGCUAUUAUUGAUUGCACUAAAGGCAAUGUCACUUUUCAUGUUAAUGGCAAUGAGCAUACGGUACACUUUCCGAGGAGACAACCUCAAGUUCAUAGUAUCAACUCUAUUGGAAAAAUUCCAUCGAUUAUAUUUGGAGGUUUUGAAUUUCCUCUACCUACUGUCAAGAAGAAAUAUGAUAUUCUUAUUAUUGGGGAUGUGCAUAUCCCCGUUGAGGUAACAUAGUGUUAUUCGAAAUUUCUCCGGUUCCAUGUUAUUCGAAAUGAGUUCGUUAACAAGACUUGAUCAACCUUGUUAGUGGAUUCCUUUUGAUGAUCAUGAGAUGGAUGAAACUAGAAGGCACAACUUUCUGUAUCCCACUUUUACUUUCUGUUAUUUAUAUUAAAUAAAAUAAAAUAAUUAUUUGUCUGUCUGUUAUCUGAUUAUCCAUGCAAUAUAAAAAUACCUCGAAAAUAAAAGUUCUUCAAAUGCCCUGAAAAUUAAAUAUGAUUUUUUCUAGAAUAUUUGAGGAUUUAUGGAACAGAGAACACACCAGGGGGCCAACCACCUUGCCACGAGGGUGGAGGGCGUGCCCACCCCCCUAGGGCGCGCCCCCUACCUCAUGGGCUCACGAUGGCCCUCCUCCACUUAUUCCUGCACCCACACACUUCAUCUUCCUCCUCCAAACACGAAAAACCAGCUCAAACCCGAGUCCAAGCUCGUUUUGCUGCCAUUUUCGAUCUCCUUGCUCAAAGCACCUCUCACAAAACUGCUUGGGGAGAUUGUUCCUUGGUAUGUGACUCCUCCAUUGGUCCAAUUAGUUUUUGUUCUAGUGCUUUAUUCAUUGCAAAUUUUUGCUGCUUAGGUGACCUUGUUCUUGAGCUUGCAUGUCAAAUUUAUAUGGUCAUAAGUAGUUUUGAUGCAUGAUAUAGGCCCUAGACAGUUGUAGGAGUAGUUGCUAUCAAUAUUAUUGAGUUUGGUUUACUUUUAUUUUGAAGUUACUAAAAAAAUUCAGAAUUUUUCAGAGGAAGAAAAUUGCUUAGGAAAAUGUUCCAAGGUGGUUCUUCCAAGAAGCAAGGACCCAGGCUUGCAAUGCGUGAUGCUGACGAAGAGCCACCAAGAGAUGCUCCAGUGCGUCCUUGUGAAUGGCCUUCUGAAAAUUUUAUGGAUCAAGCAGGAAUAAAAGAAGAAUUCAACGCAUAUUUUCGUAACGCUAAUCUCGUGAGCUUCGAGGAAGAGAAGUGCAGUCAGUAUCAUGAGCUCACUAGCUCCUUUGUGAGGAGGUUUGAAUUUCCACUUCAUGUAAUUCUCCAACUGUCCUGUUUGAUCUUUAUGAUAAAUCUUAUACCAUGGACUUAGAGGAUUUUACCACUGCAUGCAAACUUCCACAAUGGGGUAGUAUAAUGGAUCCUCGCAAAUCUGAAUUUAGAGAUUUUCUUGCUGAUAUAACUGUGGGAGAAUCCAGGGAUAUUACACAAGCUACCAUAGGGAGCAUUCACUUUCCUGGCAUACAUUAUUUUGCUCUCUUCAUAGGUAGAUGCAUAAAUGGUAAAGAUGAGGAAUGUCACGUUUGUGUCCCUGACCUCAGUAUUCUUAGGAGUGCUGUGUUAGGAGACAAAUCAUAUAAUUUGGGAGCCAUUGUUGCAUGUAGGUUGCAUCUUAAUAGACGUAAUGGAGAUUUCUUUGGUGGAAUUUAUGCAACCCGCGUAGCUGAAGGAAAUAUGCCCUAGAGGCAAUAAUAAAGUUAUUAUUUAUUUCCUUAUAUCAUGAUAAAUGUUUAUUAUUCUUGCUAGAAUUAUAUUAACCGAAAACAUAAUACAUGUGUGAAUACAUAGACAAACUUAGUGUCACUAGUAUGCCUCUACUUGACUAGCUCGUUAAUCAAAGAUGGUUAUGUUUCCUAACCAUGAGCAAAGUGUUGUUAUUUGAUUAACGAGGUCACAUCAUUAGUUGAAUGAUCUGAUUGACAUGACCCAUUCCAUUAGCUUAGCACCCGAUCGUUUAGUAUGUUGCUAUUGCUUUCUUCAUGACUUAUACAUGUUCCUAUAACUAUGAGAUUAUGCAACUCCCGUUUACCGGAGGAACACUUUGGGUGCUACCAAACGUCACAACGUAACUGGGUGAUUAUAAAGGAGCAUUAUAGGUGUCUCCAAAGGUAGAUGUUGGGUUGGCGUAUUUCGAGAUUAGGAUUUGUCACUCCAAUUGUCGGAGAGGUAUCUCUGGGCCCUCUCGGUAAUACACAUCACUUAAGCCUUGCAAGCAUUGCAACUAAAUGAGUUAGUUGCGGGAUGAUGUAUUACAGAACGAGUAAAGAGACUUGCCGGUAACGAGAUUGAACUAGGUAUUGGAUACCGACGAUCGAAUCUCGGGCAAGUAACAUACCGAUGACAAAGGGAACAACGUAUGUUGUUAUGCGAUCUGACCGAUAAAGAUCUUCAUAGAAUAUGUAGGAGCCAAUAUGGGCAUCCAGGUCCCGCUAUUGGUUAUUGACCGGAGACGUGUCUCGGUCAUGUCUACAUUGUUCUCGAACCCGUAGGGUCCGCACGCUUAAGGUAACGAUGAUAGUUAUAUUAUGAGUUUAUGCAUUUUGAUGUACCGAAGGUUGUUCGGAGUCCCGGAUGUGAUCACGGACAUGAUGAGGAGUCUCGAAAUGGUCGAGACGUAAAGAUUGAUAUAUUGGAAGCCUAUGUUUGGAUAUCGGAAGUGUUCUGGGUGAAAUCAGGAUUUUACCGGAGUACCGGGAGGUUACCGGAACCCCCCGGGAGCCAUAUGGGCCUUAAUGGGCUUUAGUGGAAAGGAGAAAGGGGCAGCCCAAGGUGGCUGCGCACCUCCCCCCUCCCCUAGUCCUAUUAGGACUAGGAGAGGUGGCCGGCCCCCUCUCCCUCUUUCAACCUCGGGGAAUCCUAGUCCAAGUAGGAUUGGGGGGGAGUCCUACUCCCGGAAGGAGUAGGACUCCUCCUGCGCCCUCCCCCUGGCCGGCGCCCCCCUCCCCCUUGGCUCCUUUAUAUACUGAGGCAGAGGCACCCCAGAAAUACACAAGUGGAUCCACGUGAUCUAUUCCUUAGCCGUGUGCGGUGCCCCCAGCCACCAUAUUCCUCGAUAAUACUGUAGCGGAGUUUAGGCGAAGCCCUGCUGCUGUAGUGCAUCAAGAUCGUCACCACGCCGUCGUGCUGACGGAACUCUUCCCCGACACUUUGCUGGAUCGGAGUCUGGGGAUCGUCAUCGAGCUGAACGUGUGCUCGAACUCGGAGGUGCCGUAGUUUCGGUGCUUGAUCGGUUGGAUCGUGAAGACAUACGACUACUUCCUCUACGUCGUGUCAGCGCUUCCGUAGUCGGUCUGCGUUGGGUACGUAGACAACACUCUCCCCUCUCGUUGCUAUGCAUCACAUGAUCUUGCGUGUGCGUAGGAAAUUUUUUUGAAAUUACUACGAAACCCUAAAGUGGCAUCCGAGCCUAGGUUAUUUAUGUUGAUGUUAUAUGCACGAGUAGAACACAAGUGAGUUGUGGGCGAUAUAAGUCAUACUGCCUACCAGCAUGUCAUACUUUGGUUCGACGGCAUUGUUGAACGAGACGACCCGGACCAACAUUACGCGUACGCUUACGCGAGACCGGUUCCCCCGACGUGCUUUGCACACAGGUGGCUUGCGGGCGACUAUCUCUCCAACUUUAGUUGAACCGAGUGUGGCUACGCCCGGUCCUUGCGAAGGUUAAAACGGAGUCUAUUUGACAAACUAUCGUUGUGAUUUUGAUGCGUAGGUGAGAUUGGUUCUUGCUUAAGCCCGUAGCAGCCACGUAAAACUUGCAACAACAAAGUAGAGGACGUCUAACUUGUUUUUGCAGCGCAUGUUGUGAUGUGAUAUGGUCAAGGCAUGAUGCUGAAUUUUAUUGUAUGAAAUGAUCAUGUUUUGUAACUGAGUUAUCGGCAACUGGCAGGAGCCAUAUGGUUGUCGCUUUAUUGUAUGCAAUGCAAUCGCGAUGUAAUGCUUUACUUUAUUACUAAAUGGUAGUGAUAGUCGUGGAAGCAUAAGAUUGGCGAGACGACAACGAUGCUACGAUGGAGAUCAAGGUGUCGCGCCGGUGACGAUGGUGAUCAUGACGGUGCUUCGGAGACGGAGAUCACAAGCACAAGAUGAUGAUGGCCAUAUCAUAUCACUUAUAUUGAUUGCAUGUGAUGUUUAUCUUUUUAUGCAUCUUAUCUUGCUUUGAUUGACGGUAGCAUUAUAAGAUGAUCUCUCACUAAAUUAUCAAGAAGUGUUCUCCCUGAGUAUGCACCGUUGCCAAAGUUCAUCGUGCCCACACACCACGUGAUGAUCGGGUGUGAUAAGCUCUACGUCCAUCUACAACGGGUGCAAGCCAGUUUUUGCACACGCAGAAUACUCAAGUUAAACUUGACGAGCCUAGCAUAUGCAGAUAUGGCCUUGGAACACGGAGACCGAAAGGUCGAGCGUGAAUCAUAUAGUAGAUAUGAUCAACAUAACGAUGUUCACCAUUGAAAACUACUCCAUCUCACGUGAUGAUCGGUUAUGGUUUAGUUGAUUUGGAUCACGUGAUCACUUAGAAGAUUAGAGGGAUGUCUAUCUAAGUGGGAGUUCUUAAGUAAUAUGAUUAAUUGAACUUAAAUUUAUCAUGAACUUAGUCCCUGAUAGUAUCUUGCUUGUUUAUGUUGAUUGUAGAUAGAUGGCUCGUGCUGUUGUUCCGUUGAAUUUUAAUACGUUCCUUGAGAAAGCAAAGUUGAAAGAUGAUGGUAGCAAUUACACGGACUGGGUCCGUAACUUGAGGAUUAUCCUCAUUGCUGCACAGAAGAAUUACGUCCUGGAAGCACCGCUGGGUGCCAAGCCUGCUGCUGGAGCAACACCAGAUGUUAUGAAUGUCUGGCAGAGCAAAGCUGAUGACUACUCGAUAGUUCAGUGUGACAUGCUUUACAGCUUAUAAUCGGGACUUCAACAACAUUUUGAACGUCAUGGAGCAUAUGAGAUGUUCCAGGAGUUAAAGUUAAUAUUUCAAGCAAAUGCCCGGAUUGAGAGAUAUGAAGUCUCCAAUAAGUUCUAUAGCUGCAAGAUGGAGGAGAACAGUUCUGUCAGUGAGCAUAUACUCAAAAUGUCUGGGUAUAAUAAUCACUUGAUUCAAUUGGGAGUUAAUCUUCCGGAUGAUUGCGUCAUUGACAGAAUUCUCCAAUCACUGCCACCAAGCUACAAGAGCUUCGUGAUGAACUAUAAUAUGCAAGGGAUGAACAAGACUAUUCCCGAGCUCUUCGCAAUGCUGAAAGCUGCAGAGGUAGAAAUCAAGAAGGAGCAUCAAGUUUUGAUGGUCAACAAGACCACUAGUUUCAAGCAAAAGGGCAAAGGGAAGAAGAAGGGGAACUUCAAGAAGAACAGCAAACAAGUUGCUGCUCAGGAGAAGAAACCCAAGUCUGGACCUAAGCCUGAAACUGAGUGCUUCUACUGCAAGCAGACUGGUCACUGGAAGCGGAACUGCCCCAAGUAUUUGGCGGAUAAGAAGGAUGGCAAGGUGAACAAAGGUAUAUGUGAUAUACAUGUUAUUGAUGUGUACCUUACUAGAGCUCGCAGUAGCACCUGGGUAUUUGAUACUGGUUCUGUUGCUAAUAUUUGCAACUCGAAACAGGGACUACGGAUUAAGCGAACACUGGCGAAGGACGAGGUGACGAUGCGCGUGGGAAACGGUUCCAAAGUCGAUGUGAUCGCGGUCGGCACGCUACCUCUACAUCUACCUUCGGGAUUAGUAUUAGACCUAAAUAAUUGUUAUUUGGUGCUAGCGUUGAGCAUGAACAUUAUAUCUGGAUCUUGUUUAAUGCGAGAUGGUUAUUCAUUUAAAUCAGAGAAUAAUGGUUGUUCUAUUUAUAUGAGUAAUAUCUUUUAUGGUCAUGCACCCUUGAAGAGUGGUCUAUUCUUAUUGAAUCUCGAUAGUAGUAAUACACAUAUUCAUAAUGUUGAAGCCAAAAGAUGCAGAGUUGAUAAUGAAAGUGCAACUUAUUUGUGGCAUUGUCGUUUAGGUCAUAUCGGUGCAAAGCGCAUGAAGAAACUCCAUACUGAUGGACUUUUGGAACCACUUGAUUAUGAAACACUUGGUACUUGCGAACCGUGCCUCAUGGGCAAGAUGACUAAAACACCGUUCUCCGGUACUAUGGAGAGAGCAACAGAUUUGUUGGAAAUCAUACAUACCGAUGUAUGUGGUCCGAUGAAUAUUGAGGCUCGUGGCGGAUAUCGUUAUUUUCUCACCUUCAAAGGUGAUUUAAGCAGAUAUGGGUAUAUCUACUUAAUGAAACAUAAGUCUGAAACAUUUGAAAAGUUCAAAGAAUUUCAGAGUGAAGUUGAAAAUCAUCGUAACAAGAAAAUAAAGUUUCUACGAUCUGAUCGUGGAGGAGAAUAUUUGAGUUACGAGUUUGGUGUACAUUUGAAAAACUGUGGAAUAUUUUCGCAACUCACGCCACCCGGAACACCAUAGCGUAAUGGUGUGUCCGAACGUCGUAAUCGUACUUUACUAGAUAUGGUGCGAUCUAUGAUGUCUCUUAUAGACUUACCGCUAUCGUUUUGGGGUUAUGCUUUAGAGACGGCCGCAUUCACAUUAAAUAGGGCACCAUCAAAACCCGUUGAGACGACACCUUAUGAACUAUGGUUUGGCAAGAAACCAAAGUUGUCGUUUCUUAAAGUUUGGGGCUGCGAUGCUUAUGUGAAAAAGCUUCAACCUGAUAAGCUCAAACCCAAAUCGGAGAAAUGUGUCUUCAUAGGAUACCCAAAGGAGACUGUUGGGUACACCUUCUAUCACAGAUCCGAAGGCAAGAUAUUCGUUGCUAAAAAUGGAUCCUUUCUAGAGAAGGAGUUUCUCUCGAAAGAAGUGAGUGGGAGGAAAGUAGAACUUGAUGAGGUAACUGUACCUGCUCCCUUACUGGAAAGUAGUACAUCACAAAAAACUGUUUCAGUGACACCUACACCAGUUAGUGAGGAAGCUAAUGAUAAUGAUCAUGAAACUUCAGAUCAAGAUACUACUGAACCUCGUAGAUCAACCAGAGUAAGAUCCGCACCAGAGUGGUACGGUAAUCCUGUUCUGGAAGUCAUGCUACUAGAUCAUGAUGAACCUACGAACUAUGAAGAAGCGAUGGUGAGCCCAGAUUCCGCAAAGUGGCUUGAAGCCAUGAAAUCUGAGAUGGGGUCCAUGUAUGAGAACAAAGUGUGGACUUUGGUUGACUUGCCCAAUGAUCGGCAAGCAAUUGAGAAUAACUGGAUCUUCAAGAAGAAGACUGACGCUGAUGGUAAUGUUACUGUCUACAAAGCUCGACUUGUCGCGAAAGGUUUUCGGCAAGUUCAAGGGAUUGACUACGAUGAGACCUUCUCACCCGUAGCGAUCCUUAAGUCCGUCCAAAUCAUGUUAGCAAUUGCCGCAUUUUAUGAUUAUGAAAUUUGGCAAAUGGAUGUCAAAACUGCAUUCCUGAAUGGAUUUCUGGAAGAAGAGUUGUAUAUGAUGCAACCAGAAGGUUUUGUCGAUCCAAAAGGAGCUAACAAAGUGUGCAAGCUCCAGCGAUCUAUUUAUGGACUGGUGCAAGCCUCUCGGAGUUGGAAUAAACGCUUUGAUAGUGUGAUCAAAGCAUUUGGUUUUAUACAGACUUUCGGAGAAGCCUGUAUUUACAAGAAAGUGAGUGGGAGCUCUGUAGCAUUUCUAAUAUUAUAUGUGGAUGACAUAUUACUAAUUGGAAAUGAUAUAGAAUUACUGGAUAGCAUAAAGGGAUACUUGAAUAAGAGUUUUUUAAUGAAAGACCUUGGUGAAGCUGCUUACAUAUUAGGCAUUAAGAUCUAUAGAGAUAGAUCAAGACGCUUAAUUGGACUUUCACAAAGCACAUACCUUGACAAAGUUUUGAAGAAAUUCAAAAUGGAUCAAGCAAAGAAAGGGUUCUUGCCUGUGUUACAAGGUGUGAAGUUGAGUAAGACUCAAUGCCCGACCACUGCAGAAGAUAGAGAGAAAAUGAAAGAUGUUCCCUAUGCUUCAGCCAUAGGCUCUAUCAUGUAUGCAAUGCUGUGUACCAGACCUGAUGUGUGCCUUGCUAUAAGUUUAGCAGGGAGGUACCAAAGUAAUCCAGGAGUGGAUCACUGGACAGCGGUCAAGAACAUCUUGAAAUACCUGAAAAGGACUAAGGAUAUGUUUCUCGUAUAUGGAGGUGACAAAGAGCUCACCGUAAAAGGUUACAUUGAUGCAAGCUUUGACACUGAUCCGGAUGAUUCUAAAUCGCAAACCGGAUACGUGUUUACAUUAAACGGUGGAGCUGUCAGUUGGUGCAGUUCUAAACAAAGCAUCGUAGCGGGAUCUACAUGUGAAGCGGAGUACAUAGCUGCUUCAGAAGCAACGAACGAAGGAGUCUGGAUGAAGGAGUUCAUAUCGGAUCUAGGUGUCAUACCUAGUGCAUCGGGUCCAAUGAAAAUCUUUUGUGACAAUACUGGUGCAGUUGCCUUGGCAAAGGAAUCCAGAUUUCACAAAAGGACCAAGCACAUCAAGAGACGCUUCAACUCCAUCCGGGAUCUAGUCCAGGUGGGAGACAUAGAGAUUUGCAAGAUACAUACGAAUCUGAAUGUUGCAGACCCGUUGACUAAGCCUCUUCCACGAGCAAAACAUGAUCAGCACCAAGGCUCCAUGGGUGUUAGAAUCAUUACAGUGUAAUCUAGAUUAUUGACUCUAGUGCAAGUGGGAGACUGAAGGAAAUAUGCCCUAGAGGCAAUAAUAAAGUUAUUAUUUAUUUCCUUGUAUCAUGAUAAAUGUUUAUUAUUCAUGAUAGAAUUGUAUUAACCGGAAACAUAAUACAUGUGUGAAUACAUAGACAAACUUAGUGUCACUAGUAUGCCUCUACUUGACUAGCUCGUUAAUCAAAGAUGGUUCUGUUUCCUGACCAUGGGCAAAGUGUUGUUAUUUGAUUAACGAGGUCACAUCAUUAGUUGAAUGAUCUGAUUGACAUGACCCAUUCCAUUAGCUUAGCACCCGAUCGUUUAGUAUGUUGUUAUUGCUUUCUUCAUGACUUAUACAUGUUCCUAUAACUAUGAGAUUAUGCAACUCCCGUUUACCGGAGGAACACUUUGGGUGCUACCAAACGUCACAACGUAACUGGGUGAUUAUAAAGGAGCAUUACAGGUGUCUCCAAAGGUAGAUGUUGGGUUGGCGUAUUUCGAGAUUAGGAUUUAUCACUCCGAUUGUCGGAGAGGUAUCUCUGGGCCCUCUAGGUAAUACACAUCACUUAAGCCUUGCAAGCAUUGCAACUAAAUGAGUUAGUUGCGGGAUGAUGUAUUACAGAACGAGUAAAGAGACUUGCCGGUAACGAGAUUGAACUAGGUAUUGGAUACCGACGAUCGAAUCUCGGGCAAGUAACAUAUCGAUGACAAAGGGAACAACGUAUGUUGUUAUGCGGUCUGACCGGUAAAGAUCUUCGUAGAAUAUGUAGGAGCCAAUAUGGGCAUCUAGGUCCCGCUAUUGGUUAUUGACCGGAGACGUGUCUCGGUCAUGUCUACAUUGUUCUCGAACCCGUAGGGUCCGCACGCUUAAGGUAACGAUGACGGUUAUAUUAUGAGUUUAUGCAUUUUGAUGUACCGAAGGUUGUUCGGAGUCCCGGAUGUGAUCACGGACAUGACGAGGAGUCUCGAAAUGGUUGAGACAUAAAGAUUGAUAUAUUGGAAGCCUAUGUUUGGAUAUCAGAAGUGUUCCGGGUGAAAUCGGGAUUUUAUCGGAGUACCGGGAGGUUACCGGAACCCCCCGGGAGCCAUAUGGGCCUUAAUGGGCUUUAGUGGAAAGGAGAAAGGGGCAGCCCAAGGUGGCUGCGCACCUCCCCCUCCCCUAGUCCUAUUAGGACUAGGAGAGGUGGCCGGCCCCCCUCUCCCUCUUUCCCCCUCGGGGAAUCCUAGUCCAACUAGGAUUGGGGGGGGGGGGAGUCCUACUCCCGAAAGGAGUAGGACUCCUCCUACGCCCUCCUCCUGGCCGGUGCCCCCUCCCCCUUGGCUCCUUUAUAUACUGAGGCUGAGGCACCCCAGAUAUACACAAGUUGAUCCACGUGAUCUAUUCCUUAGCCGUGUGCGGUGCCCCCAGCCACCAUAUUCCUCGAUAAUACUGUAGCGGAGUUUAGGCGAAGCCCUGCUGCUGUAGUGCAUCAAGAUCGUCACCACACCGUCGUGCUGACGGAACUCUUCCCCGACACUUUGCUGGAUCGGAGUCCGGGGAUCGUCAUCGAGCUGAACGUGUGCUCGAACUCGGAGGUGCCAUAGUUUCGGUGCUUGAUCGGUUGGAUCGUGAAGACGUACGACUACUUCCUCUACGUCGUGUCAGUGCUUCCGCAGUCGGUCUGCGUUGGGUACGUAGACAACACUCUCCCCUCUCGUUGCUAUGCAUCACAUGAUCUUGCGUGUGCGUAGGAAAUUUUUUGAAAUUACUACGAAACCCUACAGUAGCUAAUUUUAUUGGUAUAGAUGUGCGUGAAGAUGAUAUUGAAUUACCUCCUGCCUAUCUAGAUUUUAAUGCUAUGGUUCACCACUAGUUUGUCGAGAGGAACGAAUCACCUCUCCAGUAUCGACUAAUCUUUGACAGACGCCGUGCUGUCCGUAUUACUCUCCCAGCUCCUGCUUUCUUUGAUUAUCAGGCAAGAGGAGGAUAUACUAUUACCACAGAGGAGGCAGAUGAGUACGAGAGGAGAGAGGAGGUUGCUCGUCGCCACGCUGCAGCUCAACAGGCGAUAGCCGCUGCAUCACAGUACGACCCCAACAACUAUUAUUAUGGAUAUCCGCCAGGCCAGCCGUGGCCAUUGACCAACUUAGGCAAAAAUCCUAAGCUUGGGGAGUACGUAUUUCCCACCGACAUUAUAUUCAUGUUCACACACUCAUUGCUAAAUGUCGGUGCUCAUACUUUUUCAUUGUAUCAUCCAUGCUAGUUUGUUUUCCUUUUUAUGCUUUCUUCUUGUGUGUUUGAUAAACCUUAAGAAAAACCAAAAAAAAUUAGUUGUCGUUUUUAAUUAGUUUACUUUACAUGCUUGUAGUAGUAAUUAAAAAGAAAACCCAAAAAGAUUUCCGGUUCUUCUUUUGCUUUUUGGGAGCUUUCCCGUGUAAAUAGUUUUAUUUCUUUUCUUUUCUUUGGGAGUCAAUAGGAGAAGACCAUAAUUAAAUUGUUGAAGUGGCUCUUAUAUGCAUUAUUGUUGAUCUGACAAAAGAGCCCAUAUUGCCUUGUCUUCUCCUGUUUAUUGAAUGCCUGCAGAUUCCAUCUUAGUCCAAUGCACGUGCACUAUUAUUAUUAUUCACAUCAUUCGGUCUUGCAAGUGAAAGGCAAUUAUGAUGAUAUAUGAUGGACUGGCUGAGAUGAGAAAAGCUGAUAUGAAGUCGACCUCUUUCGUUUUUGUAAAUAUGAUUAGUUCAUCGUUCCUGAUUCAGCCUAUUAUGAUUAAACAUGUUUGCAAUGACAACUAGAGAUCAUAGUUUCUUAUGCCAUGCUUGAUUAGCUAUGAGUUAUAAUGGUUUACCUUGCGUGCCAACAUGCUAUUAAAAUGGUUAUGAUGUGGUAUGAUAGGGUGGUAUCCUCCUCUGAAUGAUAUAAGUGACUUGACUUGGCACAUGUUCACGCAUGUAGUUGAAACAAAAUCAACAUAGCCUUCAUGAUAUUUAUGUUCAUGGUGGAUUAUAUCCUACUCAUGCUUGCAUUCAGUGUUGAUUAAUUUUAAUGCACGCUCAUGACUGUUGUCGCUCUCUAGCUGGUCGCUUCCCAGUCUUUUGCUAGCCUUCACCUGUACUAAGCGGGAAUACUGCUUGUGCAUCCAAUCCCUUAAACCCCAAAGUUAUCCCACAUGAGUCCACUACACCUACCUAUAUACGGUAUCUACCUGCCGUUCCAAGUAAAUUUGUAUGUGCCAAACUCUAAACCUUCAAAUAAAUAUCCUGUUUUGUAUGCUCGAAUAGCUCAUGUAUCAACUAGGGCUGUCUGUAUCUUCCAUGUUAGGCGGGUUAUUCUCAAGAGGAGUGGACUCCGCUCCUCACUCACGAGAUAAAUGGCUGGUCACCGGGAUGCCCAGUCCCAUGCUUUAUGCAAACUAAAUCAAAAUAAUUGCAAACAAAACUCCCCCUGGGACUCUUGUUAGUUGGAGGCACUCGUUGUUUCGAGCAAGCCAUGGAUUGAUGCUUGUGGUGGAAGGGGGAUCAUAAACUUUACCAUUCUGUUUGGGAACCGCCUAUAAUGUGUGUAGCAUGGAAGAUAUCACCAUCUCUUGGUUGUUAUGUUGACAAUGAAAGUAUACCGCUCAAAAUAUUAUUCACCUCUGUUUCAAAACUGAGUUCUAGCACCUCUACAAAUUCCUGCUUUCCUCUGCGAAGGGCCUAUCUAUUUACUUUUAUGCUCAGUCAUCAUCCUCUAAUUAAAAAGCACCAGUUGGAGAGCACCGCUGUCAUUUGCAUUCAUUAUUGUUAGUUUACAUUGAGUAUGACUUGACUGGAUCUCUUUUACCAUGAAUUACAAUGUCUAGUCAGUCCUUGGUCUUUAAAGGUGCUCUGCCUUUAUGUUUUGCGGUCUCAAAAAGGGCUAGCGAGAUACCACCUUGUUAUAUCAUAUUAUGAUUGUUUUGAGAAAGUGUUGUCAUCCGAGUUUUAUUAUUAUGGCUCGCUAGUUGAUUAUGCUAUUGAUAUGAGUAACUUGAGACCUAUGCGUUAUUGCGAAUGUGGUUAGUUAUAAUCUUUGCUGAAAACUUGAAUGCUGGCUUUACAUGUUUACAACAACAAGAGCAAACAGAGUUUGUAAAAGUUUUGCUUUAUCACUUUCAGUUUGUCAACUGAAUUGCUUGAGGACAAACAAAGGUUUAAGCUUGGGGGAGUUGAUACGUCUCCAACGUAUCUAAUUUUCCAAACACUUUUGCCCUUGUUUUGGAGUCUAACUUGCAUGAUUUGAAUGGAACUAACCCGGACUGACGCUGUUUUCAGCAGAAUUACGAUGGUGUUAUUUAUGUGCAGGAUCAAACGUUCUCGGAAUGACCUGAAACUUCACGGAGACACUUUUCAGAAAAUAAGAAAAAUACCUGCCAAAGAUGAAGGCCAGGGGGCCCACCGUCUUGCCACGAGGGUGGGGGGCGCGUCCCCCUACCUCAUGGGCCCCCUAUUGCAUAUCCGACUCCAACUCCACCUCCAUAUAUUGAGUUUCGAUGAGAAAAAUCAGAGAGAAGAAAUCAUCAUGUUUUACGAUACGGAGCCGCCACCAAGCCCUAAAACCUCUCGAGAGGGCUGAUCUGGAGUCCGUUCAGGGCUCCAGAGAGGGGAAUUCGUCGCCAUCGUCAUCAUCAACCAUCCUCCAUCACCAAUUUCAUGAUGCUCACCGUCGUCCGUGAGUAAUUCCAUCGUAGGUUUGCUGGACGGUGAUGGGUUGGAUGGGAUCUAUCAUGUAAUCGAGUUAGUUUUGUUAGGGUUUGAUCCCUAGUGUCCAUUAUGUUCUGAGAUUGAUGUUGCUAUGACUUUGCUAUGCUUAAUGCUUGUCACUAGGGCCCGAGUGCCAUGAUUUCAGAUCUGAACCUAUUAUGUUUUCAUCAAUAUAUGAGUGUUCUUGAUCCUAGCUUGCAAGUCUAUAGUCACCUAUUAUGUGUUAUGAUCCGUUAACCCCGAAGUGACAAUAAUCGGGAUACUUAUAGGUGAUGACCGUAGUUUGAGGAGUUCAUGUAUUCACUAUGUGUUAAUGCUUUAUUCCGGUUCUCUAUUAAAAGGAGGCCUUAAUAUCCCUUAGUUUCCGUAAGGACCCCGCUGCCACGGGAGGGUAGGACAAAAGAUGUCAUGCAAGUUCUUUUCCAUAAGCACGUAUGACUAUGUUCGGAAUACAUGCCUACAUUAUAUCAAUGAACUGGAGCUAGUUUUGUGUCACCCUAGGUUAUGACUGUUACAUGAUGAACCGCAUCCGGCAUAAUUCUCUAUCACCGAUCCGUUGCCUACGAGCUUUCCAUAUAUUGUUCUUCGCUUAUUUACUUUUCUGUUGCUAUUGCUAUCAUCACUACAAAAUACCAAAAACAUUACUUUUACUACUGUUACCUUUUGCUACCGUUAUCACUACUAUCAUAUUACUUUGCUACUAAACACUUUGAUGCAGAUAUUUGUUGGGGAAUGUAGUAAUUUCAAAAUUUUCCUACGCACACGCAAGAUCAUGGUGAUGCAUAGCAACGAGAGGGGAGAGUGUGAUCUACAUACCCUCGUAGACUGACAGCGGAAGUGUUAUGACAACGCGGUUGAUGUAGUCGUACGUCUUCACGGCCUGACCGAUCAAGCACCGAAACUACGGCACCUCCGAGUUCUAGCACACGUUCAGCUCGAUGACGAUCCCUGGACUCCGAUCCAGCAAAGUGUCGGGGAAGAGUUCCGUCAGCAGGACGGCGUGGUGACGAUCUUGAUGUUCAACUGUCGCAGGGCUUUGCCUAAGCACCACUACAAUAUUAUCGAGGACUAUGGUGGAAGGGGGCACCGCACACGGUUAAGAGAACGAUCUUAGAGAUCAACUUGUGUGUCUAUGGGGUGCCCCCUGCCCCCGUAUAUAAAGGAGUGGAGGAGGGGAGGGCCGGCCCUCUCUAUGGCGCGCCCUAGGGGAGUCCUACUCCCACCGGGAGUAGGAUUCCCCCUUUCCUAGUCCAACUAGGAGUCCUUCCAAGUAGUAGGAGUGGGACACAAGGAAGGGGAAGAGGGAAGAGAAGGAAGGAGGGGGCGCCGCCCCUCCCCCUGGUCCAAUUCGGACUAGUCAAUGGGGGGCGCGUGGCCUGCCUCUCCCUCUCCCCUAAAGCCCAAUAAGGCCCAUAUACUUAUUCUCCCGUAUUCCCGUAACUCCCCGGUACUCUGAAAAAUACCCGAAUCACUCGGAACCUUUCCGAUGUCUGAAUAUAGUCGUCCAAUAUAUCGAUCUUUACAUCUCGACCAUUUCGAGACUCCUCGUCAUGUCCCCAAUCUCAUCCGGGACUCCGAACUCCUUCGGUACAUCAAAACUCAUAAUAUAACUGUCAUCGAAACCUUAAGCUUGCGGACCCUACGGGUUCGAGAACAAUGUAGACAUGACCGAGCCACGUCUCCAUUCAAUAACCAAUAGCGGAACCUGGAUGCUCAUAUUGGCUCCCACAUAUUCUACAAAGAUCUUUAUCGGUCAGACUAGAUAACAACAUACGUUGUUCCCUUUGUUAUCGGUAUGUUACUUGCCCAAGAUUCGAUCGUCGGUAUUUUAAUACCUAGUUCAAUCUCGUUACCGGCAAGUCUCUUUACUCAUUCCGUAAUACAUCAUCUCUCAACUAACUCAUUAGUUGCAAUGCUUGCAAGGCUUAUGUGAUGUGCAUUACCGAGAGGGCCCAGAGAUACCUAUCCGACAAUCGGAGUGACAAAUCCUAAUCUCGAAAUACGCCAACCCAACAUGUACCUUUGGAGACACCUGUAGAGCUCCUUUAUAAUCACCUAGUUACGUUGUCACGUUUGGUAGCACACAAAGUGUUCCUCCGGCAAACGGGAGUUGCAUAAUCUCAUAGUCAUAGGAACAUGUAUAAGUCAUGAAGAAAGCAAUAGCAACAUACUAAGCGAUCGAGUGCUAAGCUAAUGGAAUGGGUCAUGUCAAUCACAUCAUUCUUCUAAUGAUGUGAUCCCGUUAAUAAAAUAACAACUCUUUUGUUCAUGGUUAGAAAACAUAACCAUCUUCGAUUAAUGAGCUAGUCAAGUAGAGGCAUACUAGUGACACUCUGUUUUCUAUGUAUUCACACAUGUAUUAUGUUUCUGGUUAAUACAAUUCUAGCAUGAAUAAUAAACAUUUAUCAUGAUAUAAGGAAAUAAAUAAUAACUUUAUUAUUGCCUCUAGGGCAUAUUUCCUUCAGUCUCCCACUUGCACUAGAGUCAAUAAUCUAGUUCACAUCGCCAUGUGAUUCAACACUAAUAGUUCACAUCACCAUGUGAUUAACACCCAUAGUUCACAUCGUCAUGUGACCUAUACCCAAAGGGUUUACUAGAGUCAGUAAUCUAGUUCACAUCGUUUAUGUGAUUAACACCCAAAGAGUACUAAGGUGUGAUCAUGUUUUGCUUGUGAGAUAAUUUUAGUCAACGGGUCUGUCACAUACAUAUCCGUAAGUAUUUUGCGAAUUCUAUGUCUACAAUGCUCUGCACGGAGCUACUCUAGCUAAUUGCUCCCACUUUUAAUAUGUAUCUAGAUCGAGUCUUAGAGUCAUCCAGAUCUGUGUCAAAACUUGCAUCGACGUAACUUUUUACGACGAACCUUUUUGUCACCUCCAUAAUUGAGAAAUAUUGCCUUAUUCCACUAAGGAUAAUUUUGACCGCUGUCCAUUGAUCUAUUCUUAGAUCACUAUUGUACUCCCUUGCUUAACAUAGUGUAGGGUAUACAAUAGAUCUGGUACACAACAUGGCAUACUUUAUAGAACCUAUGGCUGAGGCAUAGGGAAUGACUUUCAUUCUCUUUCUAUCUUCUGCCGUGGUCGGGCUUUGAGUCUUACUCAAUUUCACACCUUGUAACACAGCCAAGAACUCUUUCUUUGACUGUUCCAUUUUUGAACUACUUCAAAAUAUUGUCAAGGUAUGUACUCAUUGAAAAAACUUAUCAAGCGUCUUGAUCUAUCUCUAUAGAUCUUGAUGCUUAAUAUGUAAGCAGCUUCAUCGAGGUCUUUCUUUGAAAAACUCCUUUCAAACAUUCCUUUAUGCUUUGCAGAAUAAUUCUACAUUAUCUCCGAUCAACAAUAUGUCAUUCACAUAUACUUAUCAGAAAUGCUAUAGUGCUCCCACUCACUUUCUUGUAAAUACAGGCUUCACCGCAAGUCUGUAUAAAACUAUAUGCUUUGAUCAACUCAUCAAAGCGUAUAUUCCAACUCUGAGAUGGAUCGCUGGAGCUUGCACAUUUUGUUAACACCUUUAGGAUUGACAAAACCUUCUAGUUGCAUCAUAUACAAUAAAUCCAUUAAGGAAUGUAGUUUUGUUUAUCCAUUUGCCAGAUUUCACAAAAUGCGACAAUCGCUAACAUGAUUCGGACAGACUUAAGCGUAGAUACGAGUGAGAAACUCUCAUCGUAGUCAACACCUUGAACUUGUAGAAAACCUUUUGCGACAAUUCUAGCUUUGUAGAUAGUAACACUACUAUCAGCGUCCGUCUUCCUCUUGAAGAUCCAUUUAAUCUCAAUGGCUUGCCGAACAUCGGGCAAGUCAACCAAAGUCCGUACUUUGUUCUCAUACAUGGAUCCUAUCUCAGAUUUCAUGGCCUCAAGCCAUUUUGCGGAAUCUGGGCUCAUUAUCGCUUCCUCAUAGUUCGUAGGUUCGUCAUGGUCAAGUAGAAUGACCUCCAGAACAAGAUUACCGUACCACUCUGGUGCGGAUCUCACUCUGGUUAACCUACGAGAUUCGGUAGUAACUUGAUCUGAAGUUACAUGAUCAUCAUCAUUAGCUUCCUCACUAAUUGGUGUAGUAGUCACAGGAACAGAUUUCUAUGAUGAACUACUUUCCAAUAAGGGAGAAGGUACAAUUACCUUAUCAAGUUCUACUUUCCUCCCACUCACUUCUUUCAAGAGAAUCUCCUUCUCUAGAAAGGAUCCAUUCUUAGCAACGAAUGUCUUGCCUUCGGAUCUGUGAUAGAAGGUGUACCCAACAGUCUCCUUUGGGUAUCCUAUGAAGACAUAUUUCUCCGAUUUGGGUUUGAGCUUAUCAGGAUGAAACUUUUUCAUAUAAGCAUCACAAUCCCAAACUUUAAGAAACGACAACUUUGGUUUCUUGCCAAACCACGGUUCAUAUUGUGUCGUCUCAACGGACUUAGAUGGUGCCCCUUUUUAACGUGAAUGCAGCUGUCUCUAAUGCAUGAUCCCAAAAACGAUAUUGGUAAAUAGGUAAGAAACAUCAUAUAUUAUACUAUAUCCAAUAAAGUACGGUUAUGACGAUCGGACACACCAUUAUGUUGUGGUGUUCCAGGUGGCAUGAGUUUGUGAAACUAUUCCACAAUGUUUUAAUUGAAGACCAAACUCGUAACUCAAAUAUUUGUCUCUGCGAUCAGAUCGUAGAAACUUUAUUUUCUUGUCACGAUGAUUUUCCACUUCACACUGAAAUACUUUGAACUUUUCAGACUUAUGUUUCAUCAAGUAGAUAUACUCAUAUCUGCUUAAAUCAUCUGUGAAGGUCAGAAAAUAAUGAUACUUGUCGUGAGCCUUAAUAUUCAUCGGACCACAUACAUCAGCAUGUAUGAUUUCCAACAAAUCUGUUGCUCGCUCCAUUGUUCCGGAGAACGGAGUCUUUAGUCAUCUUGCCCAUAAGGCAUGGUUCGCAAGCACCAAGUGAUUCAUAAUCAAGUGAUUCCAAAAUCCCAUCAGCAUGGAGUUUCUUCAUGCGCUUUACACCAAUAUGAACUAAACGGCAGUGCCACAAAUAAGUUGCACUAUCAUUAUUAACUUUGCAUCUUUUGGUUUCAAUAUUAUGAAUAUGUGUAUCACUACGAUCGAGAUCCAGUGAACCAUUUUCAUUGGGUGUGUAACCAUAUAAGGUUUUAUUCAUGUAAACAGAACAACAAUUUAUUCUCUUACUUAAAUGAAUAACCGUAUUACAAUAAACAUGAUCAAAUCAUAUUCAUGCUCAACGCAAACACCAAAUAACACUUAUUUAGGUUCAACACUAAUCCCGAAAGUAUAGGGAGUGUGCGAUGAUGAUCAUAUCAAUCUUGGAACCACUUCCAACACACAUCGUCACUUCACCCUUAACUAGUCUCUGUUUAUUCUGCAACUCCCGUUUCGAGUUACUAAUCUUAGCAACUGAACUAGUAUCCAAUACUGAGGGGUUGCUAUAAACACUAGUAAAGUACACAUCAAUAACAUGUAUAUCAAAUAUACUUAUGUUCACUUUGCCAUCCUUCUUAUCCGCCAAUCACUUGGGGUAGUUCCGCUUCCAGUGACCAGUCCCUUUGCAGUAGAAGCACUUAGUCUCAGGCUUAGGACCAGACUUGGGUUUUUCACUUGAGCAACAACUUGCUUGCCGUUCUUCUUGAGGUUCCCCAUCUUCCCUUUGCUGUUUUCUUGAAACUAGUGGUCUCGUCAACCAUCAACAUUUGAUGUUUUUCUUGAUUUCUAACUUUGUCGAUUUUAGCAUCACGAAGAGCUUGGGAAUUGUAUCCGUUAUCCCUUGCAUAUUAUAGUUCAUCACGAAGUUCUACUAACUUGGUGAUGGUGACUAGAGAAUUCUGUCAAUCACUAUCUUAUCUGGAAGAUUAACUCCCACUUGAUUCAAGCGAUUGUAGUACCCAGACAAUCUGAGCACAUGCUCACUAGUUGAGCGAUUCUCCUCCAUCUUUUAGCUAUAAAACUUGUUGGAGACUUCAUAUCUCUCAACUCGGGUAUUUGCUUGAAAUAUUAACUUCAACUCCUGGAACAUCUCAUAUGGCCCAUGACGUUCAAAACGUCUUUGAAGUCCCGAUUCUAAGCCAUUAAGCAUGGUGCACUAAACUAUCAAGUAGUCAUCAUAUUUAGCUAGCCAAACGUUCAUAACGUCUGCAUCUGCUCCUACAAUAGGUCUAUCACCUAGCGGUGCAUCAAGGACAUAAUUCUUCUAUGCAGCAAUAAGGAUAAACCUCAGAUCACGGAUCCAAUCCGCAUCAUUGCUACUAACAUCUUUCAACACAAUUUUCUCUAGGAACAUAUCAAAAAUAAACAUAUGAAAGCAACAACGCGAGAAUGCAUAAACUCAUAAUAUAACUGUCAUCGUAACCUUAAGCGUGCAGACCCUACGGGUUCGAGAACAAUGUAGACAUGACCGAGACACGUCUCCGGUCAAUAACCAAUAGCGGGACCUGGAUGCCCAUUUGGCUCCUACAUAUUCUACGAAGAUCUUUAUCGGUCAGACCGCAUAACAACAUACGUUGUUCCCUUUGUCAUCGGUAUGUUACUUGCCCGAGAUUUGAUCGUUGGUAUCUUAAUACCUAGUUCAAUCUCGUUACCGACAAGUCUCUUUACUCGUUCCGUAAUACAUCAUCUCUCAACUAACUCAUUAGUUGCAAUGCUUGCAAGGCUUAUGUGAUGUGCAUUACUGAGAGGGCCCAGAGAUACCUCUCCGACAAUCGGAGUGACAAAUCCUAAUCUCGAAAUACGCCAACCAGACAUGUACCUUUGGAGACACCUGUAGAGCUCCUUUAUAAUCACCCAGUUACGUUGUGACGUUUGGUAGCACACAAAGUGUUCCUCCGGCAAACGGGAGUUGCAUAAUUUCAUAGUCAUAGGAACAUGUAUAAGUCAUGAAGAAAGCAAUAACAACAUACUAAACGAUCGGGUGCUAAGCUAAUGGAAUGGGUCAUGUCAAUCACAUCAUUCUUCUAAUGAUGUGAUCCCGUUAAUCAAAUAACAACUCUUUUAUUCAUGGUUAGGAAACAUAACCAUCUUCGAUUAACGAGCUAGUCAAGUAGAGGCAUACUAGUGACACUCUGUUUGUCUAUGUAUUCACACAUGUAUUAUGUUUCCGGUUAAUACAAUUCUAGCAUGAAUAAUAAACAUUUAUCAUGAUAUAAGGAAAUAAAUAAUAACUUUAUUAUUGCCUCUAGGUCAUAUUUCCUUCAAUAUUAAGUUUCCAGGUGUGGUUGAAUUGACAACUCAGCUGCUAAUACUGGCUCCCCUUGUGUCGAAUCAAUAAAUUUGGGUUGCGAAAUUUGUUGCGAUCCCCUAUACUUGUGGGUUAUCAAUACGCAGCCCUACCAGGCCAGAUGAUCUGAAUGAAGUAGAUGACGGCUCCCAAUAUCUGAAAAAUACCGGGGAGGGUGAUGAUAAGAUAUUCGAUCAGGAUGACCGAGCUGAUGAAGUCAUGAACUAUGAUUAUGAUUAUGAUUAUGAUGACACAGACAAUGUUGAUCUUGAAAUAACAAAGACUACGGGCGAGGUAUAUUUAUAAGAAGGCAUCUAGUGAUCAUCACAUAUUUUUUAUUUGAAGAUAUAUCAACGAAUCGAUCUUUCUUCUUUCAGCCCUCCGGAUCGAGCAAAUCUGCUUCUACAGACAGCAGGAAAAAGCGAGGCCCGGGCAAAAAGUUGAAGGAGGGUGUAAAGUACAACAUCGAUUCCAUCAAAGCUUCUGGCGAACCCCUUUCGCCUAAGAACAUUGCGAACAAGUUCGUUCGUCAGUGCGGAGUUCUUGUGAAGGACCAACUCCCGAUCUCCAUUCAAGAAUGGAAAGAGCCAAAAACUAAACGCCCAAAUGUUACUUGGGUCGACGAUAGAGCAAAAAAGCAAUCUUUGGGAAUCUCUGAUGGAACAUUUCACCCUACCAGAUUAUUUCAUUGAUGCAGAUGUGCAGAAAGUCAAGGAAGCUGCUCUUAAGAAGAUGGCAAUUGCAUUCAACACCCACAAGAAAACUGUAUGGGCCAACUACCUCGCUGCAGACAGGAAGACUCCUGAAUUCACUGGAACACUGGAGAAGCAAAGAGAAAACUGGCCCGCUUUUGUGGAAUUCAAGGAAUUAGAAUUAUCUAAGGAACGGUCGAGAAAAAACAAGGCCAAUGCCGCAAAAAAGACGCAGUUCCAUAGGCUGGGGCCAGGUGACUACACGGUGGCAAUGCCUAAGUGGGAUAAGUUUGAGCAAGAUAUGGAGGAUCACUACAAGAAACCUAUUAAUCCAUGACGGAUUUCUCAUGACAUUUUCAGAAACUGUCAUGGAUGGGCUGGUACACCCCGCAAGCCCGCCAAAGCUCGCUAAAGCCCGACUACCCGUUUCCCGUAUAAAAACCUAACCCUAACACCCUCCUACUCGGCACACUCUCUCCCCCGCAGCGCACUCCCAUUCCCCCUCAUCUCACAGCGCCGCCACCCACCCCCGUUCGCCUCCCUCAUCUCACAGCGCCNNNNNNNNNNNNNNNNNNNNNNNNNNNNNNNNNNNNNNNNNNNNNNNNNNNNNNNNNNNNNNNNNNNNNNNNNNNNNNNNNNNNNNNNNNNNNNNNNNNNNNNNNNNNNNNNNNNNNNNNNNNNNNNNNNNNNNNNNNNNNNNNNNNNNNNNNNNNNNNNNNNNNNNNNNNNNNNNNNNNNNNNNNNNNNNNNNNNNNNNNNNNNNNNNNNNNNNNNNNNNNNNNNNNNNNNNNNNNNNNNNNNNNNNNNNNNNNNNNNNNNNNNNNNNNNNNNNNNNNNNNNNNNNNNNNNNNNNNNNNNNNNNNNNNNCACAGUGCCGCCACCCACCCCCGUUCAUCUCCCUCAUCAAAAGCUCGUCGCCGCCCUCCUCCCCACCUCUCACCUCGCAGCAUCGGCAGUUGCCAGAUCUAACGAAUCCCCGACCCAUCCAACCCUCUCGCAACCCAUCUCUCUCUCACAUGAGACCCCUCACGCCGGGACUAGCGCCCGUCGAUUCCGGCGGGUCUCCAACCCUCUGCCGUCCAGUCCGGCUGGAUGCCGCUCCCGGUGUCCGGCGCUCGCCCGCAACCCCUAGCCCGUGGCUAGAGUUUUGGCUGUAGUGCCGCGUCCGUCACCGACGUGUCUCUAGCGGCCCCUCUCCAUCGCACGUUAUGCCCCCUCGCACCGUCUUCGCCUCCUGGAUGGCUGCCCCUAAUCGAUGUGCUUGCCUGCGUUGGGCUGGCGGCGCAAAUUUUGUUCUAUUCCCAAGUUGGCUGCUAAUAUGAUUUUAACCCAUUAGUUUCUGCUAUCUUGCUGCUGCAAUACCUGAAUUUUUUUGGUUGCUAAUAUGAUUUUAACAAUUUCGCUACAAUAUCACCAGCUUAUCUAGUGAUUUGGAAAAUUUUGCUAAUGCAAUAGUUUGAAGCAAAACCUCUGUUAUCAGUUGUACAGGAACUUUGAUGCCAUCUCAUCUGGUUGGGCUGUGUCAAGGGAAGGGAAGAGGGCCAUAUCAUGGAGUAGCUGCAAUGGCAUGCAGGAGAGGAGGGCCGACCCCUACGCCACUGAAGGUCUUUCUCUGUUCCGUUAAUGAGCUAGGAGAAUCAUCAACCAACUUAAACAAAUAUGAUCAUAUUCAUUUGAUUAAUCAAUCUCUUUUGAUCCCACAAGUUGGACCAUACUAGACAUGAAGGAGAUCUAGAAAAUUGUGCCUUUUCAUUUGAUGCUUGCUUGUAUUCACACACUGGAUGGUCAUGUGAAGAAUUUUACAUUUGUUUGUCAAAUAUUGCUUGCAGGUCAUGUGUAUAAAAUGUUUACCCAAGUUGUUGAUGCCACCAUCUAUCCUUUUUAGUUAAGUUAAUCGACACACAUUCCUUCAGCGGAUGCAUUCAUGAUUAAGUUUUUUUCUUUUGGAUUUCUGGUUUUGAUUCAUGUCAAAUCAAAUACAAAUAUGCAAUUGGUGCAAGUAUAUUACUGCUACUCUUAUCAGGCAUAUACUUUGUUCUAAUCAAAUUUGAUAGGAUUAAUGUGACACACUACCCGUAUUCAGUGCAGAGGACUAGCUGGCCUGGUCUCCUUAGCUAGUUGUUAUCAUGCACCUUCUCCUGUCCUUAAUCUGUUGUUAUCACACACUAAAUUUGUUAUCACACACUAAAUUUGUAGUUCUUGUGCAAGCUGAUGUGGUUUGCCACUAUUGUCACCUUGUAUAAAUAUAUACUAGUUAAGUUCAUUUCAUUAUUGUUGCCGGGUUUAUAUGGUCUCAACUACUGCUGCUAUAGUACUUGGAGUUCUGUGUUGUGUGUUUUGUUACUUUGUCAUUUGACACACUUUUCUUUGGAUUUAUUUUAAGCAACCUCAUGUUCACUCUUGUUUUAUAGUAGAUACAAUGUUAUUCUCAUUUGUAGGCACUAUAAGAUUGAAGAAUUUUGGACAACAUGUAAUUCAUUUUUAUAUUUGUUGCAAUUCUCUUAUUUCUACUAUCUAUUCAUUAUUACAAACUUCUAAUAUUCUUGUAAAUAUGCUAGGUAAGAUUGGAUAGCGAUUUACUUGGUGCUGCCCAUCAUAAUCCACCAUGACAUGAUAGUUUCCAUCAAGGGCACCGACCGCAAGAGCUUGAAUAAUAGUAGUUUAUGUGCUCUGUUGAUGUAAAAUGGACUAUACCGGUUCCUAACUCUGUUGUGAUAUAUAGUGUCAAUAUGUGCUGUGAUGUAAUUUGUCAAUCUAUGUUACAAGUUAUCAUUUCAUAGCUGAUUUUGUAAACUGCUAUUUUGUAGAUACAUGCAGAUGACAGCAUAAACUGUGUAAUGUUUUACACUUUGCAAAUACUUUUUUGUUGGGCCAAAAUUUGUAGGAUUUGGGUAAUGCAUAAUGCUAACAACGUACUGGGUCAAAUUUUGUCCAAAGGAAAUGGGCCCAGCCAAAUUUAAAUCGCCCUUUAAAUUGUGCCAAAAUCCAUGACGGUUCAUGUGACGAAAAAUAGUAUCUACGUAUGCUGCCACAUCAUUCGAAUUGGUCAACUGAAAAUCCUACGUGGCGUUAGUCCAUGACGGACUGUUCCGUCACAAUGGUUUGGGCCUGGGCGGGCUUGGGGCAGAUCCAUGAUGGCCAAGAGCCGUCAUGGAAGGUGCCAUAUUAAAUUAUGACGCGAUAUACAUGACGGAUUUCGGAUCCGUCAAUGAUGGGCACCCAUGACAGUUUUCCAUUGAUCUAUGACGGACUAAAUCCGUCACGUAUUAACAGAUUUCUUGUAGUGGAUGCAGGGGUCACUCCGGUUACUNNNNNNNNNNNNNNNNNNNNNNNNNNNNNNNNNNNNNNNNNNNNNNNNNNNNNNNNNNNNNNNNNNNNNNNNNNNNNNNNNNNNNNNNNNNNNNNNNNNNNNNNNNNNNNNNNNNNNNNNNNNNNNNNNNNNNNNNNNNNNNNNNNNNNNNNNNNNNNNNNNNNNNNNNNNNNNNNNNNNNNNNNNNNNNNNNNNNNNNNNNNGAACUUGGUUCUAUGCGCAUGGGGGGAGUUGGACCCGAAGACAGGCGAGGUUUCAAAGAAGGCAAGUCUAAAAGGAGCCGAACAAAAGUUACUUGACGCAAUAGAAGAUGCUCGAAAGGGGGUGUUCAUGCCCAACAGAGAGAACGACGAGCUUACGCGCGCCCUAGGAAAUCCUGAACACCCAGGAAGAACACGAGGCAAGGGCGUUAUUCCCUGGUAUGAGGGCUUUUCGAAAUGGAACGACGACUACAGGAGCCGUGCAAGAAAGAAGAGGGAGGAGGAGAAGAAAAGGAAGCUAGAGCAGGAGCAGAGGAAGCAGGACGCAGAAUGCCUGCAAGGCACGCAGACUUGGCACUCAAAUUCCAGCAGCAGCAGCAGCAGCAGAUCGACUCACUUAGCCAGGAAAGGGGGUCUCAGCAGCGGCAACAGCAAGCGGAUGAACAUCCAGCAUUAGAUAGCACCGUCCCAUCCAUGCCGAGAAGCAGCGUUGGUUCCGCCCCGGGCCAUGCACCGCUGGAUACAUACCCUGUGGAUGACAUAUAUAUAUAUAGUGUUACUAUUCAUCACCCAGGAUGUAGAAUAAGUUAUUCUUCACCCGAGGUAAUCUUACGAUUAUUUCGUAAUUAAAUUACAUUUGCAAUUUAAAUAGUUACAUCCCUAUAGAUUCAUUAUGUAUAAUUUGGCAUAAGAAAAUAAAAAUAUAGGUCAUUAAGACAAGAAAAUUUGCACUUUAUGUGUAUUUUACACUAUGUUUUUACGUUUGUAAUUUUACAUAACACAAAAUAUUUUUUACAACGAUUAUAUAUUUUCUUACGGUCUCUUUUUAUGUCGGAAAUAAUAUAAAACUUACGGAACGUAAAAAUACGGGGCAUUGAUGGUAAAAUAGAGGGGGGUGAAGAAUAACUCUUCCUCACCCAGGGUGACGAAUAGCGUGACCCUAUAUAUAUAUAUAUGAUCGAUUCUACAAGAAAAUCUAUUUAUAUAUAUGCAUAAAGUGUACAGUACGUAGUAUCGUAAAAUACCAGCAAACAAAAAAGAAUUAAAUGGAAAACACAAAAUUAAUGGAAAAAUAAAAAAUAAAACCAAAACCACCCCAAACAUUUAGUGCCGGUUGGUGUUACCAACCGGUACUAAUGUUCUACACGCACCCGGGCCUGGCUCGUGCCACGUGGUGGCACUUUAGCGCCGGUUCGUGAUGAACCGGUAUUAGGGGGGACCUUUAGUCCACACUCUUUAGUGCCGGUUCUGGAACCGGCACUAAAGGCCCUUACGAACCGGCGCUAAAGCCCGGUUCUGCACUAGUGUCCCCAAUCGAGGAGGCAGACAGCGAGCGUAACCUAGCCGUCGCCGCCACACCACAUAGCUCUGCCUCGACGGCUGCCGGCUGCGGGCCACCAGNNNNNNNNNNNNNNNNNNNNNNNNNNNNNNNNNNNNNNNNNNNNNNNNNNNNNNNNNNNNNNNNNNNNNNNNNNNNNNNNNNNNNNNNNNNNNNNNNNNNNNNNNNNNNNNNNNNNNNNNNNNNNNNNNNNNNNNNNNNNNNNNNNNNNNNNNNNNNNNNNNNNNNNNNNNNNNNNNNNNNNNNNNNNNNNNNNNACCUGAUCCAGAUCAGCGGCUGGGAGAACCAAAAGAAGCAGUCCCGGGCCCGGCCGGCGUGGGAAGAAGCAACAGUGGCACAACAUCCAGCUCAUACAAACGGUCAGCUGCAUUUUGCAAAAUUAGAAACCAGCAGGUACACAACAACGGACAGUCCAACUCAUUUUCUGAUAUUGACCUUCGUUUCUAGCCAAUUAUUGAACAUGGUGAUGUUGUAAUGUACGGAAUCUAUAAAAGAAUGUAACCAAUUGCUGGUUAUUUUGGAACUCCUCAAACUACUGAAUCUUUUUUUCUUCUAGAAUACCCCCAACUACUGAAUCUCAAGUGACCAUUGAAGCCUGUCCCAUGUUAUAGUAGGGCGGAGGGAGUAUAUUGAUAUGCAGCUUGUUCACCUAUUGUGCAUAUCUUUAGUCAUAGAGUUGGACAUUUUGGGCCAUGGAAUGAAUGAUUCAAGCGGCAGGAUUCCAUGUUAGUAGUUCUCUGUGACGUUUAUGUUGUAUUUUGUGUUUUUUGGUGGUUACAUCACCUAGUUGUUGAGAAUCUUUAACUAUUCUAAAUCUAGUUAUGUUGAAUUUUUAGUGCAUCUUGCUUCAUAUUUGAAUUGUAUGACUUCUAGUUGAGUGGACUUGAAUUUGUCCAAGAAAACAUUAGACCUUAAAUAUUUCGCCCCGGCUAAGUUCAAUUCCUGGAUCCGCCACUGCUUGGUAUAGCAGCAUAGCCAAUGCAUCAUUAACCUUAACUGACUGCAUGUGCUUCUUCAGACUGCGAAAUAUCACCUCGCAAUCCGGAACCUUAACACACAGACAGUUUAUUGCCUGAAAAAGCAAAUGGUGAUCGAUGAUACUGUUUGCCAGACAGAACCAACAAGAAAACUCACAGAGUUUUACUAACCAGUUUCUUUCGAAUUAUUGUUUCAUAUUUGCCAUGACUAAUUUCUUAUCAGAACCACACAGCUCGGUGAGCCUCGUGCCCAGCUACCGUCAAUAGCCUCAUUAACAAGGUCAAUGGGGGUGGGCACCUGCUCAUACUUUAUGGACAAUUUCAAACUCUGGGAAAUAAACACAGCAGGGAUAUAAAAAGCAGUGAUGCCAAAAGGUGCUUGGUAUAGCAGCAUAGCGGAUGCAUCAUUCAUCUUUCUUUUUCUUAGGGAUGAUGCAUCACUAAUCUUAAUGUCUCCUGCUGAGAAACGAAGCAAACUUAAUCCAAUGGGUUUACAUGAACUCCCACACAGACACAACCCCUCAAUCUAUCACGAAUACGCCUCUUUUUAGGCGAAAAGAUCGUCCCCUAUCAUUCAUACGACGGAAUGAAUCCCCAACCGAAAUCAGUGUGAUUUAGCUCCUUACUUGUGACACUUUCUGGUCGAUGUGUUGACGAAUCUGACAGGGGGGAGGGGGCGGCGUCGAGGCUCUCUAGGGUUUCAUUUCUUACUGUAUUUCUUAUCUCAUGGCUCCAAUUUCUAAGAGAGAGAAGGGUGACUCACCUGCGCUGGAGGGCGUCGCCGAGGCCAAAUGCCGGCGGCGGUGUCGUCGUCCCUCCCUCGUGCGAGAGACUAGGGUGCACUUGCGUAGAGACAUGGGCCAUGCUUGAUUUUUUUUGAGACAUGGGCCAUGCUUGUAAGGCCGGCAUGCGGGCCGGGGCCCAUUAAGAGGUUGCGGGCGGGUGGUUUUCUCCCGAUUUUGGGAACCUUCCACAAGGCAGAAGGUUCCCCUUCCCCGAACCGGUUUUCUUUUUCCUGUUGUUUUUCGAGGCUGGUUUUCUUGUAGGUUUUUUCUUUCUCAUUUUUUCUUUUCUGUUUUUUUAUUUUCGUUUUUAUCUUUUCUGUUUCUUUCUCCUUUCUUCUUUUUUCUUUUCUUUCCUUUUUCUGUUUCUUUUUCAAAAAUUCCCAAAUAUAAAAAAUGUUCAGGAUUCAAAAUUGUUUCUCAAAUUUUAAAAUAUACUAGGGCUUUUAAAAAAAUGUUCGUGUGUUCAAAAAAUUAUUCACAAAGUUUUAAAAAUGUUCGUCUUUCUGAAAAAUGUUCGCACAAUCAAAACAAUGUCUGCAAUUUUAGAAAUGUUCAAUAUUUUUUUAAAAAUGUUCGAAUUUUAAAAAAAAGUCCGUGUCUUCAGAAAAACAUUCAGUUUUUGAAACAUAUCAUGUAUAUUUUUUCAAAGUGUUGAUGCUUCCAAAAACAAUUCCAAAUUUGAAAAAUGUUCGUUUUAAAAAAAUUGCAUUAGCUACAGUAAUCCUACAGAGUCCUCUUACUAGACUACAGUAUGUCUGUACGAGUAGAUAGUUCUUAAAACUUUGCGCGGCCAUUUUAUGUCAUUUUAGGGCCGUUUUAACCUUUUAAUCUGAAAAUUUAGGCCUUUUAGAGAUAUUUUAACAUUUUUAUUGUUCUUUGGGGUCCUUUUUAAAACGGGUCGGCCCGCAACAGUGCAGUGCCUCCCGACCCUUUUACCUGGCAUGUCAGGCCGAUACGCAAGGCGCCUUCAGGUGGCAUAACAGGACCUUUUAUAUUCCUUAAAAAACUAGUAAAUUUGCACGUGUAAUGCACGUCUAACCUUAGACCAAACUUUUCUUGUUCAUCAUAGUUAGAAGGCACAUUUAUUCAAAUAAAAUCAUUUAAUUCUUCUCUUCAUUCCGACAAUUGUGCUCAACGUAUUGGUCAACAGAAAAUCAGAAAAUUCAAUACUCAGAUAAUGCAUUGAUUGAUUCCCAGUCUAAACAGAACUUGAGAAGGGGACAACAGCAUACUUGCCUUCAUCAUUGCCGAUCGUGCUCUAGAUGCCCGAAUGGCGACCCAACAUGACUGAGCGCUACCCCUAUAAAGCAGCCGGCACGGCUUAUCGAUGGCGUAGGAAGGCCCUUCAAUGCAGGCUAUCGUAUGUGGUGGCAGUAAAGGGUGAACGUUGUUUCAAUUCAGUUGCAUUGUCGCCUUGCGAUGAACAAGUUGUUUGAACAGUAUAUAGGCUAACAUCUUCGAACAUGUCAAGCAUUCCAAUGUCAGCCAAUUCUGCAAGCCAAUCACUCUCAUCCAGACAAUUUUGAGAAGAUCCACAAUCAUGCUUUGUUUCCUCAAGAAAACUCUGUUUCCGAGCUUCCUUUACAUGCAAAGAGCAGCUUCGAGGGUAGCUGCAGUCAACUUAUCCGACUGACAAUGCAUGUCUAUGCCAACAUGUAAUAACUAAACAUAACAUAGUGUAAGAAAAGUUCAGAUAGUAUAUCAACCACAACAAUUCUAAUCCAAAUGCAGAAUUACUAUCCUGAAAAUUUGAUGUGAAGUGGACAAUCCAUAAUUCGGAAUUUGCUUCCAAGAAAGCCAAAAUGAUUUAAAUCAUCACCAUUAUACAAGGACACACACACACACACACACACACACACACACACACACACACACACAAAUAUAAACUCGAGAGAGUCUGGAUCCUCUUUUAUUUUACCACUAUUAGCAAAAGUAGAUCCUCUUUUAGUUGGCAACUAUUAUUGUUAGGCGCCAAAUUAAAUUAGCUUAAUUUUUUAACACGAUUGGACGCAUGCCCCAACUGCCGAAGAGGAAAAAUAGUUGUUGCAGUGAAAUGUUGCAUCCAAAUUUAUACAUAGAACAGAAAACAAAUAAUCAGAUAUUUGACUACCCGGUUCUCCUCAAACUAAACAAAGUGGAAUGAUGAUGGGCAUAUCUUUUACGAAUUAACAGGUUCAAAUUAUCGUCAAUCCUAGGACGAAAAUGCACGGACAAAUGCAUGCCAAUAGCUGUGAAUCAGAAAAGAAAGAAAAACAAUCACCAUCUUGUGCAACGAACAACGAAGAAUACAACUGCAAAUACUCCAGGGAUAAGGGUGCAAGCAUGGUGUCGUACAUGAUUUAUCCAGUAACAGCUCGUGUAGGAACUUAUUCUGAAUUCUUUGAAACCCAAAGGACGAUCUAAAAAUAAUUUCUUCGAUGUAGAAACCUCGUCCACUCUGAAAAGAGAUAACUAAAAGAAAAAAAACAUAUGUAUCAGUAUAGAGGGUGUUUUGUUUACAACAAUGGCUGGAAAAUAUAGUGCUACAUCCCUGUAAUAGCAUCUAUAUAUAACAACCAUAUAGAGAUAUGAAUAAUAAAAUGGAUGAUAAAGGGAACUGCAUGGAGUAAUGCACUGCUAUAGGAUCCUGGAGCAAAGUAAAUAUAUGUACGAUCUUCAAUCUUGCAGGCACAUAAUGUUUUGGUUUUGUUUCUCAAGAGUUGUGUAGGUCAUCGUAGGAACAUCUGGCUUCAGGCUUUCAACUCUUGACCUCAAACCAUUUUCUUUAGUAACUAAUCUGCAAAUAAAUCGACAUGGAACUAAGCUGAGAGAAAAAUAAGACUGAAUUUUGCUUAUAAAAUCGAACCACAUAGGCGCUCACCAAAGGGUGAAUAAAUCAAUUCUGAUUUCUAUAUUACUAAAAUUGGAUCUAAUUCAUAUGCAUCUCACUUGCAGGCAGGUUAGACCCAAUACCUGUAUACUAAUCUGAAGAGGAUCGUGCAAAUUAGGAUUAACCAUGAUGGUUUGGACAAGGGGCUUACAUCCCAGAUUGCCGGAGUACUAUUGGUGCUGGUACGAACUGGCCAUGAUUUGGCUUCUCUGCUAUCAGACCAGGACGUCGGAGUCCGUUGGGAAGCAGAGGAGUACCGACGGCACCCGCACCUAAGCACCAGAGAUCUCAUAUUUGGUCAUCACAAACUCUUGUACGUUGACAUGUACUACUAAUGUCAUCUUAGUUGAUUAUUCCUGCACCAAAAGAGCUCCUAACAAAAGGUGCUCAACCAAAACUGGGCUGGGUUCCAUAUUGAUAUCAUACGUCUCCCUAUUAUUUAUUGGCUCACAGAUCCUCGAUAAACUCCUUCCCUACAGACAUGUGCUCCUUAGUGUGGUAGGACCUAAUAUUCUCCCACUUCCCCGCCACUGCCGCCAUUGGCAAACACAUAAAGAGCAAGUCAAGAAGACAUAAUUUAACUAAACUAUUCAGAUAGCAUAGCUUUAAUCUAUAGAUGAUUCAGCUCACUUCUUCCCAUACCUACUCCACUGGAAGCAAACUGAGGAUGACUUGCUCCCAAGAUCCAUACCAAAGCUCAUGUGUUCGGAAAGGAAAUGGACAACCAAUACCUGCAUUAAGAUGCACUAAAGUUUAUAUAUUGUCCGAAAGGAGCUACCAAUUUCAUAAAUGGUAGUAAAUACUUACGACCAAGACUUAAAUAGUCCAUCCAAUGAUCAAUAAGAACAUAAAUCAACAUUGCAUGAAUAUAAGAGUAAGAAUGGCAAUAAAUUGACAUUAUAAUGCUUUUAAGGAGCUCACAUUCUUUCUUUCUGUGGGUAAAACUUGUAUUACUCAUCUUUCAGCAUCAUUACAAAUAGCAGAGCAAAGAUGAACCCAACCAAACUACGGUUGUUCUUUCUAUCCAGCAAGUUUGCUAGGUAUUGACUAAUCUGAUUCUGAGUUCGUUUUAUAUGAGUACGAUACAAUUUUGACAAUUUCAACGAUUCCCUGGAAGAGUUUUGGUGAAGGAAAAAAUUGUUCACUUCCCAUCAUUUGGGCAAGUGAGAAUAUUAAAAGAAACUGUAGCCUCCACAGAAUAGAAAAUAAUUCUCUAGUCUUCACAGAAUAUAAAUAAAUUUCUAGCCUCCUGAAAGAUAAACUAUAUACCAAGACUAUAAUUAAACUACUUUCCAUCACCAUGCAUAAAUGUUGAUUUUUUUGGUGGAAAAAAGAUGGGAUAUAAACAAUGCUACUAUACACAUGACGUAUUAAUUCAUCCAAUUUUUGUACGAUGCUGCUAUUUAACCAUCAAUGCUUGUGAAAAAAAUGUAGAACACCCACUGAAUUGUACACAUACCAAGGUCGGACACCAAAGUAUUGGACAUGGAAGUAGUUCCAGAACAGGAAUCAUGAUUCAGGAAAGAAGAUAACAAAUAUAUGAGCUUGUAUAUGCGUUCUUUUCCUCGUCUGUGAAAGCACUACACCACCAUAGAAGUGUGUUGCCGCAGUGCUAAUGCUCUGCAACUGUUGCUCCUCACCACAUCACUCCGCAUCCUCCCAGCUCUACUUCUUCUCGUCAGAACUAUAAGAAAAUCGGAAAGUUAAUAAUCAAUAAUCAACCAGAUGGGAACAGGAAGUGGAGUGGGGAGGAAGAUGUCGCUGGCAAGGAGAAGGACGGACCCGGUGAGGGGUCGAAGCAGGAGGAUCGGAGAGCGGCAACAGAGGCCGAAUUGAGCGGCGCCGACGGAGACCAAGUUGAGCAGCGACGGCGGGGAAGUGGAGGCAACCCGCGAUGGCAUCGACACCGAGACCACCCAGCACGCCGCGAAUCCUCCUGUCGCAGAACAGCCUGCCGUGAAACUGUCGAUGUUGAUCGAAGCAGCCAUUCGCUGGUGGAAGUGCAGCUGAGGAGCGGGGUGGCGCUGCUGGUGGAGAAGUGGUCGUCGGGAGGGCGUUCGGUGAGGGUGUUGGCGCUGCCUCCUCUCAGCGCCUUCUUCUUCUUCUUGGCUGUCUCUCACAGCUCAACCUUCUCUCUUGUGGUUUCUCUCAAACACACACACAUUGAAGAAACUCCAAACACAUACACGCACACACACCCAUGUACCAAGGAAGAGAACUAGCUAGCUUUGCCGGGAGGCUCUCCUCCUUGGUUACACAAAUGCUACAUUGUUUCUCAGCCCUCUCGGCCUUGGCUUUCAUUAACUCAAAGUGCAACAUAUAUACACAGGGGACUCGACCCACCCACGCACUAGCCAGCCACAUCUCUGGGAAACUAAUCCCACGUACGCACGUCCACCUUCACCUCCUGGAGUCACUCGCUGCUGCCAAUAACUCGGCCGGCCAACCGUCCACUACAGAAACAGACGCAACUAGCAUGCACCCGAUGACUGAAUCACUCAGUCCAUGCCGAUCAACUAACCUAUCUUUUAGCUAGCUCACCAACUAACCUAUGCAUGCAGCUAACGACUAACUCACCCAAUUGUCUUGGUCAUCCAGAGUGGUCUCCAGCUCCUCGUGCGACUGCCGCAUCACACGACGAUGCCGUAUCACACAGCACGGCAGCCUCUCGCCGCCAUCGGCAUCCCACCUUGCUUGCCGCAUCGCAUGGCAGCCCGACAUCUCGCCUUCUCUGUGCACUCAACUAAAGUCUUGAUGACUAGCUACUCCCUAGAUCACCUAAGUUACAUGCAUGACGAAAAAUCAAACUAAAAUGCUGAUACAAUAAUAUCAAGAUUAGUCCUAACAGAGGGAACACAAGGAUGGAGCAGUGGGAGGGUGGGGCGGCAGGGAGGGCGCAGGUUAUAGGCGGCAGUUGGGCGGCGCUGCCCGGUGAAGUGGCGGCGUUCGGUGGUGAAGCAGCCCCGGGGUAGGCGAGGGGCGUGCUCAGCGGGUGGCGCCGGAGCCCGGUGGAUCGGCGGACGGGCNNNNNNNNNNNNNNNNNNNNNNNNNNNNNNNNNNNNNNNNNNNNNNNNNNNNNNNNNNNNNNNNNNNNNNNNNNNNNNNNNNNNNNNNNNNNNNNNNNNNNNNNNNNNNNNNNNNNNNNNNNNNNNNNNNNNNNNNNNNNNNNNNNNNNNNNNNNNNNNNNNNNNNNNNNNNNNNNNNNNNNNNNNNNNNNNNNNNNNNNNNNNNNNNNNNNNNNNNNNNNNNNNNNNNNNNNNNNNNNNNNNNNNNNNNNNNNNNNNNNNNNNNNNNNNNNNNNNNNNNNNNNNNNNNNNNNNNNNNNNNNNNNNNNNNNNNNNNNNNNNNNNNNNNNNNNNNGAAAAAGAUCGUGGUGUGGGCGUGGUGUCACGAGCGGUUUGGUUGUUUUUUUAUUUCGAAGCGGCCGGUAUGAUUAGCGAUGGCGCGGGUGUUGCUUAAUUGUUGCGUGGCUUGCUGUGUUAAACAUGGAGAUAAUUUAGACCCUUGGAUAUCUCAGAUAGACGGCUCUUGUUAUUUGGAUCUGCCUCUCUCUUCUUUUUAUAAUGGUAGUAGAUACGACCUUUUAUAUGGCUAGGUCAGGCCCAUAUGGCCAGGUCUGCUUGGACACAUAGGUAGCGCCCCACCUGUCCAGCGAACCCAAGCAAGGAGAGUCUUCUAUCUCUCCUCCACACAGUUUCGUUCCCUAUCCCACACCAAACGAGAAACCAUAGGAAUCCUCCUCUCUCUCAACCCCUCAAAGAAUUGUCCUCCGGCGAGCUCCACCAUUCAGUCGUUGUCGUAGGUCCGAUGGGGUGCAUCGUUGCAAGGCAUAGGCGAGGGGCGACCACCCGGGGGUGUUUUCCCAAGGCUAAGGGGCGGAUGAUGUAGUGAGAGUGACGCCUUCGACAAGAGUGGCCACACAAAUGAAGGUAGUUGUUUCUGGAGACAUGGUGGUUCUGCAAGCCAGCGACUGGUACGACACAAGCACGCGAUGCAAGUUGCGACCCAACAUGAUGCAAGCUAUGACCCUUGUGCGCUGGUGCUUCAGUGUUUUGUUAUACGUAUAUGAACACAAAUUGCAUGGAAAUUUAAAUCAUAGCAGAAGAUUCCUACAAGUCAAUCGACAACUUCCUUUGGUGAACUAACCUGUAGUUGGAUGGUUAGGAGGACAGUGGUAUACCCAGCCCACCAAGAUUCAAGUCCUAGACUUGACAUUGAUGCUCGCAUUUUCUGAAUUUAUUCCUAGACUUAGCAAGCCACCUCCAAUUUCAGUAUGAGCAUGUACCUCUUGUUAAUUGACAGAGGUGUGGGCUUGCGAUGGUCGCGGCGACGUGGAUCUGGCUGCCGAGGGUGGCAUAGGAUGGUUGGUGAUCCUUCUUCUCCUGGGUUCGAGGCAUCGGCUGACGGUGGCUUGGACCUAGGGAUCGUUCUCGGGGUGGACAAGAUUUGGGCCCGAGCAGGUCAAGGCUGUGUGAUUGGGCGUGGUCCAGGUGGUGUUCGCGGGUGGUUGGCUCCUCUGCUCGCGUGCGCAGUGGCCGAUAGUGGAGGUUGCGGUUGGUGAAUCCCUCGGGAGCUCACGCUCGAGCUUCGGGAGGAGGCGUCUCACAGGUGCAACGGCUGCCGGGAAAGAAGUAGACCCGGUUCUACCUGUGUGCCUGCACGUCGCCUGUGUCAAAAGACUUUGCUCGCCGGAAUCGUGGCGCCGGCGACGGCUCGAGUACUAAUAUACCGCGCAAAGAGGGACGAGAGUGAGUUGGAGCGCGUCAUUCUCUGCCUAGUUCCUUUUUUUUUCUUUUUCUUGCGGUGAUUCUCGGGCUAGUUCUUGGUGGUUAAUGCUGCAAAGCCUUUAAUUUCCUCCAAAAGAAAAUUUGGAGGUUAAUUAAACAAUUUGCUAAUGAGGCAACGGGACCACUCCGUAGUAUGUAUUACUGCCUAAACCGCGUGUGUUCUGACGAUUGUUCCACAGAUCAUAGAUUUCCUUCUUCCAUGUCAAAAAAGACAUUGUCUGGUCGCUGCUACGGUUCCAAGGGACGCGUAGUACAGAUGUUCCAAGACAAAAAAGACAUUGUCUGGUCGCUGCUACGGUUUUUAUGUAUGUAUUACGUGCAAAUAAAUACAUGUCGAGAAGUCUAUGCUAAGGUUCCAAGGGACGCGUAGUACAGAUGUACAUUGGCUGGUCGCUGCUACGUGGAGAUUAUGGGGUCUGCAUGAGCAACAAAAUUUGAAGAGCGUAAAUUUUAGUACGAAGGCAAAUAUGAAGUGAGUCAGAAUCAUAAAAUAAAUACGUAGAACUAACAAAAAAAUACAUGAAGCGGGGAUAGCUCAGUUGGGAGAGCGUCAGACUGAAGAUCUGAAGGUCGCGUGUUCGAUCCACGCUCACCGCAAUCUAUUUUUCUUCUGCCUCCCUUAUCUCGUCAUUUGCAGGUUUUUCUUUCCAUCGUCACAUUUGGUUUUUGCCAUUUGGUUUUUUUUUCUUAUCUUCUUUCCACAUUAUUUGCUGGAUUUUCAAAUAUAGUUGGAAUAAUUAUUCACAUAUCCCAACAAUUCAACCAUUCUCCACCGUUUUGUUGUCAUUUUUUUUAAGUCAGCAAGAUGGUUUAACUUCAGCAUGAUAUUGGUGUAACUUGAUCUCAUCUUGAGGAGAUAUUGACUAGGAUGCUUAGGUGAAAUACACUAACAGAUAAUAACCCCAAACCCCCAAGCCACACAAUUUUUUUAUUUUAUUCACUUAAUUUUCAAAGAUAUUAUGUUUGAGGAUGUAUUCAAACAAUACUUCCAAACACCUCAAUUGUCAUUAAACAUGAGAGUCGUUACAGUUUGGACUCAAGAUACAUCACAAAUUUUAGACUGUCAAAGUAAAUAUCCCUUGUUUUGAUCCAUGCCCACAUGUUGCUUUUGUCAUUGUUAACAAUGGUUUCUUCAAUUUAAUCUCCUAUUCGCAAAUAUCAUGUUUGAAGAUAUAUCCAAAUAUUUUCAAACACUUCAAUCUCAAAUAUCAUGUUUGACGGGGUGGUCCCACCAACCAGCCACUCUGCCCCCCUCCGAACCAUUUUUAAGUGAAGGCGGAUUCCUUGUUUACGUCGAAAGACGUUAGCCCAUGGAGAUUCCAGAAAAUCCAAUUUAAAGAUAUUUUAAUCCACUUUGACCAUCCAUUGCUCCUAAACUACAAGUCCAAAUGAGCUGAUUCUUUUUGCAUUAUUUUUCUUGCGACCUCCUUUAUUUUCUGGUAGAGUUUUGCAAUUUUAUUUGCUAUCUAAGAUUUCUAGACAAAGAAUUUUCUUAAUGUGGUUAUUUAUUUUGCUUGUUAAUAUUGUUUUCUAGAGUGUUAGCAAUGUUUGGUAAAGACCAGGAGUAUUUGCAACACUCGCUUGGAGCAAGGCGAGCCACAACCUCCACUUGCAUAAUUGCAAUGCAAUUCCAUGAUUUAAUAUAAUAAAACUUGAUUUAGUUUGAAUUACUUGAUGAUGAUUUAUUCAUGGCAAUCUUGGAGGAGUUAUUAGAAUUAUCUACUGCCAUGUUAUUGCUUGGAUUUCUUGUGACUAGUAGUUUGCAAGUUGGAUAUUGGCAUGUUACCAUCGGAUUAAUAGGGUCAUUAGCUAUAUUUUCAUAUGAUCAUAUUUGAUAUUAUUGCUUAUGGAGUAAGUGGAAAUGAUAUGAUUACAUUUUUCAUUGGAUUAUUGGUUGGAUAUUGCUAUGACUUGGAACACAUGUUGAUAAGUGACAUUAGAUUAACAAUUUUGUCAGAGAUACCUUGGGGAUAAAUUCUGUCAUUCGUGGUGUUUGGCCUCUAUCAUGGUUCACAAGUCUCACGCAUUUCAAUAAAAAAUGUACGUUGAUUUAUCAAUAAAAUAGGAGUUAUAUGUCACAAAAACUAUACCAUUGAAAACUUAUUUAGAAUGUGGAUCUAAUGUUUUGUUUUUGUGACAUAUAACUAAUAUUUCGUUGAAUAAAAUAAUUUUCAAUGUUUAUAUUGAAAUAUGUGUGAGACUUAUAAAUCAUGAUGGAGUAGUAAAUGUUUCCACACCCGGAGACUUUCCCGUUCGAUUGACCAGAAAUCCUACAAUACUUUGUAUGUACCCAUGGCGAGACACCUUACACCCGCCCAAACGCAGGCUUGAGGGCAUCUCCAAUGGCGACCAGCAAUUUUCCUCCCGCAUCCAUCCAUGGACACAGAAGCGGGAGGCCGCCAUCCAACCAUAGCCACAUACAUUGCAAACACUUUUUCAGAAAAACUGGAUGGAAUUCAUGCAAACAUGGGUGGAUUUCAUAUAAACAUGACGGAUUUCAUACAAACCGGACGAAAACAGUUAUAUUUUGGACAUACAGUCGCUAGGAGCUCCACUCCCACGACAUGGAAACACUACACUAGUUUAUGGCCGGACACGGCGGAUCCCUUUGUCUUCCCCAUGUCCAACAGCCCGCUCCCCUGACUGCCGGGAGCCCCGGAGGUAUAUUCUUCCCCCAUCUUCCCUAUGUCCGGCUGCACCGCUCAUCGGAGUGGCAAAGAGGGUGCUUCAGUUGGAGGGGAAGGGGAGCUCCGCUUUCGUGGAGCCCAGGUGGGGCCGAUGAUGGUCUGAGAUAAAGAAGAAUCGGACAGGUCACCGGCUAUACAAGCCGGCGACGUGCCAGCGGUGGCCUUCCUGGGACCCAAGCAGCGGUAGCCUCCUGUGUUCUAGUUUACCUCAAUGUUGGUGGCGGACACGGACGCGCCAUCCACCGACUCGUCGAUCUCCGUGCAGCCGGCUUCUUUCUCUGCCGGCAGGGCGCGGCUACGCGCGCGUUGAUGGCGAAUGGCGCGGUUGUAGGCAUGGGAGGGGCAACAUAGGCACGGGAGGCGCGGUACGACACGGCAUCGCCACGGCUGCGAUGAUGCCUGUGUCGUCCUGGAGCAAAUGGCUGCUCCCCCAUGAGUAGGGUUGGAGUGGUGAGGUGGUGAACCACGUGCUGUCUUGGGGUGGCAACUUGCUCCGUCAGGCCAGGCGAGAGAGGUGGAGCAGCGAGCUGCCUCACUCAUAUUCAGCGGGCUCGGGAGGACACCGAGCUGGCUUUUAUGCUGGAGAACUGCUCUUCCUGCUCAUUAGAUGGCAUCAGAAGGGUGGAGAAAAUUGUGGAAGGAUGAGAUGGGGAGCGGCGGGGUGGUGCGAUUCUUGCCCAGCGUCUGGCCUUGUUUAAAUAGAGUGCAGAUGGGAGGAGCUUGCCCGACGUUGCGUUUAAUGUCGGCCCGCUCAUGAACGAACGUCUGGCCGGAGUAGGUUCCUCAGCUUUCACACGGGUUUCAUGGCGGCAUUUGAAUGCGGCGAGGAGGCGUGUUCAGCCAGGCAUGCAGCGGGUGGUGCACCGCUUCAAUAUGUGGAGUGGCGCGCUCUACAGUGGCAUGAAUGUGGGCAGUUGGCGCCGGGCAGGAAGCGCACGAGAUUGGGAAGGUGUUUUGGGUGGGCCAGGGCGGUCAGAAGCGGGCGUGGGAGCGGUCCGGACUCCCGCAAAGCCCCCUGAUACGUCUCCAACGUAUCUAUAAUUUUUGAUUGCUCCAUGCUAUAUUAUCUACUGUUUUGAAUGUUUAUGGCUUUAUUAUACACUUUUACAUCAUUUUUGAGAAUAACCUAUUAACCCAGAGCCCAGUGCCAGUUUCUGUUUUUACCCUGUUUUAGGGUUUCGAAGAAAAGGAAAAUCAAACGGAGUCCAAUUGACCUGAAACUUCACGGAACUCAUUUUUGGAAGGAAAGAAGCCCAGAAGACUCGGAGUGCACAUCGGGGGAUCUGCGAGGAGGCCACGAGGCAGGGGGCGAGCCCACCCCCCUAGGCGCGCCCUCCACCCUUGUGGGCCCCUCGUGGCCCCCCUGAUGUACUUUUUCCGCCUAUAUAUCUCCAUAUACCCUAAAAACAUCCGAACGCAAGAUAGAUCGGGAGUUCCGCCGCCAGAAGCCUCCGUAGCCACCAAAAGUCAAUCGGGACCCUGUUCCGGCACCCUGCCGGAGGGGGGGAACCCUCACCGGUGGCCAUCUUCAUCAUCCUGACGCUCUCCAUGACGAGGAGGGAGUAGUUCUCCCUCGGGGCUGAGGGUAUCUACCAGUGGCUAUGUGUUUGAUCUCUCUCUCUCUCUCUCUCUCUCUCUCUCUCUCUCUCUCGUGUUCUUGAGAUGAUACGAUCUUGAUGUAUCGCGAGCUUUGCUAUUAUAUUUGGAUCCUAUGAUGUUUCUUCCCCCCUCUUCUCUCUUGUAAUGAAUUGAGUUUCCCCUUUGAAGUAAUCUUAUCGGACUGAGUCUUUAAAGACUUGAGAACACUUGAUGUAUGUCUUGCCGUGGAUAUCUGUGGUGACAAUGGGAUACCACGUGCCACUUGAUGUAUGUUAAGGUGACCAACUUGCGGGUUCCGCCCAUGAACCUAUGCAUAGGGGUUGGCACACGUUUUCGUCAUGAUUCUCCGGUAGAACUUUGGGGCACUCUUUGAGGUCCUUUGUGUUGGUUGAAUAGAUGAAUAUGAGAUUGUGUGACGCAUAUCGUAUAAUCAUUCCCACGGAUACUUGAGGUGACAUUGGAGUAUCUAGGUGACAUUAGGGUUUUGGUUGAUUUGUGUCUUAAGGUGUUAUUCUAGUACGAACUCUAGGGUUGUUUGUGACACUUAUAGGAAUAGCCCAACGGAUUGAUUGGAAAGAAUAAUUUUGAGGUGGUUUCGUACCCUACCAUAAUGUCUUCGUUCGUUCUCCGCUAUUAGUGACUUUAGAGUGACUCUUUGUUGCAUGUUGAGGGAUAGUUAUGUGAUCCAAUUAUGUUAUCAUUGUUGAGGGAACUUACAUUAGUGAAAGUAUGAACCCUAGGCCUUGUUUCAAUACAUUGCAAUACCAUUUAAGCUCACUUUUAUCACUUGCUUCCUUGCUGUUUUUAUUAUUUCAGAUUACAAAAACUAUUAUCUACUAUCCAUAUUGCACUUGUAUCACCAUCUCUUCGCCGAACUAGUGCACCUAUACAAUUUACCAUUGUAUUAGGUGUGUUGGGGACACAAGAGACUCUUUGUUAUUUGGUUGCAGGGUUGCUUGAGAGAGACCAUCUUCAUCCUACGCCUCCUACGGAUUGAUAAACCUUAGGUCAUCCACUUGAGGGAAAUUUGCUACUGUCCUACAAACCUCUGCACUUGGAGGCCCAACAACGUCUACAAGAAGAAGGUUGUGUAGUAGACAUCAAGCUCUUUCCUGGCGUCGUUGCCGGGGAGGUGAGUGCUUGAAGGUAUAUCUUUAGAUUUUGCAAUCGAGUCUUUUAGUUUCUUGUUUUUAUCACUAGUUUAGUUUAUAAAAUAAAGCUAUAAAAAUGGAAUUAAGUUUGUCUCAUACGCUUCACCUUUUUAAUAUCUUUUGUGAGUAUGAUGGAAAGGAUAAUUGUGCUCAAGUUCUAGAAGAAGAAAUCUAUAAAAUGUUUGGCACUAAAUCUUUGAAUGAUGAGCAUGAUUGCAAUGUUGUUAGUAUGAAUUCCUCAAAUAUCCAUGAUGCUAAUGAUAUGCAAAGCCACAAGCUUGGGGAAGCUAUGUUUGAUGAAGAUGAUAUUUUUUGUCCCCCAAGUUUUGAUGAGCAAAUUUACUAUGAUAAAAGCAUGCCUCCUAUCUAUGAUGAUUAUUGUGAUGACACGUAUGCUUUAAAGAAUAAUGAUAACCAUGAAACUUGUCAUCUUGAUCUUAAUUUUCAAUCACAUGAUAGUUAUUUUGUUGAGUUUGCUCCCACUAUUCUUUAUGAGAAGAAUUUUGCUUGUGUGGAGAGUAGUAAAUUUUCUAUGCUUGUAGAUCAUGAAAAGAAUGCUUUAGGUGCUGGUUAUAUUGUUGCAGGCCCGUUUCUUGGCAUGUGCAGCUGGAGCGGUUGCACAGGGCCUCCAAAUUCCAGGGGGCCCCAAAUUAGAGAUUAGUAUUAUUACUGGUCAAGAGAUUAGGUACUAAUGGGCCUUUAAGAGCAACAUAAAUGAAAAGGACUCACCCUAAAAUCCAAGGACUACAUCGGAAACCCUUCAGGCCAAUCUCACGUAUCUUUCUCUCUCUCUCUCCCUCCCUCCCUCCCUCUGCAUGUGAUGCCAUAUAUGGUCUCCAUCCUUUCACCCCUCUAAAUAGGUUUGACUCUGAUAAUAUUUUAAUUUAUAUUUUUUAAAUAAAGGCCCUAAUUUUCAUUUUGCACGGGGCCCCGAAUUUUAAAGGUACGGCCCUGUAUUGUUGAAUUCAUUCAUGAUGCUACUAAAAAUUAUUAUGAGGGAGGAAUAUAUGCUUGUAGGAAUUGCAAUAAUAUCAAGUUUCCUCUCUAUGUGCUUAAAAUCUUAAAGUUAUGCUUGAUUUACCUUCCUAUGCAAGUUGAUUCUCGUUCCCACAAGUUGUUUGCUCAAAAAAUCCCUAUGCAUAGGAAGUGGGUUAGACUUAAAUACGCUAGUCAUAUUCUUCAUGAUGCUCUCUUUACGUUACAAUUCUUAUUUUUUAUGUGAGCAUCAUUGAAAUCAUCAUGCCUAGCUAGGGGCAUUAAACGAUAGCGCUUGUUGGGUGGCAACCCAAUUUUAUUUUAGUUCAUUGAUUUUUGCUCCUGUUUAGUAAUAAAUAAUUCAUCUAGCCUAUGUUUAUAUGUGGUUUUAUGUGUUUAAUUAGUGUUUGUGCCAAGUAGAACCUUUGGGAAGACUUGGGGAGAGUCUUGUUGAUCUUGCUGUAAAAAACAGAAACUUUAGCGCUCACGAGAACUGCUGUCAUUUUUAUUUGGAAAGUUCUACUUAGUUAAUUCUUUUUGCAGAUGAUUAAUAUAUAAAUUCCUCACGUCCAGAAAUUUAUUUUAGAAUUUUUAGGGUUCCAGAUCUUGCGCUAGCUACAGAUUACUACAGACUGUUCUCUUUUUGACAGAUUCUGUUUUUCAUGUGUUGUUUACUUAUUUUGAUGAAUCUAUGGCUAGUAAAAUAGUUUAUAAACCAUAGAGAAGUUGUAAUACAGUAGGUUUUACACCAAUAUAAAUAAAGAAUGAGUUCAUUACAGUACCUUGAAGUGGUGAUUCAUUUUCAUAUACUAACGGAGCUUACGAGUUUUCUGUUAAGUUUUGUGUUGUGAAGUUUUCAAGUUUUGGGUAAGGAUUUGAUGGACUAUGAAAUAAGGAGUGACAAGAGACUAAGAUUGGGGAUGCCCAAGGCACCCCAAGGUAAUAUUCAAGGAUAUCCAAGAGCCUAAGCUUGGGGAUUCCCCGGAAGGCAUCCCCUCUUUCGUCUUCGUUCAUCGGUAACUUUACUUGGAGCUAUAUUUUUAUUCGCCACAUGACAUGUGUUUUGCUUGGAGCGUCAAUUUAUUUUGUUAUGAUUUGCUUUCUGUUAUUUAUAACAAUGUUUUUCAUCUUUUAUUUCAAUAAAAGUGGCAUUGAUAGCCUUUACUAUGCCUAUGUUACAAGUAUACAUGUUGCAGUUUGAAAACAGAAAGUUUACCACUGUUGCAAUAAUUCCCUAGAAAAGUCAGAAUGUGAUACAAUUUUGAAAACUUUUGAAUAUUAAUCUCUAAUAAAUUUACUACAAUGGGAAUUUUAUUUCAUAAUUUUUGGAGCUAGUUAAGUAUGGAUGUUGCUGCAUUCUUUACAGACUACCCUGUUUAGGCAGAUUGCUGUUAUGUUUGCAUUGUUUGUAUAUGUUUGCUUCUUUAAUAAUUCUAUUUGACGAUAGGACUAUUAAAUAUACAGAGGCAUUUAGUAUGCAAUGUUGAAUAAUAAUUUUAGUGACUUGCUACAGUAGAGUAUGAUAAGGUUAAUAUAGUGGUUUAUACUAACUUAUCUCAUGAGUCCUUGUUUAGUUUUGUGUGGAUGAAGCUUUUCAGAUUUAGAGAGAACGUGAUAUGGGAGGAAUUAAGGAGACACAAAAGCUCAAGAUUGGGGAUGCCCAAGGCACCCAAAUAUAAUAUUUCAAGAAGUCUCAAGUGUCUAAGCUUGGGGACGCCCCGGUUGGCAUCCCACCUUUCUUCUUCAACAACUAUCGGUUAGUAUCGGUUGAUCCUAAGUUUUUGCUUCUUCACAUGAUGUUUGCUAUUCUUAGAUGUCAUUUUCUUUUUCUUUUCUUGCUGUUUGAAUAAAAUACCAAGAUCUGAAAUUAUUAAAUGUUAGAGAGUCUUCACAUAGUUGCAUAAUUAUUCGACUACUCAUUGAGCUUCACUUAUAUGUUUUAGAGCAUGGUCGUAGUUUUAUUUUGAAGAAAUAGAUGAACUCUCAUGCUUCACUUAGAUUAUUUUGAGAGUCUUAAAUAGCAUGGUAAUUUGCUUAAAAUCCUAAUAUGCUAGGUAUACAAGAUUAAUAAUAAAAUUCUCUUAUGAGUGUGUUGAAUACUAAGAGAAGUUUGAUACUUGAUGAUUGUUUUGAGAUAUGAGGAUGGUAAUAUUAGAGUCAUGUCAGUUCAGUAGUUGUGAAUUUGAGAAUACUUGUGUUGAAGUUUGCGAUUCCCGUAGCAUGCACGUAUGGUGAACCGUUAUGUGAUGAAGUCGGAGCAUGAUUUAUUUAUUUAUUGCCUUCCUUAUGAGUGGCGGUCGGGGACGAGCGAUGGUCUUUUCCUACCAAUCUAUCCCCCUAGGAGCAUGCGCAUAGUACUUUGUUUCGAUAACUAAUAUAUUUUUGCGAUAAGUAUGUGAGUUCUUUAUGACUAAUGUUGAGUCCAUGGAUUAUACGCACUCUCACCCUUCCACCAUUGCUAGCCUCUCUAGUACCGCACAACUUUCGCCGGUACCAUAAACCCACCAUAUACCUUCUUCAAAACAGCCACCAUACCUACCUAUUAUGGCAUUUCCAUAGCCAUUCCGAGAUAUAUUGCCAUGCAACUUUCCACCGUUUCGUUUAUUAUGACAUGCUCCAUCAUUGUCAUAUUGCUAGCAUGAUCAUGUAGUUGACAUUGUAUUUGUGGCAAAGCCACCGUUCAUAAUUCUUUCAUACAUGUCACUCAUGAGUCAUUGCACAUCCCGGUACACCGCCGGAGGCAUUCAUAUAGAGUCAUAUCUUGUUCUAAGUAUUGAGUUGUAAUUCUUGAGUUGUAAAUAAAUAAAAGUGUGAUGAUCAUCAUUAUUAGAGCAUUGUCCCAGUGAGAAAGGAUGAUGGAGACUAUGAUUCCCCCACAAGUCAGGAUGAGACUCCGGACGAAAAAUAAAAAAAGGAGGCCAAAGAAGCCCAAAUAAAAAAAGAGGCCACAAAAAAAGAGAAGGCCCAAAUAAAAAAAUAAAAAAAUAAAAAAAUGAGAGAAAAAGAGAGAAGGAGCAAUGCUACUAUCCUUUUACCACACUUGUGCUUCAAAGUAGCACCAUGAUCUUCAUGAUAGAGAGUCUCCUAUGUUGUCACUUUCAUAUACUAGUUAGAAUCUUUCAUUAUAGAACUUGGCUUGUAUAUUCCAAUGAUGGGCUUCCUCAAAAUGCCCUAGGUCUUCGUGAGCAAGCGAGUUGGAUGCACACCCACUAUUUUCUUUUGUUAAGCUUUCAUACACUUAUAGCUCUAGUGCAUCCGUUGCAUGGCAAUCCCUACUCACUCACAUUGAUAUCUAUUGAUGGGCAUCUCCAUAGCCCGUUGAUACGCCUAGUUGAUGUGAGACUAUCUUCUCCCUUUUUGUCUUAUCCACAACCACCAUUCUAUUCCACCUAUAGUGCUAUGUCCAUGGCUCACGCUCAUGUAUUGCGUGAAGAUUGAAAAAGUUUGAGAACAUCAAAAGUAUGAAACAAUUGCUUGGCUUGUCAUCAGGGUUGUGCAUAAUUUAAAUAUUUUUUGUGGUGAAGAUAGAGCAUAGCCAGACUAUAUGAUUUUGUAGGGAUAGCUUUCUUUGGCCAUGUUAUUUUGAGAAGACAUGAUUGCUUUGUUAGUAUGCUUGAAGUAUUAUCAUUUUUAUGUCAAUAUGAACUUUUGUCUUAAAUCUUAUAGAUCUGAAUAUUCAUACCACAAUUAAGAAGAAUUACAUUGAAAUUAUGCCAAGUAGCACUCCGCAUCAAAAAUUCUUUCUUUUAUCAUUUACCUACUCGAGGACGAGCAGGAAUUAAGCUUGGGGAUGCUAAUACGUCUCCAACGUAUCUAUAAUUUUUGAUUGCUCCAUGCUAUAUUAUCUACUGUUUUGAAUGUUUAUGGGCGUUAUUAUACACUUUUACAUCAUUUUUGGGACAAACCUAUUAACCCAGAGCCUAGUGUCAGUUUCUGUUUUUACACUGUUUUAGGGUUUCGAAGAAAAGGAAAAUCAAACGGAGUCCAAUUGACCUGAAACUUCACGGAACUCAUUUUUGGAAGGAAAGAAGACUAGAAGACUUGGAGUGCACGUCAGCCACCCCCCUGGGCGCGCCCUCCACCCUCGUGGGCCCCUCGUGGCCCCCCUGACGUACUUUUCCGCCUAUAUAUCUCCAUAUACCCUAAAAACAUCCGAACGGAAGAUAGAUCGGGAGUUCCACCGCCAGAAGCCUCCAUAGCCACCAAAAGUCAAUCGGGACCCUGUUCCGGCACCCUGCCGGAGGGGGGGGGGUGUGACGCCCCCGAUUCAAUCGUACACUAAUCAUGCACGCAAAUGUGUACGAUCAAGAUCAGGGACUCACGGGAAGAUAUCAUAACACAACUCUAAAACAUAAAUAAGUCAUACAAGCAUCAUAAUACAAGCCAGGGGCCUCGAGGGCUCGAAUACAAGUGCUCGAUCAUAGACGAGUCAGCGGAAGCAACAAAAUCUGAGUACAGACAUAAGUAAACAAGUCUGCCUUAAGAAGGCUAGCACAAAUUGGGAUACAGAUCGAAAGAGGCGCAGGCCUCCUGCCUGGGAUCCUCCUAACUACUCCUGGUCGUCGUCAGCGGCCUGCACGUAGUAGUAGGCACCUCCAAUGUAGUAGGAAUCAUCGUCGACGGUGGCGUCUGGCUCCAGGGCUCCAGCAUCUGGUUGCGACAACCAGGUAGAAGGGAAAGGGGAAAAGAGGGAGAAAAGGAACCGUGAGUACUCAUCCAAAGUACUCGCAAGCAAGGAGCUACACUACAUAUGCAUGGGUAUAUGUGUAAAAGGCCAUAUCGGUGGACUGAACUGCAGAAUGCCAGAAUAAAAGGGGGAUAGCUAAUCCUGUCGAAGACUACGCUUCUGGCAGCCUCCGUCUUGCAGCAUGUAGAAGAGAGUAGAUUGAAGUCCUCCAAGUAGUAUCUCCAAGUAGCAUCGCAUAGCAUAAUCCUACCCGGCGAUCCUCCCCUCGUCGCCCUGUGGAAAAGCGAUCACCGGGUUGUCUGUGGAACUUGGAAGGGUGUGUUUUAUUAAGUAUCCGGUUCUAGUUGUCAUAAGGUCAAGGUACAACUCCAAGUCGUCCUGUUACCGAAGAUCACGGCUAUUCGAAUAGAUUAACUUCCCUGCAGGGGUGCACCAACUUACCCAACACGCUUGAUCCCAUUUGGCCGGACACACUUUCCUGGGUCAUGCCUGGCCGCGGAAGAUCAACACGUCGCAGCCCCACCUAGGCACAACAGAUAGGUCAGCACGCCGGUCUAAACCUAAGCGCACAGGGGUCUGGGCCCAUCGCCCUUAGCACACCUGCACGUUGCGUACGCGGCCGGUGAGCAGACCUAGCAACCUCCAUUACAAAGGAAGUUGCGUUAACGCAGUCCAACCCGGCGCGCGCCACUCAGUCGCUGACGUCAAGAAGGCUUCGGCUGAUACCACGACGUCGGGAUACCCAUAACUACUCCCGCGUAGAUGGUUAGUGCGUAUAGGCUCGUAGCCAACUCAGAUCAAAUACCAAGAUCUCGUUAAGCAUGUUAAAUAUCCGCGAACGCCGACCAGGGCCAGGCCCACCUGUCUCCUAGGUGGUCUCAACCUGCCCUGCCGCUCCGCCACAAAGUAACAGUCGGGGGCCAUCGGGAACCCAUGCCCACCUCUACCGGGAUGGAGCCACCUGCCCCUUCAACCCCCAUCUCCGAACAGUAUCACAGGUAAUUUAGCUGUGUAAAGUAUAUCGUAUAUGCCCGUGAUCACCUCCCGAAGUGAUCACGGCCUAGUAGUAUAGCAUGGCAGACGGACAAGAGUGUAGGGCCACUGAUGGAACACUAGCAUCCUAUACUAAGAAGUAGGAUAGCAGGUAAUGGUAACAACAGUAGUAGCAAGGACAGGCUAUGCAUCAGGAUAGGAAUAACGAAAAGCAGUAACAUGCUACACUACUCUAAUGCAAGCAGUAUAGAGAAAAGAGUAGGCGAUAUCUGGUGAUCAAAGGGGGGGCUUGCCUGGUUGCUCUAGCAAGGAGGGGUCAUCUUCGAUGUAGUCGAACACACGGACAUCGGCAGCGGUCUUGGAGUCUACCGGAAAGGAGUAACGGAGGGGGAACACAAUAAAUAACAGAGCAAUCAAAUGCAACACAAAGCAAGACGCGGCAAUACGCGGUGCUAGGUAUGUCCUAACGCGGUAUUAUGUGAUACCGGCGAAAGGGGGAAACAUCCGGGAAAGUAUCCCCGGUGUUUCGCGUUUUCGGACAGAUGAACCGGAGGGGAAAAGUUGCGUGUUUGCUAUGCUAGGGAUGUGUGGCUGACAAACGGGCUGCGUACCCGGAUUCGUCUCGUCGUUCUGAGCAACUUCCAUGUACAAAGUUUUUUCAUCCGAGCUACGGUUUAUUUUAUAUUAAUUUUCAAAGUUUUAAUUCAUUUUUAGAAUUAUCAGAAUUAAUUUAAUUUGGAAAUGUCAUUAUGAUGUCAGCAUGACAACAAGGUGAUGUCAGCAGUCAACAGUCAGUUGACUUGGCCAAACUGGCGCGUGGGUCCCGCAUGUCAUUGACUGUUUUAGGUAAUUAAGGAUAGUUAAUUAAGUUAAUUAGCUAAUUAGGUUAAUUAAGCAGGAUUAAUUAAGUUAAGUUAAUUAAUUAAUUAAAUUAAUUGUUUUUAUCUUAAUUAUUUUCUCUCUUAAAAAAACGUUCUGUGCGGUGGGGCCCCGUGUCAAUGGCCCAGAGGCCUAGCGGUUUUGGGCGCUGGUUGCGGGCAUAGCCCGAACGGGCGCACGCCCAGGGGCGGGCAAAACCGAUCGGCGGCGAGCGGGCGCAAGGGCAACGGUGGCCGGAGCGAUGGCGGGCAGGGGGCCUCGGUGGUCGGGACGUGCGGGCAUGCGGGUGCGGGCGAAGCCGCAGCCCGCCUGGUAGCAAGGUGAGGCCGGAGUGGGGUCUGCUCGGCGCGGCGGUGCAGCCGGCCGGCGCGGGCGCGGCCGAGCCAUGGUCAGCGGCAGGAGGCAGGGGGGCCACUGAGGGGGGGCGGCGACGCAUCGGCGGGUCGGCGGCGCGAGGCGCGCUGCGGCGCCGGCAAACAGCGAGACAGCGAGCGGCAGUGGAGGGGACCGUGGCAAAACUGUACGGGACAGAGGGAGAGACGGGGGAGGGCGAGGCNNNNNNNNNNNNNNNNNNNNNNNNNNNNNNNNNNNNNNNNNNNNNNNNNNNNNNNNNNNNNNNNNNNNNNNNNNNNNNNNNNNNNNNNNNNNNNNNNNNNNNNNNNNNNNNNNNNNNNNNNNNNNNNNNNNNNNNNNNNNNNNNNNNNNNNNNNNNNNNNNNNNNNNNNNNNNNNNNNNNNNNNNNNNNNNNNNNNNNNNNNNNNNNNNNNNNNNNNNNNNNNNNNNNNNNNNNNNNNNNNNNNNNNNNNNNNNNNNNNNNNNNNNNNNNNNNNNNNNNNNNNNNNNNNNNNNNNNNNNNNNNNNNNNNNNNNNNNNNNNNNNNNNNNNNNNNNNNNNNNNNNNNNNNNNNNNNNNNNNNNNNNNNNNNNNNNNNNNNNNNNNNNNNNNNNNNNNNNNNNNNNNNNNNNNNNNNNNNNNNNNNNNNNNNNNNNNNNNNNNNNNNNNNNNNNNNNNNNNNNNNNNNNNNNNNNNNNNNNNNNNNNNNNNNNNNNNNNNNNNNNNNNNNNNNNNNNNNNNNNNNNNNNNNNNNNNNNNNNNNNNNNNNNNNNNNNNNNNNNNNNNNNNNNNNNNNNNNNNNNNNNNNNNNNNNNNNNNNNNNNNNNNNNNNNNNNNNNNNNNNNNNNNNNNNNNNNNNNNNNNNNNNNNNNNNNNNNNNNNNNNNNNNNNNNNNNNNNNNNNNNNNNNGGAGUGGGGGUUUCGUCCCCGAUCCAAUCUGGAUCGGGAGGGGGGUGGGAACGACGUGGGGGGAGUGCGGGUGGUUGGGUUAGGGUUUGUCAGGGGUGAGGGUUAUGGGAGUGAGGGGUGUGGCCGGUUGGGCCGGUGGCCGAACGGGCCGGCCUGCUGGGCCGAAGCCCAUUGGGGGGGCCUUUCUCUCUUUUCCUUUUUUUUCUUUUGUUUGUUUUCUGUUUUCUUUUAUUAUUUCUUUCUUUCUUUAUUUUAGUUGCAUUUUAAUUUAGUAAAAUAUACACUUAGUAUUUCAACUUAGUCCAUAGUCACAAAAAAAAAUCUAGACCCCAAAUAACUUAGUUUGACAUUUUAUUAAUUAUAAAAGGUAUUUAAUUAAUCUCUUUGCUACUGUUUUAUUUAUCUCAUAGUAUUUAAACAUUUUAUAAAUGUGCGGUUUUCCCAUCAUAAUUAUCUAUGCAAUAUUUGGUUCACUCCGAACAUUUUAGUUUUAAUAUUUGAAAACUUUUAUCGUUUGCCUGACUUUGAAUUUGAAUUUGAAUCGGUUUCGAACUAACUCGAGAUUAGCAACUAUAAUUGAUGUGACGUGGCAUCAUUAGCAGAGGAGCCCCUAGCUUAAUUACCCGGGCGUCACAAUUCUCCUCCACUACAAGAAAUCUCGUCCCGAGAUUUAAGAGGGGAAGUGCGGGGAAGGGAUUAGGUUGUGAAAUUCUAACGGGUCUUGUUGGUCUUGGCUACUCUUCUCGAGGAGGUCGAUCCAUUACAUUUUUGUCUUCACUUCUCUGCUUUAGGUCAUCAUGGUGAUGUCAUUCUUUUCUCGGGAACUCCAACGUACUUACGAAUAGGUAAGGGGCAGCUCGGCUACGACAAAAUGCUUAUGAGGGAAACAAUCUGGGGGUUAACCCAUGAAUGAGCAUAAGAUUAUCUCUCGAGUUGAACAUAUCGAAUACAUCAAGAGUAAGGUACGAAGGUACAAUAAGAGGUUCCAAGUGGAUGGAUAGUUGCUCGAAGUCUGAACCAGAGUGAGAAAGGGUUUCAGAGCAGCGAGAGUAAGUAUUGCGUCUGAUACCAGAAUAGAGCAUUAGGAAGGUGGCCCGUGAAUUAAAUACGAAGCCAAGCACGAGGAAUAACUUCGACAACAGGGUGUAUAGGAGAGUCAGGUUUCGAUCCUGUGGAAUUGUGGGUUAUGGGCCCACCAUGUGGGUUAGAAGUAGGAAGGGCGGAGACGUCUUGCGUGAUCAUGCAAGCAAGGCAUGUCAGGGGGGUAGCCUGUCAAUUAUGUCGGCGACAACGUCGAUACCAAGAGCGAGGGACAAAGAGAACUAUUUUCCUGCUCGUUGAACGAGGCGGGCCAAGAGGCAAAGUUCUCAUCCAUCGGCGGUUACCGAAAUGUAAUCAACAAUAGAAACAGGGUCUCUCUGUCAGAGUUGUACACUGAGGUGUUUACCUACGCAGUGAAUUAUUACUGCUUAGAUUAUAUAGAUCACAAGAAAGGUUAAACCAAACAACGGAAAGGAAAUAUGGUUAUCAAAUUACACAAAACAAAGACAAGGAAAAUGUGUUUAAUCACAUAUUUCAGGGGUAUAUCCUUCCCAAGGACAAGCAGAGCAUGAUAUCCAUGACAGGAUAUAAUGUAGAAAACUCUUUAGGUAGGGGAGAUAAUUUUCAUGACACUACCCAUACAACGGUGUUUGGAUAAUUGAGCAGGAAACUUUUAGCCUUGGGCUCCAAAUGUUCUUGUUGGAAAUCGGAGUAUCACAAACAAGCUUUUGAGAUAGUAUUGACAUGGUCAUCAGGUGAAGAUCAGACUUUGGAUACUCGAAGGAUCCAUCAGGAACAGCUUGUAGAAUAAGUCUUACAAUUUCCUCAUGGAAGAAUGGAUAGCAUUGCUAAAAGGAAAAUUAUAACAAUAGGUCCUCCGGUCAGGUGUGCUAGGCAUGACAUCACCUUAUCGGGUCAUAGAAAGACCAACAUUAUAACUCUUGGAAAUAUGUUCCCACCAUCAUAUCUGACCGAGAUUCAGAUCUGAUUGGUGUCAGGAUACCUCAGACUCAGGAUGCCCGAGAAGAAAAGGUGCAAAACAAAUUGACGGGAUAACACUGUAAGAUUCUCGGGAAAUGAACUAUGAAGUGAUUUCCGUUAACAAGAGUUCAUCAUUAUCCUAAGGAGAGGACAAGGAGGUGGAUGAUGAACUCAACGACAAUUCUUCGAGAUUUCCAAAAGAUGGAUUUCCACAAUUAAGUGAACAAGGAGAUAACAUUUGUCAGAUCAAAUGAUAUAAGGAAGUAUGCUCGAGGAAAACAUACACAAUUAAACAUUGGUCGAAAGGUGCACCCGAAAUAUGGGUUGGGUUGCACGACCAAUGUCAGAAUGGUGAUUCAAUAUCAACACUCUAAGAAUGAACGACCGACCAUUAACUUCAAAGCAAUAGGGUUGCUAGAAGUUUUGGGAUUACACAUCAUAGUCCAUUUGUCGGUGGUUAGAAAUAACACGGUGACCAGGAAAAGAAUGGUGAUGGUGAUAAGUAUCACUUGUAUCAAGAAUUCUCCAGAGGUGGUGAAAUUCUCACAACAUUGAGGACAUAAGAGAUGUUAAUGUUCCAAGGUAAAGAAGAACAAUUACUGGAUAACAAGGAACUCAAGGUAUAACACCAAACACGAACAAGCUUGUGUUGGUGGGAAGGCAAUAAAGUGGUCGAUGAUAACACAGAUCAUCAAGGGCAAGGAUGGUAUUUCUCAUCAUGAACUCAAUUGAUAUCCUGGAAGAGCUCAUAAGGUCGAUGAUGAUCACGACACAUUUGUCGAGAGAUUUCACGAAGAUGUAAUCAACCAGCGACGACAUCAAGUCAAAGGAAUGAGGUAGCGGAAGGUUAUUGGAACCAUGGGUAGGACACAAACUUGAAAUCAAGCUUGUUGUUCAAGGCGAACUGAUAUGACGAGGAAGAUCGACGUAAGCUUAGCUCAUCGUCGAAAAUUUUGUGCUCCGGGAAGAAGGACCAGGUAGCACAGUUAGAAGUUUGCACGAUAAUGAUAUAGCCGAUAAGGCUAGGAAUGACUUGAAGGAUUAUUAAACUCGUAAGCAACCAGAAUUACUUAGAUUUAUUGAAUCGGAGUGCGGAAUCGAUUCACUUAUCGGUGUUCUCGGUUGACGACAACCCAGAAUCCAGGAAAAUUGGAAUCGGUGAGAAAUAACAGUUGAUGAAGAGCCCAUAAGAAGUUAUGUAGUUCCAUGACAUUCUCGCGGUACCAGAGGGUAUACUCAAGGGUAGAGCGGGAUAGAGGUUGGACAAGUGAAAUCAUUUGCAGAAGGCAAGCACUUAAACUUGUCCAAGAAAUGGGAAAGAAGAACAAUAUGAUCGAAACCACGGUCGCAAAAAAACCAAGCAUAGAUAAGAGAAGAAGUUAUAACAAGGGGAUUAUUAUUACUACGAGAAGCUUCCAUGAUAAGUUCCACCUCGGGUCCAUGGGCAUGAACACAAAGUUCAAGGUCGACUCCCACUUCUCCAAAGCAUAACCUUACAUUCGCUUCUCGUUUCGAUAAUGGCAUUAGUUGUUGAAAGUUUUACCUGGUGCAAUACCAGAUAAGUAUGACUCGUGAAAUCUUUCGGGUUCACACCGAUGAGGGAAGGCGUUGGUUCAAUCCCAUCGGGGCUUCUUACGAACAUAUACCAUAAGCUUCAAGAGUAAAUAUCACCAGCUCAAAAGUAGAGCAUGGUUGACAAAAGGAAAGGAUACAAUUUAAGAAAGGCAUUAUGUAAUGGAGAAGGACUUACAAGGUGAUUAAUUAUUAAGGACACUGUCGGAUAUAAUAAUCCAACAGUGGAUAUGGCGAUCCACAGUGGAGCUGAGGUGAGUAUCGAUACCCAAUCAGAGGAAGAAAGAAUGCAAAUGCAACAGAUUAUGGAUUCAUCUGAAUAAUUCAAAGCUUAAAUGCAAAGGAAUUAUGAUUUCCAAAACAAGGGAUCAGAAGCAGACGUUCUGAUCAAGGAUGGAUCACUUGAAUAUACCAGAGGCACAAUCGACGACAAAUAGUUUGGUCGAGAACCAGCUCAGUAUCAAAAUGACGUCUGAGCCGGAAAGAUAAUCCUAGGACUCGACUGAUGAUUGUGAACAUUCGCACUCAUGUUGAAUCAAAAGGAUCAAAAUGACGAUGCCUAAGGAUACUAACGAAUAUUGCCAGACAUAUGGAAAGCAUCCAUCAUGCAAGUAGACAAGUAUGACAGAGCAAUAAGCUACUAAGGAUUUUUGGAGGAUCGAAUAGUAUUUCGAAGACCAUUGUGAAACACAUGAUCAACUGGGGGAUGAGCGGAUACUCGAUAAGUGCGAGAAUUACCCAUAGGGGUAUUCAGGUGACAAAGAACAACAAGGCGAUAAGCUCAAAGGAUUAUCGAAACAAUGACGAGUGUUUCGAGGUAUCUGGUAAUAACAAGACCAACUGGGGAUGAAUGUAAAAAUAACAACUGCAAGUAGUUAUCCAUAAGGGUUGACGGUGGAAGGGGAAUUGCAAAUGCGAUGAACAUAAGUUCUCGGGUUAACAGCGGAGAGUAUCUUCAGGGUCUUCACGUGCCGCAGACGAUCAUCAUUAAUAAGGGGCUCUCCGGGUGAAAGUAAUAACGAGAUCCUAAUGUUAGAUUUAGAAAAAAUCAUUUAACCCGAAUAGAAGAGAGAUCAGAGUCCCAGAGUAUAGGUCGAGGAAUAAAAGAUCCUAAUACCACCCAAUGGCGACGUGGGCCCGUAAGGCACACAGCCAAGUUAGUAAAAGUUUUGCAAUGACUAGACUCAACUUCGGCCAAGGAGUUGGAAAGGGGGAUUCCUACAGGCAGUCGGCUCUGAUACCAACUUGUGACGCCCCCGAUUCAAUCGUACACUAAUCAUGCACGCAAAUGUGUACGAUCAAGAUCAGGGACUCACGGGAAGAUAUCAUAACACAACUCCAAAACAUAAAUAAGUCAUACAAGCAUCAUAAUACAAGCCAGGGGCCUCGAGGGCUCGAAUACAAGUGCUCGGUCAUAGACGAGUCAGCGGAAGCAACAAAAUCUGAGUACAGACAUAAGUAAACAAGUCUGCCUUAAGAAGGCUAGCACAAACUGGGAUACAGAUCGAAAGAGGCGCAGGCCUCCUGCCUGGGAUCCUCCUAACUACUCCUGGUCGUCGUCAGCGGCCUGCACGUAGUAGUAGGAACCUCCAGUGUAGUAGGAAUCAUCGUCGACGGUGGCGUCUGGCUCCAGGGCUCCAGCAUCUGGUUGCGACAACCAGGUAGAAGGGAAAGGGAAAAAGAGGGAGAAAAGCAACCGUGAGUACUCAUCCAAAGUACUCGCAAGCAAGGAGCUACACUACAUAUGCAUGGGUAUAUGUGUAAAAGGCCAUAUCGGUGGACUGAACUGCAGAAUGCCAGAAUAAAAGGGGGAUAGCUAAUCCUGUCGAAGACUACGCUUCUGGCAGCCUCCGUCUUGCAGCAUGUAGAAGAGAGUAGAUUGAAGUCCUCCAAGUAGUAUCUCCAAGUAGCAUCGCAUAGCAUAAUCCUACCCGGCGAUCCUCCCCUCGUCGCCCUGUGGAAAAGCGAUCACCGGGUUGUCUGUGGAACUUGGAAGGGUGUGUUUUAUUAAGUAUCCGAUUCUAGUUGUCAUAAGGUCAAGGUACAACUCCAAGUCGUCCUGUUACCGAAGAUCACGGCUAUUCGAAUAGAUUAACUUCCCUGUAGGGGUGCACCAACUUACCCAACACGCUUGAUCCCAUUUGGCCGGACACACUUUCCUGGGUCAUGCCUGGCCGCGGAAGAUCAACACAUCGCAGCCCCACCUAGGCACAACAGAGAGGUCAACACACCGGUCUAAACCUAAGCGCACAGGGGUCUGGGCCCAUCGCCCUUAGCACACCUGCACGUUGCGUACGCGGCCGGUGAGCAGACCUAGCAACCUUCAUUACAAAGGAAGUUGCGUUAACGCAGUCCAACCCGGCGCGCGCCACUCAGUCGCUGACGUCAAGAAGGCUUCGGGAUACCCAUAACUACUCCCGCGUAGAUGGUUAGUGCGUAUAGGCUCGUAGCCAACUCAGAUCAAAUACCAAGAUCUCGUUAAGCGUGUUAAAUAUCCGCGAACACCGACCAGGGCCAGGCCCACCUGUCUCCUAGGUGGUCUCAACCUGCCCUGCCGCUCCGCCACAAAGUAAUAGUCGGGGGCCGUCGAGAACCCAGGCCCACCUCUACCGGGAUGGAGCCACCUGCCCCUUCAGCCCCCAUCUCCGAACAGUAUCACAGGUAAUGUAACUGUGUAAAGUAUAUCGUAUAUGCCCGUGAUCACCUCCCGAAGUGAUCACGGCCCAGUAGUAUAGCAUGGCAGACGGACAAGAGUGUAGGGCCACUGAUGGAACACUAGCAUCCUAUACUAAGCAGUAGGAUAGCAGGUAAUGGUAACAACAGUAGUAGCAAGGACAUGCUAUGCAUCAGGAUAGGAAUAACGGAAAGCAGUAACAUGCUACACUACUCUAAUGCAAGCAGUAUAGAGAAAAGAGUAGGCGAUAUCUGGUGAUCAAAGGGGGGGCUUGCCUGGUUGCUCUGGCAAGGAGGGGUCAUCUUCGAUGUAGUCGAACACACGGACAUCGGCAGCGGUCUCGGAGUCUACCGGAAAGGAGUAAUGGAGGGGCCACACAAUAAAUAACAGAGCAAUCAAAUGCAACACAAAGCAAGACGCGGCAAUACGCGGUGCUAGGUAUGUCCUAACGCGGUAUUAUGUGAUACCGGCGAAAGCGGGAAACAUCCGGGAAAGUAUCCCCGGUGUUUCGCGUUUUCAGACAGAUGAACCGGAGGGGAAAAGUUGCGUGUUUGCUAUGCUAGGGAUGUGUGGCUGACAAACGGACUGCGUACCCGGAUUCGUCUCGUCGUUCUGAGCAACUUCCAUGUACAAAGUUUUUUCAUCCGACCUACGGUUUAUUUUAUAUUAAUUUUCAAAGUUUUACUUCAUUUUUAGAAUUAUCAGAAUUAAUUUAAUUAGGAAAUGUCAUUAUGAUGUCAGCAUGAUAUCAAGGUGAUGUCAGCAGUCAACAGUCAGUUGACUUGGCCAAACUGGCGCGUGGGUCCCGCAUGUCAUUGACUGUUUUAGGUAAUUAAGGAUAGUUAAUUAAGUUAAUUAGCUAAUUAGGUUAAUUAAGCAGGAUUAAUUAAGUUAAUUUAAUUAAUUAAAUUAAAUUAAUUGUUUUUAUCUUAAUUAUUUUCUCUCUUAAAAAAAACGUUCUGUGGGGUGGGGCCCCGUGUCAAUGGCCCAGAGGCCUAGCGGUUUUGGGCGCUGGUUACGGGCAUAGCCCGAACGGGCGCACGCCCAGGGGCGGGCAAAACCGACCGGCGGCGAGCGGGUGCAAGGGCAGCGGUGGCCGGAGCGAUGGCGGGCAGGGGGCCUCGGUGGUCGGGACGUGCGGGCAUGCGGGUGCGGGCGAAGCCGCAGCCCGCCUGGUAGCAAGGUGAGGCCGGAGCGGGGUCUGCUCGGCGCGGCCGGUGCAGCCGGCCGGCGCGGGCGCGGCCGAGCCAUGGUCAGCGGCAGGAGGCAGGGGGGGCCNNNNNNNNNNNNNNNNNNNNNNNNNNNNNNNNNNNNNNNNNNNNNNNNNNNNNNNNNNNNNNNNNNNNNNNNNNNNNNNNNNNNNNNNNNNNNNNNNNNNNNNNNNNNNNNNNNNNNNNNNNNNNNNNNNNNNNNNNNNNNNNNNNNNNNNNNNNNNNNNNNNNNNNNNNNNNNNNNNNNNNNNNNNNNNNNNNNNNNNNNNNNNNNNNNNNNNNNNNNNNNNNNNNNNNNNNNNNNNNNNNNNNNNNNNNNNNNNNNNNNNNNNNNNNNNNNNNNNNNNNNNNNNNNNNNNNNNNNNNNNNNNNNNNNNNNNNNNNNNNNNNNNNNNNNNNNNNNNNNNNNNNNNNNNNNNNNNNNNNNNNNNUGAGGAGCGAGGGGGGAGUGGGGGUUUCGUCCCCGAUCCAAUCUGUAUCGGGAGGGGGGUGGGAACGACGUGGGGGGGAGUGCGGGUGGUUGGGUUAGGGUUUGUCAGGGGUGGGGGUUAUGGGAGUGAGGGGUGUGGCCGGUUGGGCCGGUGGCCGAACGGGCCGGCCUGCUGGGCCGAAGCCCAGUGGGGGGGCCUUUCUCUCUUUUUCUUUUUUUCUUUUGUUUGUUUUCUGUUUUCUUUUAUUAUUUCUUUCUUUCUUUAUUUUAGUUGCAUUUUAAUUUAGGAAAAUAUACACUUAGUAUUUCAACUUAGUCCAUAGUCACAAAAAAAAUCUAGACCCCAAAUAACUUAGUUUGACAUUUUAUUAAUUAUAAAAGGUAUUUAAUUAAUCUCUUUGCUACUGUUUUAUUUAUCUCAUAGUAUUUAAACAUUUUAUAAAUGUGCGGUUUUCCCAUCAUAAUUAUCUAUGCAAUAUUUGGUUCACUCCGAACAUUUUAGUUUUAAUAUUUGAAAACUUUUAUCGUUUGCCUGAUUUUGAAUUUGAAUUUGAAUCGGUUUCGAACUAACUCGAGAUUAGCAACUAUAAUUGAGGUGACGUGGCAUCAUUAGCAGAGGAGCACUGUAGCUUAAUUACCCGGGCGUCACAGGGGGAACCCUCACCGGUGGCCAUCUUCAUCAUCCCGGCGCUCUCCAUGACGAGGAGGGAGUAGUUCUCCCUCGGGGCUGAGGGUAUGUACCAGUAGCUAUGUGUUUGAUCUCUCUCUCGUGUUCUUGAGAUGAUAUGAUCUUGAUGUAUCGCGAGCUUUGCUAUUAUAUUUGGAUCCUAUAUAUGAUGUUUCUUCCCCCCUCUUAUCUCUUGUAAUGAAUCGAGUUUUCCCUUUGAAGUAAUCUUAUCGGAUUGAGUCUUUAAAGACUUGAGAACACUUGAUGUAUGUCUUGCCGUGGAUAUCUGUGGUGACAAUGGGAUACCACGUGGCACUUAAUGUAUGUUAAGGUGACUAACUUGCGGGUUCCGCCCAUGAACCUAUGCAUAGGGGUUGGUACACGUUUUCGUCGCGAUUCUCCAGUAGAACUUUGGGGCACUCUUUGAGGUCCUUUGUGUUGGUUGAAUAGAUGAAUCUGAGAUUGUGUGACGCAUAUCGUAUAAUCAUACCUACGGAUACUUGAGGUGACAUUGGAGUAUCUAGGUGACAUUAGGGUUUUGGUUGAUUUGUGUCUUAAGGUGUUAUUCUAGUACGAACUCUAGGGCUGUUUGUGACACUUAUAGGAAUAGCCCAACGGAUUGAUUGGAAAGAAUAACUUUGAGGUGGUUUCGUACCCUACCAUAAUCUCUUCGUUCGUUCUCCGCUAUUAGUGACUUUAGAGUGACUCUUGGUUGCAUGUUGAGGGAUAGUUAUGUGAUCCAAUUAUGUUAUCAUUGUUGAGGGAACUUACACUAGUGAAAGUAUGAACCCUAGGCCUUGUUCAACACAUUGCAAUACCGUUUACGCUCACUUUUAUCACUUGCUACCUUGCUGUUUUUAUUAUUUCAGAUUACAAAAACUAUUAUCUACUAUCCAUAUUGCACUUGUAUCACCAUCUCUUCUCCGAACUAGUGCACCUAUACAAUUUACCAUUGUAUUAGGUGUGUUGGGGACACAAGAGACUCUUUCUCAUUUGGUUGCAGGGUUGCUUGAGAGAGACCAUAUUCAUCCUACGCCUCCUACGGAUUGAUAAACCUUAGGUCAUCCACUUGAGGGAAAUUUGCUACUGUCCUACAAACCUCUGCACUUGGAGGCCCAACAACGUCUACAAGAAGAAGGUUGUGUAGUAGACAUCACCCCCCCUCCCCCAACACCCCCAUGUUUGUCUCCAAUUUGCGGGAGAAAGUAUACAUCUGGACCGCGCCUCGUACCGAUACAGGACCACGUUGGAUGGUUUUCACUGUCCGGACGGAUGCGGGGGGUUUAAGGGUCGGUGUUGGAGAUGCCUUGACCAAGGAAGGCAGCGAGGGGCCCCUCAUGAGUCAACGAUCAUUGACCACGAUGUGAUAAAGUUGAUCUAAUCUAUCACAAACAUUAAUUUGUAGUGAUAUCUACUCUGUUGGGUUUCGUAGUAAUUUCAAAAAAUUUCCUACGCACACGCAAGAUCAUGUGAUGCAUAGCAACGAGAGGGGAGAGUGCUGUCUACGUACCCAACGCAGAACGACUGCGGAAGCGCUGACACGACAUAGAGGAAGUAGUCGUACGUCUUCACGAUCCAACCAGCACCGAAACUACGGCACCUCCGAGUUCGAGCACAUGUUCAGCUCGAUGACGAUCCCCGGGCUCCAAUCCAGCAAAGUGUCGGGGAAGAGUUCCAUCAAGACGACGGCGUGGUGACGAUCUUGAUGCACUACAGCAGCAGGGCUUCGCCUAAACUCCGCUACAGUAUUAUCGAGGAAUAUGGUGGCUGGGGGCACCGCACACGGCUAAGGAAUAGAUCACGUGGAUCAACUUGUGUAUUUCUGGGGUGCCUCUGCCUCAGUAUAUAAAGGAGCCAAGGGGGAGGGGGCGCCGUCCAGGAGGAGGGCGCAGGAGGAGUCCUACUCCUUCCGGGAGUAGGACUCCCCCCCCCCAAUCCUAGUUGGACUAGGAUUCCCCGAGGGGGAAAGAGGGAGAGGGGGGCCGGCCACCUCUCCUAGUCCUAAUAGGACUAGGGGAGGGGGGAGGUGCGCAGCCACCUUGGGCUGCCCCGUUCUCCUUUCCACUAAAGCCCAUUAAGGCCCAUAUGGCUCCCGGGGGGUUCCGGUAACCUCCCGGUACUCCGGUAAAAUCCCGAUUUCACCCGGAACACUUCCGAUAUCCAAACAUAGGCUUCCAAUAUAUCAAUCUUUACGUCUCGACCAUUUCGAGACUCCUCGUCAUGUCCGUGAUCACAUCCAGGACUCCGAACAACCUUCGGUACAUCAAAAUGCAUAAACUCAUAAUAUAACUAUCAUCGUUACCUUAAGCGUGCGGACCCUACGGGUUCGAGAACAAUGUAGACAUGACCGAGACACGUCUCCGGUCAAUAACCAAUAGCGGGACCUAGAUGCCCAUAUUGGCUCCUACAUAUUCUACGAAGAUCUUUAUCGGUCAGAUCGCAUAACAACAUACGUUGUUCCCCUUUGUCAUCGGUAUGUUACUUGCCCGAGAUUCGAUCGUCGGUAUCCAAUACCUAGUUCAAUCUCGUUACCGGCAAGUCUCUUUACUCGUUCUGUAAUACAUCAUCCCGCAACUAACUCAUUUAGUUGCAAUGCUUGCAAGGCUUAAGUGAUGUGUAUUACCGAGAGGGCCCAGAGAUACCUCUCCGACAAUCGGAGUGACAAAUCCUAAUCUCAAAAUACGCCAACCCAACAUCUACCUUUGGAGACACCGGUAAUGCUCCUUUAUAAUCACCCAGUUACGUUGUGACGUUUGGUAGCACCCAAAGUGUUCCUCCGGUAAACGGGAGUUGCAUAAUAUCAUAGUUAUAGGAACAUGUAUAAGUCAUGAAGAAAGCAAUAGCAACAUACUAAACGAUCGGGUGCUAAGCUAAUGGAAUGGGUCAUGUCAAUCAGAUCAUUCAACUAAUGAUGUGACCUCGUUAAUCAAAUAACAACACUUUGUUCAUGGUCAGGAAACAUAACCAUCUUUGAUUAACGAGCUAGUCAAGUAGAGGCAUACUAGUGACACUAAGUUUGUCUAUGUAUUCACACAUGUAUUAUGUUUCCGGUUAAUACAAUUCUAGCAUGAAUAAUAAACAUUUAUCAAGAUAUAAGGAAAUAAAUAAUAACUUUAUUAUUGCCUCUAGGGCAUAUUUCCAUCAGUCUCCCACUUGCACUAGAGUCAAUAAUCUAGAUUACACUGUAAUGAUUCUAACACCCAUGGAGCCUUGGUGCUGAUCAUGUUUUGCUCGUGGAAGAGGCUUAGUCAACGGGUCUGCAACAUUCAGAUCCGUAUGUAUCUUGCAAAUCUCUAUGUCUCCCACCUGGACUAGAUCCCGGAUGGAGUUGAAGUGUCUCUUGAUGUGCUUGGUCCUUUUGUGAAAUCUGGAUUCCUUUGCCAAGGCAAUUGCACCAGUAUUGUCACAAAAGAUUUUCAUUGGACCCGAUGCACUAGGUAUGAUACCUAGAUCGGAUAUGAACUCCUUCAUCCAGACUCCUUCGUUCGCUGCUUCCGAAGCAGCUAUGUACUCCGCUUCACAUGUAGAUCCCGCUACGACGCUUUGUUUAGAACUGCACCAACUGACAGCUCCACCGUUAAUGUAAACACGUAUCCGGUUUGCGAUUUAGAAUCGUCCAGAUCAGUGUCAAAGCUUGGAUCAACGUAACCUUUUACGGUGAGCUCUUUGUCACCUCCAUAUACGAGAAACAUAUCCUUAGUCCUUUUCAGGUAUUUCAGGAUGUUCUUGACCGCUGUCCAGUGAUCCACUCCUGGAUUACUUUGGUACCUCCCUGCUAAACUUAUAGCAAGGCACACAUCAGGUCUGGUACAUAGCAUUGCAUACAUGAUAGAGCCUAUGGCUGAAGCAUAGGGAACAUCUUUCAUUUUCUCUCUAUCUUCUGCAGUGGUCGGGCAUUGAGUCUUACUCAACUUCACACCUUGUAACACAGGCAAGAACCCUUUCUUUGCUUGAUCCAUUUUGAAUUUCUUCAAAACUUUGUCAAGGUAUGUGCUUUGUGAAAGUCCAAUUAAGCGUCUUGAUCUAUCUCUAUAGAUCUUAAUGCCUAAUAUGUAAGCAGCUUCACCGAGGUCUUUCAUUGAAAAACUCUUAUUUAAGUAUCCCUUUAUGCUAUCCAGAAAUUCUAUAUCAUUUCCAGUUAGUAAUAUGUCAUCCACAUAUAAUAUUAGAAAUGCUACAGAGCUCCCACUCACUUUCUUGUAAAUACAGGCUUCUCUGAAAGUCUGUAUAAAACCAAAUGCUUUGAUCACACUAUCAAAGCGUUUAUUCCAACUCUGAGAGGCUUGCACCAGUCCAUAAAUGGAUCGCUGGAGCUUGCACACUUUGUUAGCUCCAUUUGGAUCGACAAAACCUUCUGGUUGCAUCAUAUACAACUCUUCUUCCAGAAAUCCAUUCAGGAAUGCAGUUUUGACAUCCAUUUGCCAAAUUUCAUAAUCAUAAAAUUCGGCAAUUGCUAACAUGAUUCGGACGGACUUAAGCAUCGCUACGGGUGAGAAGGUCUCAUCGUAGUCAAUCCCUUGAACUUGCCGAAAACCUUCCGCGACAAGUCGAGCUUUGUAGGCAGUAACAUUACCAUCAGCGUCAGUCUUCUUCUUGAAGAUCCAUUUAUUCUCAAUUGCUUGCCGAUCAUCGGGCAAGUCAACCAAAGUCCAUACUUUAUUCUCAUACAUGGAUCCCAUCUCAGAUUUCAUGGCUUCAAGCCACUUUGCGGAAUCUGGGCUCACCAUCGCUUCUUCAUAGUUCAUAGGUUCAUCAUGAUCUAGUAGCAUGACUUCCAGAACAGGAUUACCGUACCACUCUAGUGCGGAUCUUACUCUGGUUGAUCUACGAGGUCCGGUAGUAUCUUGAUCUGAAUUUUCAUGAUCAUUAUCAUUAGCUUCCUCACUAACUGGUGUAGGUGUCACUGAAACAGUUUUCUGUGAUGUACUACUUUCUAGUAAGGGAGCAGGUACAGUUACCUCGUCAAGUUCUACUUUCCUCCCACUCACUUCUUUUGAGAGAAACUCCUUCUCUAGAAAGGAUCCAUUUUUAGCAACGAAUGUCUUGCCUUCGGAUCUGUGAUAGAAGGUGUACCCAGCAGUCUCCUUUGGGUAUCCUUUGAAGACACAUUUCUCCGAUUUGGGUUCGAGCUUAUCAGGUUGAAGCUUUUUCACAUAAGCAUCGCAGCCCCAAACUUUAAGAAACGACAACUUUGGUUUCUUGCCAAACCAUAGUUCAUAAGGUGUCGUCUCAACGGAUUUUGAUGGUGCCCUAUUUAACGUGAAUGCGGCCGUCUCUAAAGCAUAACCCCAAAACGAUAGCGGUAAAUCUGUAAGAGACAUCAUAGAUCGCACCAUAUCUAGUAAAGUACGAUUACGACGUUCGGACACACCAUUACGCUGUGGUGUUCCGGGUGGCGUGAGUUGUGAAACUACUCCACAGUUUUUCAAAUGUACACCGAACUCAUAACUCAAAUAUUCUCCUCCACGAUCAGAUCGUAGAAACUUUAUUUUCUUGUUACGAUGAUUUUCAACUUCACUCUGAAAUUCUUUGAACUUUUCAAAUGUUUCAGACUUAUGUUUCAUUAAGUAGAUAUACCCAUAUCUGCUUAAAUCAUCUGUGAAGGUGAGAAAAUAAUGAUAUCCGCCACGAGCCUCAAUAUUCAUCGGACCACAUACAUCGGUAUGUAUGAUUUCCAACAAAUCUGUUGCUCUCUCCAUAGUACCGGAGAACGGUGUUUUAGUCAUCUUGCCCAUGAGGCACGGUUCGCAAGUACCAAGUGUUUCAUAAUCAAGUGGUUCCAAAAGUCCAUCAGUAUGGAGUUUCUUCAUGCACUUUACACCGAUAUGACCUAAACGACAGUGCCACAAAUAAGUUGCACUUUCAUUAUCAACUCUGCAUCUUUUGGCUUCAACAUUAUGAAUAUGUGUAUUACUACUAUCGAGAUUCAAUAAGAAUAGACCACUCUUCAAGGGUGCAUGACCAUAAAAGAUAUUACUCAUAUAAAUAGAACAACCAUUAAUCUCUGAUUUAAAUGAAUAACCGUCUCGCAUUAAACAAGAUCCAGAUAUAAUGUUCAUGCUCAACGCUGGCACCAAAUAACAAUUAUUUAGGUCUAAUACUAAUUCCGAAGGUAGAUGUAGAGGUAGCGUGCCGACCGCGAUCACAUCGACUUUGGAACCAUUUCCCACGCACAUCGUCACCUCGUCCUUCGCCAGUGUUCGCUUAAUCCGUAGUCCCUGUUUCGAGUUGCAAAUAUUAGCAACAGAACCAGUAUCAAAUACCCAGCUGCUACUGCGAGCUCUAGUAAGGUACACAUCAAUAACAUGUAUAUCACAUAUACCUUUGUUCACCUUGCCAUCCUUCUUAUCCGCCAAAUACUUGGGGCAGUUCCGCUUCCAUUGACCAGUCUGCUUGCAGUAGAAGCACUCAGUUUCAGGCUUAGGUCUAGACUUGGGUUUCUUCUCCUGAGUAGCAACUUGUUUGCUGUUCUUCUUGAAGUUCCCCUUCUUCUUCCCUUUGCCCUUUUUCUUGAAACUAGUGGUCUUGUUGACCAUCAACACUUGAUGCUCCUUCUUGAUUUCUACCUCCGCAGCUUUCAGCAUUGCGAAGAGCUCGGGAAUAGUAUUGUUCAUCCCUUGCAUAUUAUAGUUCAUCACGAAGCUCUUGUAGCUUGGUGGCAGUGAUUGGAGAAUUCUGUCAAUGACGCAAUCAUCCGGUAGAUUAAAUCCCAAUUGAAUCAAGUGAUUAUUAUACCCAGACAUUUUGAGUAUAUGCUCACUGACAGAACUGUACUCCUCCAUCUUGCAGCUGUAGAACUUAUUGGAGACUUCAUAUCUCUCAAUCCGGGCAUUUGCUUGAAAUAUUAACUUCAACUCCUGGAACAUCUCAUAUGCUCCAUGACAUUCAAAACGUCGUUGAAGUCCCGAUUCUAAGCCGUAAAGCAUGGCACACUGAACUAUCGAGUAGUCAUCAGCUUUGCUCUGCCAGACGUUCAUAACAUCUGGUGUUGCUCCAGCAGCAGGCCUGGCACCCAGCGGUGCUUCCAGGACGUAAUUCUUCUGUGCAGCAAUGAGGAUAAUCCUCAAGUUACGGACCCAGUCCGUGUAAUUGCUACCAUCAUCUUUCAACUUUGCUUUCUCAAGGAACGCAUUAAAAUUCAACGGAACAACAGCAUGAGCCAUCUAUCUACAAUCAACAUAAACAAGCAAGAUACUAUCAGGUACUAAGUUCAUGAUAAGUUUAAGUUCAAUUUAAUCAAAUUACUUAAGAACUCCCACUUAGAGAGACAUCCCUCUAAUCCUCUAAGUGAUCACGUGAUCCAAAUCAACUAAACCAUAACCGAUCAUCACGAGAGAUGGAGUAGUUUUCGAUGGUGAACAUCGUUAUGUUGAUCAUAUCUACUAUAUGAUUCACGCUCGACCUUUCGGUCUCCGUGUUCCGAGGCCAUAUCUGCAUAUGCUACGCUCGUCAAGUUUAACCUGAGUAUUCUGCGUGUGCAAAAACUGGCUUGCACCCGUUGUAGAUGGACGUAGAGCUUAUCACACCCGAUCAUCACGUGGUGUCUGGGCACGACGAACUUUGGCAACGGUGCAUACUCAGGGAGAACACUUCUUGAUAAUUUAGUGAGAGAUCAUCUUAUAAUGCUACCGUCAAUCAAAGCAAGAUAAGAUGCAUAAAAAUAUAAACAUCAGAUGCAAUCAAUAUAAGUGAUAUGAUAUGGCCAUCAUCAUCUUGUGCUUGUGAUCUCCAUCUCCGAAGCACCGUCAUGAUCACCAUCAUCACCGGUGCGACACCUUGAUCUCCAUCGUAGCAUCGUUGUCGUCUCGCCAAUCUUAUGCUUCCACGACUAUCACUACCGUUUAGUAAUAAAGUAAAGCAUUACAUCGCGAUUGCAUUGCAUACAAUAAAGCGACAUCCAUAUGGCUCCUGCCAGUUGCCGAUAACUCGGUUACAAAACAUGAUCAUCUCAUACAAUAAAAUUCAGCAUCAUGCCUUGACCAUAUCACAUCACAACAUGCCCUGCAAAAACAAGUUAGACGUCCUAUACUUUGUUGUUGCAAGUUUUACGUGGCUGCUACGGGCUUAAGCAAGAACCAAUCUCACCUACGCAUCAAAACCACAACGAUAGUUUGUCAAAUAGACUCCGUUUUAACCUUCACAAGGACCGGGCGUAGCCAUACUUGGUUCAACUAAAGUUGGAGAGACAGUCGCCCGCAAGCCACCUAUGUGCAAAGCACGUCGGGGGAACCGGUCUCGCGUAAGCAUACACAUAAUGUUGGUCCGGGUCGUCUCGUCCAACAAUGCCGCCGAACCAAAGUAUGACAUGCUGGUAGGCAGUAUGACUUAUAUCGCCCACAACUCACUUGUGUUCUACUCGUGCAUAUAACAUCAACAUAAAUAACCUAGGCUCGGAUGCCACUGUUGGGUUUCGUAGUAAUUUCAAAAAAUUUCCUACGCACACGCAAGAUCAUGUGAUGCAUAGCAACGAGAGGGGAGAGUGUUGUCUACGUACCCAAUGCAGACCGACUGCGGAACCGCUGACACGACGUAGAGGAAGUAGUCGUACGUCUUCACGAUCCAACCGAUCAAGCACCGAAACUACGGCACCUCCGAGUUCGAGCACACGUUCAGCUCGAUGACGAUCCCCGGACUCCGAUCCAGCAAAGUGUCGGGGAAGAGUUCCGUCAACACGACGGCGUGGUGACGAUCUUGAUGCACUACAGCAGCAGGGCUUCGCCUAAACUCCGCUACAGUAUUAUCGAGGAAUAUGGUGGCUGGGGGCACCGCACACGGCUAAGGAAUAGAUCACGUGGAUCAACUUGUGUAUUUCUGGGGUGCCUCUGCCUCAGUACAUAAAGGAGCCAAGGGGGAGGGGGGCACCGGCCAGGAGGAGGGCGCAGGAGGAGUCCUACUCCUUCCGGGAGUAGGACUCCCCCCCCCAAUCCUAGUUGGACUAGGAUUCCCCGAGGGGGAAAGAGGGAGAGGGGGGCCGGCCACCUCUCCUAGUCCUAAUAGGACUAGGGGAGGGGGGAGGUGCGCAGCCACCUUGGGCUGCCCCUUUCUCCUUUCCACUAAAGCCCAUUAAGGCCAAUAUGGCUCCCGGGGGGUUCCGGUAACCUCCCGGUACUCUGGUAAAAUCCCGAUUUCACCCGAAACACUUCCGAUAUCCAAACAUAGGCUUCCAAUAUAUCAUUCUUUACGUCUCGACCAUUUCGAGACUCCUCGUCAUGUCCGUGAUCACAUCCGGGACUCCAAACAACCUUCAGUACAUCAAAAUGCAUAAACUCAUAAUAUAACUGUCAUCGUUACCUUAAGCGUGCGGACCCUACGGGGUCGAGAACAAUGUAGACAUGACCAAGACACGUCUCCGGUCAAUAACCAAUAGCGGGACCUAGAUGCCCAUAUUGGCUCCUACAUAUUCUACGAAGAUCUUUAUCGGUCAGACCGCAUAACAACAUACGUUGUUCCCUUUGUCAUCGGUAUGUUACUUGCCCGAGAUUCGAUCGUCGGUAUCCAAUACCUAGUUCAAUCUCGUUACCGGCAAGUCUCUUUACUCGUUCUGUAAUACAUCAUCCCGCAACUAACUCAUUUAGUUGCAAUGCUUGCAAGGCUUAAGUGAUGUGUAUUACCGAGAGGGCCCAGAGACACCUCUCCGACAAUCGGAGUGACAAAUCCUAAUCUCGAAAUACGCCAACCCAACAUCUACCUUUGGAGACACCUGUAAUGCUCCUUUAUAAUCACCCAGUUACGUUGUGACGUUUGGUAGCACCCAAAGUGUUCCUCCGGUAAACGGGAGUUGCAUAAUCUCAUAGUUAUAGGAACAUGUAUAAGUCAUGAAAGAAAGCAAUAGCAACAUACUAAACGAUCGGGUGCUAAGCUAAUGGAAUGGGUCAUGUCAAUCAGAUCAUUCAACUAAUGAUGUGACCUCGUUAAUCAAAUAACAACACUUUGUUCAUGGUCAGGAAACAUAACCAUCUUUGAUUAACGAGCUAGUCAAGUAGAGGCAUACUAGUGACACUAAGUUUGUCUAUGUAUUCACACAUGUAUUAUGUUUCCGGUUAAUACAAUUCUAGCAUGAAUAAUAAACAUUUAUCAUGAUAUAAGGAAAUAAAUAAUAACUUUAUUAUUGCCUCUAGGGCAUAUUUCCUUCAUACUCUAUCUCAAACAUUAAUUUGUAGUGAUAUCUACUCUAUCUCAUACAUUAAUCGGUAGUGAUAUCGCACUAAAUAAAUAGAAGAAUUUGUAGUCCAUAUCUACAUACAUGCAACAGCCCAUCACGCGCAUAUAGACUGGCAUGUGGACCCAAUUACCGCAACUCUCCAACAUGCAGAUACACAAAAAAUACUCGUCUCCUCUAACAAUUACACCCGAAGCCUAUCUGAUAGGUAGCAAAUAAAUAUCAUUAAUUAGCACCUGUGCAAAAGCAUACUGGAGAGAGCAUCCACUGGAUAGGAGGACUCGACACUGAUCAGAGAGGACUCUAUAUAGUCGAUACAACUAGACCGAAUACCAAUAGUAUAGUAGUCCUCGCUCCUCUCGUUAGUGAACAUCCACUGCCAAUGGCAAGCGUUCCGCCCUGCCUCCGAUGAUGCCGCCGCCUCCUAUAUCCAUGGGUUGGUGACCAUCAGUGAAAAUCGCAAGCCAGUCGUUCCUGGCCUCAAUGAUGACCCCGAGGCAGGUGUUACGGAGGGGCAACUCUUCUAGAUCUAUGACCAGGUCACACCCGUGGUUUCCUUGCGCACCUGCCACAAAGUUGCUUGCAGGCCGUGUGGCUACGACUACAUCGGUUUCCACCCCAAGAGGACGGUGAGUCUCUUGGUCUUUUUUACUUGUCCGUUUGGGUUUGAUCUGCUACCUUUAGCAUGCAUGCUCACGGAGAUAUAAUUCUUUAGGUAUUUUGGGAUCUAAUAGAUCAGAUCUCAUCGUCCUUCUGUGAGUGGAACUUGAAGUAGCCAUAGCCAUGGGACCUGACAGCAACGUCAUGGUAGACGCCGAGGGACUGCACAAAUGUGACCUAAUAGGAGAUGGAGGAGAGAUGCCCCUCUGCGACGCCUGCCUGAAGGCCACCCACAUAUAGGGAAGCUGUUGUGGCAGCUACCAGCUCUACUACAAGUCCACGAGUGCAUCACCGUCACGAUAAACCACUACAUGCCCAUCCAAGUUAUGUAAUAGAGCUUGUUUUGAGAAAAAGUUUACUAGAUCUCUUGAUGAAUUCAUCUAUUAUGCAUGCCAGUUUAUGCUUUAUUGGGCAUGUCUACAAAGUAAUGUGAAGAGUUUGCGAUUCUGGAACAAGGUGUUGUUGCUUUGAAGCGAGAAGCACUCGCACAUCAUGUUGGUGGGCGCGUGGAGCCAAGAAAUCAUGUGUCAAGGAUCAAGGUGAAUAAUGCUCGAGAAAAUAAGGAACAAGAAGUGGGUGAAGGUGAACUAAUGGAGAAAUACUGGAUGAGUAACGAUGCAAUGGAGUUUUCUUAAUGAUGAUGCUAGUGAUCGAAAACAUUUUGCUUGGACUAAUAUGUGACUCCUAAGUUGGCUUCUAGUAGAUUGGGUGCAUUAGCUUUUGCUGUUAGCGGUGGAAACCGGUUUUAGGCUAUGUAUUUUCAUCGGGAUGUUUUUUUGUGCAUUUGUUGUUUCAUUAUCCAUUGAUAGUGGACCCGAUCCUUUUUCUGAGAUCGUAUGGGAAAAAAGGUGAUCACCACAUCCAGAAAUGUUUUGAUAUGCUGGGAUGACCGCAUUGCCAUUUCUAC
rnacentral:lncRNA from 1 species